GUUUGAGAAGUUCAAAGAUGAUGAAGGUAAAUUCAAGGAAUCAUUGAUCAACGAUAUACGAGGCAUGUUGAGUUUGUACGAGGCAGCAUACCUAGCAAUUCGGGGGGAAGACAUUUUAGAUGAAGCCAUUGUUUUCACUACCACUCACCUUAAGUCAGUAAUAUCUGUAUCUGAUCAUUCUCAUGUAAACUCUAAUCUUGCUGAACAAAUACGUCAUUCUCUGCAAAUUCCGCUCCGUAAAGCCGCAGCAAGGUUAGAGGCAAGGUAUUUUUUGGAUAUCUAUUCAAGGGAUGAUUUGCAUGAUGAAACUUUGCUCAAGUUUGCAAAGUUAGACUUUAAUAUAUUACAAGCAGCACACAAGAAGGAAGCAAGUAUCAUGACCAGGUAACUUCAUAGAUAUUCUUUCAACGUGGAAAAGCCUAUUAUUGGUGUUGUUUUGAAAUGGGAGAUUGUCACUUUCCCUAGAAAGAGAAAUCAUAUUUUACCAGUUGCCCCCUUGUAUAAUCAAAGGCUCAAGGCAAAAUAUCUUAUAAUAGUUAUUAUUAUUAUUAUUAUUAUUAUUAUUUAUUAACACCAAACCAAGAUUUUCAGUUUGCAGUAAAAUUUUUAUGUAUUCUUGAUUUGUCAACAGUGGUAGUGGUUGUAGUUUUUGUAUAUUAUGUGCUUGUUGCUAAUAAUAAUAAUAAUAAAAAGUUAUAGUGUUUGGGAGGAUAAUGUGUAUAAUGAAAGAGUAAUGAUACAAUUAUAAAAUUUUUUUAAGAAUGGAUGUGAUAUAAAUUUAUAAAUUAGAUGAAAAUACAAAACAAUAAAAAUAAAUCACGUAAAUUUCUCUCUCUCUCUCUCUCUCUUUUAAUGAAACAAAUUUUCCAAAUAUAAUAUGGAAGAUUUACAACUUCUCUUUAAAAUUUCUAACUUUUUUCACUUAUCCCUCGAGUUUUCAUAUUUCCUUGCUACCUCCUUAAAAGAUGAAACCAAAUUGUGUUCUUGUUUGUAUUUUUUAUAUAAUACAGAAGUAACGAUUAUUAUAUACUACAGAAGUAACGAUUAUUAUAGUGACAACUUUAUAAUGUAGCAAAAUAUCUAUCUAAUUAGAUUUAAAAUUGAAUUUCAGGUGGUGGAACGAUUUAGGCUUCCCUAAAAAGGUGCCUUAUGCAAGAGAUAGAGUAGUAGAGACAUAUAUUUGGUUUUUGCUGGGAGUGUCCUAUGAGCCCAAUUUGGCAUUUGGUAGAAUUUUUACAUCCAAAGUGGUGUGCAUAAUAUCCAUAAUAGACGACACAUUUGAUGCUUACGGUACUUUUGAAGAGCUCACACUUUUUACUGAAGCAGUCACAAGGUUAUAAAACCAUAUGCAUCCCUAUACAGCAGUUGUUAAGUUGCAUUAUCUGUAUUCUAUAGGUUACAAUAACCUAAAUAAUGGGGACAUUAUGAGUGACUAUUAGGGUUGCUGCAGGUUAUACAUGAUGUAACUUAGCAAGACCUCAUGCCUAUAUAAUAAAAGAUUAUUAUCAUUUCAUUACCUCAAGAAUUAUAAAAUAUUAGAUAAGUACAAGAAGUAUUAUUUUCCAUAAUUUUACUACUAUAACUUUGUAAAACCUUUUAUUUUACUACUUUUUUGUUAGAAUCGUUAGCUGACUAAUAAAAUAUUAAUUUUACCCUUUAAGAUAAAAUGCACAAAAGAGGUAUCCAAUAGUAUACAUAAUAUUAUGAAUAAUAGUUUUAAACAUGAAUUGUUAAAUAAUAGUUUUAACCAUAAUUUUUUGAAUAACGCUUGAUUUAUUGCGACCAUAAAAGUAGUGAAUUGACAAAAAUACCCCUAGAAUUUUUUGCCCAAAAAAAUCACAAUCUAUUCUAGAAGAAAAAAAAUUAAAUAUGGAAGUGUUGAUUCUGUAAAUAAGCUUUAAGUGUUUUUUUUAAAGAAUAAAUUGUGUGUUUUUUUAUGAAAAAUAUCCAGGAGUAUUUUGUUAAUGCACCAUUUUUAUAGUUACGAUAAAUUUAGGGUUAUUCAUAAAGUCAUUUAAAACCAUUAUUUUAAAAUUAAAGGGCAUGCCAAUAAUUUUUGUCUAUUAUUUGAUACCUCUAUUUGUGUAUUUUAUCAUAAAAGGAAAUAUUGAUAUUUUACUAAUUAACUAAUGGUUUUAACGAAAAGGUAGUAAAAUGAUAGGAGAUAAUACUUCUUAUAGUCAUUUGAUAUUUUACAACUCUUGAAUUGGUGAAACAAUAAUAACCCUAUAAUGUAAUUCUUUGAUUGGAUAUUUAAUUCAUAAUAUACUUUUAUUAGAAACAAAUUAAUUGUAUUGCUUAUAUAUUUUCUUAAGAACGUGCAAAUAUAUCGAUUAUAUUUGAUUUUUUCAGAUGGGACAUUGGUCUCAUAGAUACAUUGCCAGAAUACAUGAAAUUUAUUUUCAAGGCACUCUUAGAUAUUUAUAGAGAAGCUGAGGAAGAAUUGGCAAAGGAAGGAAGAUCGUACGGCAUACCAUAUGCAAUACAGAUGGUAAGCAAUUACUUUAUUAAUAAUCAAUUUCAUGUUAUAUGAUUUUGCAAGGUGAUUAUUAUUGACUUGGGUUAUGUUGCUUAGAUGCAAGAAUUAAUUAUAUUAUACUUUACUCAAGCCAAGUGGUUAUAUAAAGGUUAUGUUCCAAGCUUCGAUGAAUACAAAUCAGUUGCAUUAAGAAGUAUCGGUUUACGUACGCUAGGGGUCGCUUCCUUCGUUGAUUUGGGUGAUUUUAUUGCAACGAAGGACAAUUUUGAAGGCAUUCUUAAAAACGCUAAGAGUGUUAAAGCGACAGAAACCAUUGUCAGGCUCAUGGAUGACAUAGCAGGUUAUAAGGUAAAUAAUUUUCUUCAUUCUACAUUAUAAUUCAUUUCAAUAAGACUAUAUUCACCACUAAUCUCGAAGAGAAAUUUUGUAACGUAUCUUAUGGCGUGCACCAUAGUAUACAAUUUCUUCAUCUAUUUUAAAGGUAGAGAUGUGGGUGAAGCCCACAUCAAUUUUUCCAACACCUAGCUUCUCAAGAUUCAAACUUAGAAAUUGUCAAUAAAAUAAAGGUUGUUGAAAACCAUUCGGCCUUGCGGCUGCAUUUCUUUUCAACUCUCUUUAACACACAACAACACAUAACAUAACAUAACAUAUAUGCCCAAGGAAAAAAACAAAAAAAAAAAAUUAGCUAACUGAUGAAUUUUUUGGUUUUUUUGGGUUCUCUUAUAACCAAUUCAUAUGCAUCCGUGAUGUAGUUUGAGCAAAAGAGAGGACAUAUUCCAUCAGCAGUUGAGUGCUACAAGAAUCAACAUGGCGUCUCCGAGGAAGAGGCAGUUAAAGAGUUGUUGUUAGAAGUUGCUGACAGUUGGAAAGAUAUAAAUGAGGAGCUUCUCAACCCAACGACUGUCCCGUUACCUAUGCUUCAGCGGAUUCUUUAUUUCGCACGUGCAGGCCAUUUUAUCUACGACGAUGGUCAUGAUCGCUACACCCAUUCAUUGAUGAUGAAACGCCAAGUUGCCUUGUUGCUGACGGAACCCCUUGCGAUCUGAAGAUUAACCUCAUGCUAUUGAUUUUCCAUCGGGUAUAUUUGAGCAGUUGUAAUAAAUGAACGUCGUGCUGGCUAUUUAGCUAGCUACUCAUGCCUAGCUAGAAAAUGGAUCGCCAAAUAAUGUGGUUCCAAAUUGUGGUCCUUUUAGUUAAAAAAUUAAUAAUAAAAUAUUUUUCUUCUAAUUUCUUUAUUAUUUUAUAAACAUUUUCUUAUAAUAAAUAUAGAAUAUAAAAUAUAAAAAAAAGCACAAGAAAAUAUCUUAUUAUUAAUUUUUUAUUCACAUCAAAACAUAUAUAUGUGUGUGUGUGUGUAUAUAUAGUAUUUUUAAUAUUUAAAUUUGUUAUUUAAAUUUCUAUUUAUUUCAUUUAUUUAAUUUUUAAUAAGUAUGAAUAAAAGUGUAUUUCAAAAUAAAGGCAAUAUUGUAAAAUUAUAGUGCUGGCGGGUUAUUGACUAUUAUGAAGAUAAUAACGGGUGAGUGGUAUAUAUUAAUUUCAAUAUGGAAAAAUUGGCAAUCUCCCAAUUGAAUUUUAGUCAUAUAACCAUAGAAUUAGCAAUCUCAAUUUAAAAGAUUAAAUUAAAAAAAAUAUCAAUUUAUGACAUUUCUUAUAUUUUAUUUAUUAAUUAAAAUUAAUUACUUAAUUAUUUAUUUUAGUUAUUCUUUAUUUUUUUAUUUUAUCAUUAAAUUAACAAUAAUUUCAUAAAAAUGUAUCAAGAAGCGUAUAAUAGUAAAUGAAAAAAUAUUAGGUUUUUUAUUACCCUUUAUCUAUAGGGAGGAAACAAGUAAUUACAAAUCUAGUUGGAAUGUAAAUAAUUAAAAAUGGAUCUUUCAAGGAUGAAACUUUUCCCCCAAUCUAAAUAAUAUUCAUUGUCUGUUUAUACAUUAAUUUAUUGGUGCGAGUUUGCCACCUACAAAGUAUUUUAUUUUCACAUUUAGAGGAGGCCGUUUUUUGACCUUAUUAUUAUAUAUUAAUUUGUUGGUGCAUGAUUAAAAGAAAUUUACAGAUAAUAAUUCUUGCUUUUAGAAUGAUUUAAAUGCCAUGCGUCACAAUAACUUUAGAUGCUUCAAAAAAAUUAGAUCAAGAUGAACCAUGCCCUCUGACCUUGUAAUAUGUAAGCAAAUAAUCCAAUAAAAAAAAUUGCGAAUAUCAGCUAAUUAAAAGUUUAAUAGAAAUGUCUGACAACUAAAAAAAAAGAAUUAAAUUUCUUUUUUCCAUUAAUCGGAAUUGAGCCACCUCAAGAAUUGAGGGUCGCGCAACCCUAUUUAACCUAAUUUACACUCUCAGUCAAUCUGGAAGAACUAUGGCUUUGACUCAUGUAUUAUUGAUUUAAAUUGUCAUAGCACCACCAAUUCUUGGAGUUCCCGGAAGAUUUUGGUUGCUCCAAGUUCGAUGGGUUUGUUAAAGUUUCUAUGCAUUGCACGGUAGACAAAAACCAAUCAGAGAGAUAAUGAUAUAAGAAUAUCGAUGGCAACUUCCUCGAUUAGACUAUUGUCUUAUUAAUGACAAAACAUGUUUGACAGAUCUUGUUCUUGUUGCUUGUCAGAUUUCUCAUUUAUCUGCUUUUGUUUUGUCAGCAUGUUAGCUAUGAAAACACUACCUGUGGAUCUCUUGAACUUCCCGGCCAUGGAAACCCUGGAUGCAAUUUUUAUUGAAGUUGGUGAGUUCGUUACCAUCUUCUUCUGCUCGAAAAUUGCCGUCAUUAGAAAACUCCAUGGUAACAUGAAAGCUCUUCAGAAAGAACUAUGUUGAAAGCAGCAGCAGUGGACAGUCAACAGUUGAGCUCAGAGACACGUUGGCAUGCCACCUAAGCUACACCUAUCUGCAGCCAGCUAAUGAGAGAAAUGAGAUGGAUUUAAUGAGGUGGCUGAGGAAUAUCAGCACAUGAGCAUGGAAGGAUGGAGAUUCUAGAAGCUCUACAUCAUUGGUUAAUGAUAGCUAUAUUGACGGAUCAAUUUUUUUGCUUAUUUCCAAGUGCUGUCCUUUAGCUAGCUGUCGUUUUUCAUAGCUUGUGUAUAAAUAAGCCAAUGCUUGUAAACUUUUAUUCAUUCGAGUUAUUAAUAUUAAUGGAAGUGCCUCUGGUUUAUGCUCUGCUUGCAUCAAUAAGCAAUUCUUAAUGAAUUUAAGUAACUAGAAGAACUCACAGAAAGGAAAAAUGAAAUUGAAGAAGAUAUCAGAUUAGCUGAAAGUGAAGGAAAGUGUCGCAAUACAUGAGUCAGGGUGUGGCUCAGAAAGGUAGAGGAGACAGCACGAGAAGUGCAACCUACGAUCGAGGAGGGUGGCAGACUUGCUAUGCAAGGCUGAAGAAUUGACCUCCACCUAAUCUGAAUAUGUAACCUGUUGUUGAUCUUCGCUUAAAAUCUGUAUUUUUUAAAACUUAUUUCUGACUAUAAUAUAGUCACGUUUUCUAAUUAAAAAAUUAUUUCACAUACACACAUAUAAAUAUGUAAUCAUUAUUUUUAGAUGCGCAAGUACACACAAAAUUUUAAAAUAAGUACAAAUUUUCACAAAUAUCUCUAAGAUAACGUGAAAAAUAUGCCCAAGAUAAUUUUUCUUAAUUUUCAAAGGCAGCUGAUUAGAAUGAAGAGGCUGCUCGACUUAGUACUUCGGUAGAAGUAUCGUAAAGUUUAUGCCACCUGUUAUUUAUGAACUUUUAUCUUUCUAAAAUAAUCCUCCCCAUUGAUUCAGUUCAGAUUAAUUAACUAAGUUCUACUUGAUUUCUCUGUAAGGAAGUUGUCUAUUCUAAUUCCAUUCGAAGAAACUAUUCGUCACUGUUUGAGGGAAAUACUUCGACGAGACCAGACGUGAUGAGCAGAUAUUUGAUGGCAGGGUUCUGCGAACAGGUGUGUCCUGUAAGAGCCAGGUAGCAGGGGAACAGGAGCAGAAAUAUUCUGCUCAUCCGCGAAUAUGCCAUUCACGAGGUCGAACUCCUGUUAGAGGCAUAAGGCCAUUCCGGCUAGAGGUCGAGAGGGGAGGAGACCCAGUCAACGACAGUUGGCUAGACGUGCAUUCCUAUCCGAGAAUCAAGGCACGAAGUCCAUCUCCAUUCGCCCACAAUGGCGAUAGUGGGGCAUCCACAUCCGAGGGUGGGGAGAAUAACGGGCGUGGACUACGGAAGACCGGGAUUCAGAGGAAGCCUAUAAAAAGGUAGCCAACAAAGGUAAAAGGGUUAGAAUUUUUGCUAUUAGAACAAACAAAAGAGAGCUUUAAGAACUGAGACUAAAGAGAAGCCAAAAGAUUCACGGCGAACAUUCCCCGAACCUUCAUAUCUGACUUGAGCGUCGGAGGGUUUGCGCCGGGGAAACAACCGGCGUACUCUGACCUGUUUGUGUACGCAGGAACCUCUGGAGUAGAAGUUUUACGAGGAGAGAUCCUGAUCGUGGUAAAGUUGAUCGAGCAGAGACCCUGGUCGUAGAGAGAGGACAACCAGAAUCUCGCAUCAACAUUUUGGCGCCGUCUGUGGGGAGCUGAGCAAAAAGCUUUUGUUGAUAGCAAGAAGAGGAGUGAAGCAAGUGAAAAGCGAUGGAGACAGGAGGAAGUAGUGCACAAGGGGGUGAUAUGAGGCUUAAUGAUUCCGUGACGCUGAGGGAGAUAGCCAGUGAAGCACGGGAAAAAGCCAUGUUCGACCGGAUGGAACGGAUGGAAAAGCAGAUGGAGACCCUGACAACCAUCCUCCAUGAGCUGCGGAGUGAACGAAGAGUAACUCAGGAGGAAAGGGUGAGAGGUGGUGGAGUGACACCAGGUCCCGAUAGUAUGAGGAGAAGUCAAACCACCGGGAGAUUUGGGGGUGAGAGAGGUAACAUACCUUUGCGGGGAGAAAUUCAGAGGGAGGAAGAGCAAUCCCCAGCGAGACAGACUUUUGAUGAGGACGACAGGGUAGCGAAUGCAGAGGAAACAGAGCUCAGACAACACUUACAUGAUGUAGAGCAAGAGCGGGAUCAAGUUGCAGCACGUGACCCUGGUUGUGCAGUGCAGCUGGAGGAGGAAGUGCGCAGACUAGCGCAGGUAAUCGAUAACAUGCAAGGAAGGAGCAGAACUCCUGGUUGGAAGAUAAUGUUGGACGGAGAAUCACCGCUCGCAGCAGAGAUCAUGAGGGCAAUCAUUCCAAGAGAUUUUUGCCUCCCAGACCUUAGAUAUUCGGGACGAACUGAUCCGUUGGUGCACAUAGAGCGCUUCAACGACAUUACCGGGGUGCAAGGAUUAUCUCAAUCCCAAAGGUGAAGAGUGUUCCCACUCUCCUUUGAGGGACGUGCACGCGAGUGGUACAGGAAACUUCCUCGGGGGAGCAUUAAAACCUUCGAGCAGAUGUGCUAAGAAUUUGCAGAGCAGUUUAGUGGGGCAAUGGCACCAGAAGAUGACAUGAUGGAGCUGAAAAGCAUGAAACAAGGGGAGCAAGAAACCCUUCGGGAAUUCAUCAAGAGGUUUCAUUGUGCUGUCCUCGACUUGGGAGCCUUCAACCACCCUCAGGAAUUAAGGGGAUUGAAAGAAGGGGUGAAGAUAGAAAGGCUGUGGUACAACUUGAGAAGCCCAGUUAUUCAGACGUAUGCGGCUGCAUAUGAGCAGGCUAAGAGAGACAUUGAGAUUGAAAAGGAAAAGGCAGCACGGAUUAAGACAGACCAGUUAGAAGGGUUGAGGAAGAAAGAGAAGAAAGUAUUACCAGGGAAUGAGCCGAUCAGGAGGAGGGACCACCAGGCCUCAGGUAGUGCAGCAGGAGGUCGGAUAACUACUUACCAGCCUCAUCAGAGGCCACCACAGUAUCAGCGCAGCAGGGCGCAACCUCCUCGUUCCCCAGUUAGGGAGCCUUGGAGAAUGCAUGACUCAGCAUAUGGUGGUCUUCAUCAACACUCCCACGAUAGCAGAGGGAGUAGACCAGAAGUACUGCCACCGUCUCCAACUCAGAACGGAGCAAAUAGAGAAAGAGCAGUGCACCUGAUCGACCAGAACCAGGACUAUAGGCGGUAUACUUCCUUGAAGAUGUCUCUGGACGAGGUGUACGAGGCCAUAAAGGAUCGAGGGUUGCUAUACCUCCCUGCCCUAAUAACAAAGCUACCCAGCAGGAGGGAUAGGGGAUGCUAUUGUAAGUUCCAUGGCACUCAUGGCCACACCACAGCAGAUUGCAGAGAUCUCAAGACCCAGGUUGAAGAUUUGGUGAGAAAUCGGUAUCUGGACGAGUUUAUAGACGGGACCUUCGCAAUGGUAGCCUUAACAAGUGAAAUGAAGCAGAGUGACAGGAACUUGAGGCACGAGCAGCCUGCAGUAAGGGUGAUAGCUGGGGGCCCAACAUUGGCCGGAGAUUCCAACAGGUCGAGGAAGAAUUAUGCUAGAUACGCCAUGACCAGCAAAGAGGUACUCUUCAACACCCCAGCAGCCAAACGAGCAAGGGUCAGGCAAGUGCCAAUCAUGUGGACGGAUGAAGAUGAGGAAGGAAUUCUGUACAGCCUUAAAUUCUCCAUGCUAUCAAACACCGCCCAUGAUUAUGAACAAAUGAUUAUACAUUGAUUGUUUAAGAACUUAGCAACAACAAUACUAAGACCAAAACACAAGAAUUUGAUCAAAAAUAACAAUCAAACUAAUUCUCUCUAGAAAGCUCUCUAAUUCUUGCUGAAACUGCCUCAACAAUCAGCUUAUAUAACAGCUGAUAACAAACCCGGAUUGCCCAGGAUUCAGUCGUAUGGAUAACGGCUUUACCCCUAACUUGAUUCUCUUUUAAACAUGCAUUCUCAAGUGCGUCACCUAAGCGUUGCUUAAAACGUCAUCCCGUGUUGCCGUUUUAAUGUUUAAGUAAGCCGCAUGACCAGCCCGUGACAAAUCGAAAACAUAAUUAAUAAGCAAAACGAUCCCGUAUAAAUGCUUCAAGUUUUGAAUUCAUCAUUUUAGUCCGCAUGUACAAUUCAACUUUCUUCUUAAUUUCUCAAAUUCUUUCCUGCCUAGGAUCCGAGGUUUACUUGGUCAAGAUUCAAGUUUGCUUUGGCUGUUUGCUUUCGUCACCUUCUUUUCUUUUCAAGUUUAAAUUAUUUGUAUUGACCUCUUUAAAUUCAUAUUAUUAAUAUGAAAUCUUCUAUUAUGAACUUUCAAUUUAUAUUUUUAAGUAUAAUUUAUUAUGUGUUAAUUUACGAAAUAUCUCUUUUACUUUAGUAUUAAGAUUUGUGCAUUAAUAGUUAAUUUAUUAAUUUUAGGUAUAAGUUCAUUUUUUAUAUAUAAUUGAAUUAGAUGGUGUAAUACAUAUUAUAAUGUAUUUUCGUUAGUUUAAGACUUGAAAAGCAUUUAUUUUAUUUUACUGCAAUAAUUUUUAUAUGCAUUGCGGCAACCCCAAACCAAAAUCCUAAUUCAGUCCUUGUUUGUGCGUCGGUGAGUUCUUCAUACAUAUAUGAUUAAUUCGUAAAGAGACUGUUAGAAAUCAUGAGGAUCUCAUGAGGAUAUGAUCAGGGAUCAUGUAAAUUACCAGCCAAAAUGAAGAAGCUUCUCAAUUAAGUCAAUUAAGAGCCAAGAUCUUCUCCAUUAUUUCAUAUUACACCUCAUGGAAUUGCUUGGAUUGUAUCAUAACGCAUCAUGUGGAAAUUUUGCUGCAGGAUAGUGGUUAUUUAUAACGUAUUAUUACAAAAGAUGGGUGGAAAUGUAGUUUACACUUCAUACAAACAAGUUCAGUUUAAAUAACAAUAUUCAGUGAUCUUGAAUCUUUCUGAACUUGAUUGUAGUUUUCUUCUAUUAUCUUCUCAAUAAUAAUAAUAAUAAUAACAAUAUUCAAUCCCUUUCGAAAAUAAUCUUUGGAAAUCCUAUGAUUAAUUAUUAGAAAGAAAGUUACAAUAAAAUGGAAUAAUAUUGUAGAUUAUUUGAAAGAAUAAAUGCUUUCAUCGUGUCUGUUAAUUAAAACAAUAUUUAUCUUUUCAUAACUCUCUUUUUAAAGGAUUAGUACUCUUUAAUUGGUGAAGCAAAUGCACUUUUAUAUUUCUCAUGCUUGCAGAGAGGUUAAUGGUGAUGCAGAUUGUAUAGCUAAUCUCGGAUUGGCUUGUGUUUUUUUUCACUCGGUGGGAUUGAUUUGCCUGCCGAUCCAAUUAAACGGUUCCUAACUCAUAAUACAAAUGACUUUUUGUGCUAUCGUUUUGCCUCGUCACAUGAGGUGUUUUUAGUCUGAUAUACUAUGAUUAUUAUGACAAGAUAAGACUUAUUACAUUCCCCUAGAAGGGUAAUUGCCUAAUUGGUAUACCCAAUGAGGAAAAUAGAACACAGCAAUCAGACAGAACAACAGCAGGACUUAUCAAUUAUAACAACUGCUAAACUGGGAAAAUUAAAAUAAUUAAAAGUGCUGAUAAAUUGUCAUACAUCGUUAUUUUUCAUCAAUAGAAUUAUAAGGAAUGGGAAACCAAUUCUAAAAAAAUGGGUGUGUAGAGAAAAUAGAUCUUUAACGGUCCACGAGAAUUCGAUCUGCGCUUUGAUCAACACGAAAUAGGUGACGGUGACCUUUUUUUAUAAAAAACUUUUAUGAGAUGCCUUUGAUGGAGCAUUUCAUAAUCUAGAGUAAGGGCUUAAAAACAGAUCGCCUUUCGUUCUUAGAGUGACACCGAAAGCCUCAGUCAGAACAAGAUCUUCGUUAUUUUUUCCAUCAUGGAGUUUCCAAUCGAAAGUGGUAGAGCAUUUAGCAAGAGGAAGAUAACCGAAAGACAGACCUGGGCACAUCCUCUUCGAGCUCCAAAUGGGAUUAAUUCAAAAUGAUUUCUAUUGUAACCAUGACUCUGGAAUCAAAUUCCUGAAUUUUACAAGCAUGACCCAUCUUUUUAAGGCACAACCAACACUGGAAUUAUAUUCCUAAAUUUUACAAGCCUCUAUACAUUCGCUUGGGAGUAGCAAUGUAGCAGGAAGAUGUAACCUCGGAGUUUCUUUGAUGACUAGCUUUAAGUAUUGCAAUUCAUGAAGGCAUGCUUCAUCAAUAUUUCUUUUCUUUGUGCCUUUCUAUUACUCAUUGGGGUUAAGCAUUCUUGACAUAGCCCAUUUUCUAUUACUCAUUCUUGGGGCUAAGCAUUCAUAUAUGUAUAUAUUGAUGUAAUUUUAUGAAAUUUUUAAGAAACUACUGCAAAGAAAUGUUGAAAUGGCUCAAAAACAGUAUAUUUUUGUGGAUAUUUGCUUUGAGUAAAAUGAAAUGGCAAGAAUUCGCAACGAAUUUUCAACACCAUUAGUAAAAACCAGAAGCACUUUGGGUUGGGUUCCGGGGCCAUGACAAUCCCCAAAACCAACCCAAUCUAGAUAUGGGCCUUGAUUUUAGGCCCUACUGAGUCCAAUCAAAUUUUAAGCAGAUUUGGCACUGAAACCGGACCCAAUUCAGUCAGAUCCCCGAGCCCUAUAGCAGCUGGUUCACCUUAAUUUAAGUGGAAUGAAAUUGCAACACUAGUUUUAUGGAUUGUGUGCUUUAUUAUUUUUUAAAUUGUCCCUUACUUUAUUAAAAAAAAGAGAUUUUCUUAUUAUAAAAUAAAUAAACAUAAAUUUUAAUAUAUUAUAAAAUAAAACACAUUAUAUUAAUUUUAAUAUAAAAACUAAUUUUUUUGAACAUCAUAAUUUAAGAGCAUGUUCGUAUAAAAAAAAAGAUAGUCGCACCAGAGAAUGAAAUAUAUAUAUUUUAAUAUAUUAAAUAAUUUUAUAUAUUGUAUGGAUUGUGUGCUUUAUUAUUUUUUAAAUUGUCCCUUACUUUAUUAAAAAAAAGAGAUUUUCUUAUUAUAAAAUAAAUAAACAUAAAUUUUAAUAUAUUAUAAAAUAAAACACAUUAUAUUAAUUUUAAUAUAAUUAGACAUCUCUAGCUGAAAAAGAAAGUUUUAGUAUCUUUUAAUUAUUAAAAAUUUAACUAUUUCUCAAAAUUUUAAGAUCGUAAAAAAAUUUUUUCCUUGUGUAUAAUUAUUGACAAGUGCAGAUGUCCACAUAAGUUGAGUACAAAUUUUCACAAAUAUCUCAUAGAUAAUGUGAAAAAUAUGCCGGGAGACAACUUUUAUUAAUUUUCAAAGGCGAUUGACUCAGAAUGAUGUACGUGCUUGUCUCUGUGUGUGUACAAUUAUUCUAGAAUGCGGAUGUCCCACAAAUAUCUCACAAAUUUUUAAAAUAAGUACAAGUUCUCACAAAUAUCUCUUAGUUAACGUGAAAAAUAUGCCCCCGACAACUUUUCUUUAAUUUUCAAAGGAGGCUCUGACUAAGAAUGAAUAGGACGCUUAACUUGGUAGAAGUGUCUUGAUGUUUCUGCAACCUAUUAUGUACUAACAUUUUUUCAAUGUCCCCACGGANNNNNNNNNNNNNNNNNNNNNNNNNNNNNNNNNNNNNNNNNNNNNNNNNNNNNNNNNNNNNNNNNNNNNNNNNNNNNNNNNNNNNNNNNNNNNNNNNNNNNNNNNNNNNNNNNNNNNNNNNNNNNNNNNNNNNNNNNNNNNNNNNNNNNNNNNNNNNNNNNNNNNNNNNNNNNNNNNNNNNNNNNNNNNNNNNNNNNNNNNNNNNNNNNNNNNNNNNNNNNNNNNNNNNNNNNNNNNNNNNNNNNNNNNNNNNNNNNNNNNNNNNNNNNNNNNNNNNNNNNNNNNNNNNNNNNNNNNNNNNNNNNNNNNNNNNNNNNNNNNNNNNNNNNNNNNNNNNNNNNNNNNNNNNNNNNNNNNNNNNNNNNNNNNNNNNNNNNNNNNNNNNNNNNNNNNNNNNNNNNNNNNNNNNNNNNNNNNNNNNNNNNNNNNNNNNNNNNNNNNNNNNNNNNNNNNNNNNNNNNNNNNNNNNNNNNNNNNNNNNNNNNNNNNNNNNNNNNNNNNNNNNNNNNNNNNNNNNNNNNNNNNNNNNNNNNNNNNNNNNNNNNNNNNNNNNNNNNNNNNNNNNNNNNNNNNNNNNNNNNNNNNNNNNNNNNNNNNNNNNNNNNNNNNNNNNNNNNNNNNNNNNNNNNNNNNNNNNNNNNNNNNNNNNNNNNNNNNNNNNCUUGGAGGGGGGGGCGUGGUAAAUUUUAAAAAUGACAGGAAAAGAUGCAAAAUUUUUAGCUGUCCAUAAAGGUAGAAGUGAACAAGUUCUUCGGGAUUGGUUCAUUAUAUGGUAAGAUAUGAAAACAAUACAAUUAUGCGCAAAAAACAGACAAUUGUAGUGCAAGUCGUGGCCUAUAGAAAAAGAUACAGUAUUUAAUACACGGCAGUGCCUACAUCACCUAUUACAAUCCAGUAAUAAUAAAGCAAGGGGGUGGAAUGUCCCAUAAUUAAGGAUGUAUAAUUAAAAAAAAAUAAACCGAUUAUUUUUAUUAAAAAAAAGAAGAUAAAAGAGAGCAAAAUAUGAUGAAAUAAUGAUAAAAAUAUUUGUCCUUUUUGUGAAUUUUUAAUUAAUACGUGUACAAAUGAUCAUUUUUAAUUAAGUAGCAUAUAGACUCAUAAAUAUGAAUUAAGACUUUUGUACAUGCGCGGAUUGCAGAUAAGUGAUACUUCAAAUCAAGAGGAAUACAAGUCAGGAGCCUAAUAACAGCUACGGUAGAUAAGCCUGCCCAGAAGUUACAAUUGAAUGAUGUAGUCCAACGAUUGGGUGUGGCCUAUCACUUCGAACAGGAGAUAGAAGAUGCAUUAGAAAAUAUCUAUCAUGAUAACUUUGACAAUUGUUGAUGCCAAAAUCCAUUGAGUCCGCUAGUGACUCGAUCUCAGAUCCCUGCAUCAGCAUUAAAUUUGUUUGGUGGGAAGCUGCUGGUUGAUUUCCAAGAAGAUCCUCCGACUAUUAACAGAAUAUUCAUGAGCAGAUAAUCUUCAAGCUGCGAAUCAGCAAGUACAUGAAUUACAGAGAAUGGUCAGGGGUGCUGGAAGUUUUUCCGUCGAAAACUCUCCGCUGCUCAAGUCAGUUUAUAAGUUUACGGGAAAAACAAAAUAUUUAAUUUAUAGUUUUUGUGAAGAAAAUAAUCUUAAGUAAAUGUAAUAGAAAAAUCAAAAUUGAGAAAGAAAGUUCAACCUCCAUUACCAUGAUUUUCUUUGGGUUUUUAUAAACACCCCACACCCACGACCUUAGAUCGUGGCAAUUAAUGAAUUAAAUUCAUACCCUGAUUUUUUGGAGGUGAUCUGUGGCGGUUAUUUUGAUUGAGUCAUGCUUCCUGGUGACUUGGUCCAAUGUCUCCUCAAACCCAUCUGCUUGAGGUCACCAAAAUUGCCACAUGGUCGAGAUAGCUUGCCCAAGGCCACAAGAUUUAGCCUCUGGUCGAGGUGAUUGCUCAUGGUCUCAAGAUUACCACCUAGUCAAGGUGGUCUGCUCGUAAUCUCAAGAUUACCACCUGGUUGAGGUGGUCUACUCAUAAUCUCAAGAUUACCACCUGCUCGAGGUGGUAUGCUCAUGGUCUUAAGAAUUACCACCUGGUCGAAGUGGUCUGCUCGUAGUCUCAAGAUUACCACCUGGUCGAGGUGGUUUGCUCAUAAUCUCAAGAUUACCACCUGGUCGAGGUGGUAUGCUCAUGGUCUUAAGAAUUACCACCUGGUCGAAGUGGUCUGCUCGUAGUCUCAAGAUUACCACCUGGUCGAUAUGGUCUACUCAGGGUCACAAGAAUUACCUUUUAUUAGUCUAUCAACCAUUUGCUCACUUUUUAUUUUAGGAGAUCAUGGUUAUCCUAUUUUAUUCCCCCAAACAACUAUCUUUAAGUGUUGUAAUUCAUGUCGGCAUGCUUCCUCAACAAUUCUUUCCUUUUGAAAGUCUUUCCUUGCCUCUACUUCCACCUUUUCCAUCACUCUUGGGUGUUUAAGCUUUUUUGAUAGGGCGCAUUCUAUAAAAAUGUCCUGAAAUGGGAUUAUAAUUUGAGUCAUACAUGGGAUUAUAAUUUGAGUCAUACAUGUAUAUGUUGAUGUAAUUUAUGAAAUUUUUUUAGAAACUACAGCAAAGAAAUGUUGAAAGGGCUCAUAAACAGUAUAUUUUGUGGAUCCUUGCUUUGAGUAUAAUGAAAUGGCAAGAAUUGACAUCCCCGAAUUUUUUAACACCGUUAGAUAAAAGCCAGAAGCACUUUGGGUUGGGUUUUAGAGCCAUGACAAGCAGCAAAGCCAACCCAAUCUAAAUCUCGGCUUUAAUCCUAGGCCCUUUCUGGUCCAAUCAAAUUUUAAACUGAUUCCACACCUAAAAAGUGUCCCAAUUUGGUUGGAUUUAAGGAUGAUAAAUUGGUCUAUUUAAAUUGUAUAUCCAAACAUUUAAUCUAAUUGAAUUGGAUAAUAUCCAUCUAAAAUAUUUUUGAAUGUGGAUAUGGAUAAUUUUAAAAAUAUUUAAUUAGNNNNNNNNNNNNNNNNNNNNNNNNNNNNNNNNNNNNNNNNNNNNNNNNNNNNNNNNNNNNNNNNNNNNNNNNNNNNNNNNNNNNNNNNNNNNNNNNNNNNNNNNNNNNNNNNNNNNNNNNNNNNNNNNNNNNNNNNNNNNNNNNNNNNNNNNNNNNNNNNNNNNNNNNNNNNNNNNNNNNNNNNNNNNNNNNNNNNNNNNNNNNNNNNNNNNNNNNNNNNNNNNNNNNNNNNNNNNNNNNNNNNNNNNNNNNNNNNNNNNNNNNNNNNNNNNNNNNNNNNNNNNNNNNNNNNNNNNNNNNNNNNNNNNNNNNNNNNNNNNNNNNNNNNNNNNNNNNNNNNNNNNNNNNNNNNNNNNNNNNNNNNNNNNNNNNNNNNNNNNNNNNNNNNNNNNNNNNNNNNNNNNNNNNNNNNNNNNNNNNNNNNNNNNNNNNNNNNNNNNNNNNNNNNNNNNNNNNNNNNNNNNNNNNNNNNNNNNNNNNNNNNNNNNNNNNNNNNNNNNNNNNNNNNNNNNNNNNNNNNNNNNNNNNNNNNNNNNNNNNNNNNNNNNNNNNNNNNNNNNNNNNNNNNNNNNNNNNNNNNNNNNNNNNNNNNNNNNNNNNNNNNNNNNNNNNNNNNNNNNNNNNNNNNNNNNNNNNNNNNNNNNNNNNNNNNNNNNNNNNNNNNNNNNNNNNNNNNNNNNNNNNNNNNNNNNNNNNNNNNNNNNNNNNNNNNNNNNNNNNNNNNNNNNNNNNNNNNNNNNNNNNNNNNNNNNNNNNNNNNNNNNNNNNNNNNNNNNNNNNNNNNNNNNNNNNNNNNNNNNNNNNNNNNNNNNNNNNNNNNNNNNNNNNNNNNNNNNNNNNNNNNNNNNNNNNNNNNNNNNNNNNNNNNNNNNNNNNNNNNNNNNNNNNNNNNNNNNNNNNNNNNNNNNNNNNNNNNNNNNNNNNNNNNNNNNNNNNNNNNNNNNNNNNNNNNNNNNNNNNNNNNNNNNNNNNNNNNNNNNNNNNNNNNNNNNNNNNNNNNNNNNNNNNNNNNNNNNNNNNNNNNNNNNNNNNNNNNNNNNNNNNNNNNNNNNNNNNNNNNNNNNNNNNNNNNNNNNNNNNNNNNNNNNNNNNNNNNNNNNNNNNNNNNNNNNNNNNNNNNNNNNNNNNNNNNNNNNNNNNNNNNNNNNNNNNNNNNNNNNNNNNNNNNNNNNNNNNNNNNNNNNNNNNNNNNNNNNNNNNNNNNNNNNNNNNNNNNNNNNNNNNNNNNNNNNNNNNNNNNNNNNNNNNNNNNNNNNNNNNNNNNNNNNNNNNNNNNNNNNNNNNNNNNNNNNNNNNNNNNNNNNNNNNNNNNNNNNNNNNNNNNNNNNNNNNNNNNNNNNNNNNNNNNNNNNNNNNNNNNNNNNNNNNNNNNNNNNNNNNNNNNNNNNNNNNNNNNNNNNNNNNNNNNNNNNNNNNNNNNNNNNNNNNNNNNNNNNNNNNNNNNNNNNNNNNNNNNNNNNNNNNNNNNNNNNNNNNNNNNNNNNNNNNNNNNNNNNNNNNNNNNNNNNNNNNNNNNNNNNNNNNNNNNNNNNNNNNNNNNNNNNNNNNNNNNNNNNNNNNNNNNNNNNNNNNNNNNNNNNNNNNNNNNNNNNNNNNNNNNNNNNNNNNNNNNNNNNNNNNNNNNNNNNNNNNNNNNNNNNNNNNNNNNNNNNNNNNNNNNNNNNNNNNNNNNNNNNNNNNNNNNNNNNNNNNNNNNNNNNNNNNNNNNNNNNNNNNNNNNNNNNNNNNNNNNNNNNNNNNNNNNNNNNNNNNNNNNNNNNNNNNNNNNNNNNNNNNNNNNNNNNNNNNNNNNNNNNNNNNNNNNNNNNNNNNNNNNNNNNNNNNNNNNNNNNNNNNNNNNNNNNNNNNNNNNNNNNNNNNNNNNNNNNNNNNNNNNNNNNNNNNNNNNNNNNNNNNNNNNNNNNNNNNNNNNNNNNNNNNNNNNNNNNNNNNNNNNNNNNNNNNNNNNNNNNNNNNNNNNNNNNNNNNNNNNNNNNNNNNNNNNNNNNNNNNNNNNNNNNNNNNNNNNNNNNNNNNNNNNNNNNNNNNNNNNNNNNNNNNNNNNNNNNNNNNNNNNNNNNNNNNNNNNNNNNNNNNNNNNNNNNNNNNNNNNNNNNNNNNNNNNNNNNNNNNNNNNNNNNNNNNNNNNNNNNNNNNNNNNNNNNNNNNNNNNNNNNNNNNNNNNNNNNNNNNNNNNNNNNNNNNNNNNNNNNNNNNNNNNNNNNNNNNNNNNNNNNNNNNNNNNNNNNNNNNNNNNNNNNNNNNNNNNNNNNNNNNNNNNNNNNNNNNNNNNNNNNNNNNNNNNNNNNNNNNNNNNNNNNNNNNNNNNNNNNNNNNNNNNNNNNNNNNNUACCAAACCAAGAUUUUUUAGUUUGCAGUAAAAUUUUUAUGUAUUCUAGAUUGUCCAACAGUGGUAGUGGUUAUAGUUUUUGUAUAUUAUGUGCUUGUUGCUAAUAAUAAUAAUAAUAAAAAGUUAUAGCGUUUGGAGGAUAAUGUGUAUAAUGAAAGAGUAAUGAUACAAUUAUAAUUUUUUUUAAGAACGGAUGUGAUAUAAAUUCAUUGAUUAGAUGAAAGUACAAAACAAUAAAAAUAAAUCAUGUAAAUUUCUCUCUUUUUUUUUUCAUGAAACAAAUUCUCCAAAUAUAACAUGAAAGAUUUCCAACUUCUCUUUAAAAUUUUUAACUUUUGCCACAUAUCCCUCGAGUUUUCAUAAUUCCCUUGCUACUUCCUUAAAAGAUGAAACCAAAUUGUGUUCUUCUUUGUAUUUCUUAUAUACUACAGAAAUAACGAUUGUUAGAGUGACCACUUUAUAAUAUCGAAAAAUAUCUAUCUAAUUAGAUUUAAAAUUGAAUUUCAGGUGGUGGAACGAUUUAGGCUUCCCUAAAAAGGUGCCUUAUGCAAGAGAUAGAAUAGUGGAGAUAUAUAUCUGGAUGUUAUUAGGAGUGUCCUAUGAGCCCAAAUUGGCAUUUGGUAGAACUUUUGCAUCCAAAGUGAUAUGCAUGAUAUCCAUAAUAGACGACACAUUUGAUGCUUACAGUACUUUUGAGGAGCUCACACUUUUUACUGAAGCAGUCACAAGGUUAUAAAAUCAUAUACAUCCCUAUUUAGUAGUUGUUAAGUUGCAUUAUCUGUAUUUUAUAGGUUACAAUAACCUAAAUAAUGGGGACAUCAUGAGUGACUAUUACGGUUGCUGUAUGUUAUACAUGAUUUGACUUAACAAGACCCCAUGCCUAUAUAAUAAAGGAUUAUUAUCGUUUCAUUACUUCAAGAAUGAUAAAAUAUCAAAUAAGUACAAGAAGUAUUGUNNNNNNNNNNNNNNNNNNNNNNNNNNNNNNNNNNNNNNNNNNNNNNNNNNNNNNNNNNNNNNNNNNNNNNNNNNNNNNNNNNNNNNNNNNNNNNNNNNNNAUACAGCCACAAACUCCUGUACCAACUUAUUUUGUACCAACUGACGUGAGAUUAAUUCAUUGGUUGAAUGAAAAUAUAAAAUAAUAAAAACAAAUUAUGUGGGCCAAGUGAUAUUUAAUUCAACAAAUUUUAUCAUGUCACAUCAGUUUAUACAAAAUAAGUUUCUACAAGAGUUUGUGGCUAUAUCAUUACUCUUAAAAUAAAUGUAAGUUAAAUAAUUAUGGCCUUCUUGGAAUAUUAUUAUUGUGAAAUUAAAACAGAGAUAGGUUUUCAAAAUAAUUUACGGUCGUUACGCUGAGUAGUUAGUUAAUGUACGCACAAUAUGACAAUAUGCAAGUUGCAUACGAAAGCUGAAAAAUGAUAUGGAUCCCUAUCAUCAAUGAACCCCACCUCAAUCUGAUCAAGAUAAAUUUUUGUGGCCAGUUUGUGAUUAAGAUAAAAUUUAAUAUAACUUUAUUACUAUUUUAAUUUUUAUAUAUGUAUUUUUGUAUAGAGUUAGAGAUACAGUUAGAGUUAACUCUCUAUCAUUACCUCAAAAACAAAUUCUAAAUUUAAAAAUUUAUGUAAAAUGAUCGCAAUCAUCUUAGGUUGCAUUUGGGAUUGAGAUGCUGUACUUUUUAAACUACAGCUGCAGUGGAAAAAAAGCUGUAAAUAUGAAACAAAAGUUAAUAAUAUGUAGUAAAUAUAAAUUUUAAAUAAUAAUUUUAAUAAAAUUAUUAAAGAUAUAAUAGAUUCUCUAUUAUACAAGUGAAAAAUUAUAUCAACAUAAUUUUCAAGUUACAGCAGCUAGUGUUUACAAAAUACUUUACUACUAUAACUUUUAAGCUGCAGCUGUCUAACCUUAAUCUCAAACGCACCCAUAAUAUGUUGAGAUAACGGUCCAAGAGUAUUUUAUCAUAUGGUUUAAUAAUGCAUCCCCCAAUCAGAUCCAUUGGCUUUUUUAAUAUUAAAUUUAAUGAUCCCAACGUAGGAUCACUACUGAGCACAUGACAAAGUACCAACGAAAGUGUUCCACUACCUCAUCGUUUCUCUCUAUAUAUAGAGCAUUUGUGUCUUGAGGUUUUUGCAACUCCUACUCUUAAAAACAAACUAUAUAGUUGUAUUUGGUUUGUCUGAAACGGAAUGAAAGAUAUGUCUAUUCCACUUCUAGCAGCAGUUUCCAGUUCAACUGAAGAAACUGUUCGUCCCAUUGCAGAUUUUCAUCCUACUUUAUGGGGAAACCAUUUCCUGAAAUCCGCUGCCGAUGUCGAGGUAAUUAAAAAAUUGCAAUAUCAAAAUAUCUCAUUAAUUAUCAGAGAGGCAAGCCCAAUCGAUGUACAAUCAUAUGUCAUAUGUAAUCGUUUGUUAGACAUACGUAAUGCAUUAAUAUUAAGUAAUUUCUUGCGUUUGCAGACAAUUGACGCUGCAACUCAAGAACAGCACGCAGCACUGAAGCAAGAGGUCAGGAGGAUGAUAACCACUACUGCCAAUAAGCUUGCCCAAAAACUACACAUGAUUGAUGCAGUACAACGACUAGGUGUCGCUUAUCAUUUUGAAAAAGAGAUUGAAGAUGAAUUGGGAAAGGUAUCUCAUGAUCUUGACAGUGAUGAUCUAUACGUUGUUUCUCUUCGUUUUCGACUUUUUAGACAGCAAGGAGUUAAGAUUUCAUGUGGUAUGCAAUAGUUUCUCAUUUUGUUAAUUAAACUAUUUAUGUUAAUUACAAGAUUAUUGUUGAUUAUCAAAUUAAAUUUAAGCAUGUACACUAAUCGAGACUAGCUCGCCUCUUUUGAAUAUGGUCAUCAGAUGUGUUUGAGAAGUUCAAAGAUGAUGAAGGUAAAUUCAAGGAAUCAUUGAUCAACGAUAUACGAGGCAUGUUGAGUUUGUACGAGGCAGCAUACCUAGCAAUUCGGGGAGAAGACAUUUUAGAUGAAGCCAUUGUUUUCACUACCACUCACCUUAAGUCAGUAAUAUCUGUAUCUGAUCAUUCUCAUGUAAACUCUAAUCUUGCUGAACAAAUACGUCAUUCUCUGCAAAUUCCUCUCCGUAAAGCCGCAGCAAGGUUAGAGGCAAGGUAUUUUUUGGAUAUCUAUUCAAGGGAUGAUUUGCAUGAUGAAACUUUGCUCAAGUUUGCAAAGUUAGACUUUAAUAUAUUACAAGCAGCACACCAGAAGGAAGCAAGUAUCAUGACCAGGUAACUUCAUAUAUAUUCUUUCAACGUGGAAAAGCCUAUUAUUGGUGUUGUUUUGAAAUGGGAGAUUGUCACUUUCCCUAGAAAGAGAAAUCAUAUUUUACCAGUUCCCCCUUGUAUAAUCAAAGGCAAAAUAUCUUAUAAUAGUUAUUAUUAUUAUUUAUUUAUUUAUUAAUACCAAACCAAGAUUUUUAGUUUGCAGUAAAAUUUUUAUGUAUUCUAGAUUUGUCAACAGUGGUAGUGGUUAUAGUUUUUGUAUAUUAUGUGCUUGUUGCUAAUAAUAAUAAUAAUAAAAAGUUAUAGCGUUUGGAGGAUAAUGUGUAUAAUGAAAGAGUAAUGAUACAAUUAUAAUUUUUUUUAAGAACGGAUGUGAUAUAAAUUCAUUGAUUAGAUGAAAGUACAAAACAAUAAAAAUAAAUCAUGUAAAUUUCUCUCUUUUUUUUUUCAUGAAACAAAUUCUCCAAAUAUAACAUGAAAGAUUUCCAACUUCUCUUUAAAAUUUUUAACUUUUGCCACAUAUCCCUCGAGUUUUCAUAAUUCCCUUGCUACUUCCUUAAAAGAUGAAACCAAAUUGUGUUCUUCUUUGUAUUUCUUAUAUACUACAGAAAUAACGAUUGUUAGAGUGACCACUUUAUAAUAUCGAAAAAUAUCUAUCUAAUUAGAUUUAAAAUUGAAUUUCAGGUGGUGGAACGAUUUAGGCUUCCCUAAAAAGGUGCCUUAUGCAAGAGAUAGAAUAGUGGAGAUAUAUAUCUGGAUGUUAUUAGGAGUGUCCUAUGAGCCCAAAUUGGCAUUUGGUAGAACUUUUGCAUCCAAAGUGAUAUGCAUGAUAUCCAUAAUAGACGACACAUUUGAUGCUUACAGUACUUUUGAGGAGCUCACACUUUUUACUGAAGCAGUCACAAGGUUAUAAAAUCAUAUACAUCCCUAUUUAGUAGUUGUUAAGUUGCAUUAUCUGUAUUUUAUAGGUUACAAUAACCUAAAUAAUGGGGACAUCAUGAGUGACUAUUACGGUUGCUGUAUGUUAUACAUGAUUUGACUUAACAAGACCCCAUGCCUAUAUAAUAAAGGAUUAUUAUCGUUUCAUUACUUCAAGAAUGAUAAAAUAUCAAAUAAGUACAAGAAGUAUUGUUCCCCAUCAUUUUACUACUAUAACUUUGUAAAACCUUUUAUUUUACUACUUUUCUAUUAGAAUCGUUAGUUAAUUAAUAAAAUAUGAAUUUUACUCUUUAUGAUAAAAUGCACAAUAGAGGUAUCCAAUAGUAUACAUAAAAUUAUGAAUAAUAGUUUUAAAGAUGAAUUCUUAAAUAAUAGUUUUAACCAUAAUUUUUUGAAUAACCCUUGAUUUAUUAUGACUAUAAAAGUAGUGAAUUGACAAAAAUACCCUAUAAAUUUUUGCCCAAAAAAACUCACAAUCUAUUCUAGAAGAAAAAAAAUUAAAUAUGGAAAUGUUGAUUCUGUAAAUAAACUUUAAGUGUUUUUUUUAGAAUAAGUUGUGUGUUUUUUUAAGAAAAAUAUCCAAGAGUAUUUUGUUAAUGCACCAUUUUUAUAGUUACGAUAAAUUUAGGGUUAUUCAUAAAGUCAUGGUUAAAACCAUUAUUUUACAAUUAAAGAGCAUGCCAAUAAUUUUUGUCUCUUAUUUGAUACCUCUAUUUGUUAAUUUUACCGUAAAACAAAAAAUUGAUAUUUUACUAAUCAACUAAUGGUUUUAACGAAAAAGUAGUAAAAUGAUAGGAAAUGAUACUUCUUAUAGUCAUUUGAUAUUUUACAACUCUUGAAGUAAACAAUAAUAACCCUAUAAUAUAAUUCUUUGAUUGGAUAUUUAAUUCAUAAUAUACUUUUAUUAGAAAUAAAUUAAUUUUAUCGCUUAUAUAUUUUCUUAAGAACGUGCUAACAUAACAAUUAUAAUUGAUUUUUUCAGAUGGGACAUUGGCCUCAUCGAUACACUGCCAGAAUACAUGAAAUUUAUUUUCAAGGCACUCUUAGAUAUUUAUAGAGAAGCUGAGGAAGAAUUGGCAAAGGAAUGAAGAUCGUAUGGCAUAUCAUAUGCAAAACAGACGGUAAGCAAUUACUUUAUCAGCAUUGAUGUUUGCCUCGAGUCAAACCCUGAAAGAGAUCUAAAACGACGCCGUUUUUCAAAAGGCAAAAUUCUCACGCUUAAGGCAAAAGCAAUGCCAAAAGCCCAGAACCCAUCUGUUUUCUCUUCCUCUUCAUUUCACCAUACUAGAAUUUUGAGUACAAUUCUUACACAGUUUACUUCUCCCAAAACCCAAUUGCCAACACAAACAAACUGCUUGCUUCACUUCAAAAAACUUGUUGUAACCAACAACUUGCUUCUGUUGCUGCGGCUGUUGUCGUUGCUGCAGUGGUCUUGAGUCCACAAAUCCAGAAGAAGAAAGUCGAAUGGAUAGCUCUAAGUCGAGAAUUUCUUGUUAAUGGGUGCUACUAUGCAUUAUUUCUUCAUUAUUAUUAAUAGUCUAUUUGUUGAAAUUAUUAUGGUUAUGAAUUUGGCUGAGAGGGCGGUGAGUUUGAGGGUCAAGGCCAUGGUUAAGUAACUUCUGCUUGAUGUGUGUAUUCUAAUAAUUCUUUAUUUUAUUAUCUAUGCUUGCUGGUAAUCUUCUAGCUAUCAAUGACCACUUGCACAUUGCACAAAUUCAAAACACCCCCACCCAAAAAAAAAAAAGUUUUUUUUAGAUCUAAUAAUUAAAAUUUACCCACCCCUAAACAAAUAAAAAUUUUAAAAAGAAAAAAAGAGAGAAGAAGCUUAAUUAAUUACUUGUUUCAGCUGGGUUAAAUAAAGAGGAAGAAGAAGACUACCAUUUGCAAACCAAAACGACUUCGUUCACAGCAAAUCAUAACAAACAAACAAAAAAAUAAUUCAAGCAGAAACAGUGCUGUUAAGAGAACGAAGAAAAGGAGGAAGAAAAGGUUCAGCUGGGUUAAAGAAAGAGGAAGAAGAAGGCUGCCAUUUACAAACCAAAACGACUUCGUUGAAAGCAAAUAAGAACAAAUAAAAAUUGAAACAGAAACGUCGUCGUUCAAUAACACUUGAAAACAAAAAAAAUUAAGAGCCGAAAUGGCGUCAUUUGACGCAAUUUCAGGGUUUGUCCCGGGUCAACAUCAUUUUCCUUACUUUAUUAAUAAUCAAUUUCAUGUUAUAUGAUUUUGCAAGGUGAUUAUUAUUGACUUGGGUUAUGUUGCUCAGAUGCAAGAAUUAAUUAUGUUGUACUUUACCGAAGCCAAGUGGUUAUAUAAAGGUUAUAUUCCAAGCUUCGAUGAAUACAAAUCAGUUGCAUUAAGAAGUAUCGGUUUUCUUCCGGUAGCAGUCGCUUCCUUCGUUGAUUUGGGUGAUUUUAUUGCAACGAAGGACAAUUUUGAAUGCAUUCUUAAAAACGCUAAGAGUGUUAAAGCGACACAAACCAUUGUCAGGUUCAUGGAUGACAUAGCAGGUUAUAAGGUAAAUAAUACUUUUCAUUCUACAUUAUAAUUCAAUUCAAUAAGACUAUAUUCACCACUACUCUCGAAGAGAAAUUUUGUAAUGUAUCUUAAGGCGCGUCAUCAUAGUACAUAAUUUAUUUAUCUAUUUUAAAGGUAGAGAUGUGGGUGAAGCCCAAAUCAAUUUUUCUAACACCUAGCUUCUCGAGAUUCAAACUUAGAAAUUGUCAGUAAAAUAAAGGUUGUUGAAAACCAUUCGGUCUCUGCGGCUGCAUUUCUUUUCAACUCUCUUUUAACACAUAACAACACGUAACAUAUAUGCCCAAGGAAAAAAAAAAAAGUUAGCUAACUGAUGAUUUUUUUUUAGUUCUCUUAUAACCAAUUCAUAUGCAUCCGUGAUGUAGUUUGAGCAAAAGAGAGGACAUAUUCCCUCAGCAGUUGAGUGCUACAAGAAUCAACAUGGCGUCUCCGAGGAAGAGGCAGUUAAAGAGUUGUUGUUAGAAGUUGCUGACAGUUGGAAAGAUAUAAAUGAGGAGCUUCUCAACCCAACGACUGCCUCGUUACCUACGCUUCAGCGGGUUCUUUAUUUCGCACGUUCAGGCCAUUUUAUCUACGACGAUGGUCAUGAUCGCUACACCCAUUCAUUGAUGAUGAAACGCCAAGUUGCCUUGUUGCUGACGGAACCCCUUGCGAUCUGAAGAUUAACGUCAUGCUAUUGAUUUUCCAUCGGGUAUAUUUGAGCAGUUGUAAUAAAUGAAGGUCGUGCUGGCUAUUUAGCUAGCUACUCAUGCCUAGCUAGAAAAUGUGUCGCCAAAUAAUAUUGUUCCAAAUUGUGGUCCUUUUAGUUAAAAAAUUAAUAAUAAAAUAUUUUUCUUCUAAUUUCUUUAUUAUUUUAUAAACAUUUUCUUAUAAUAAAUAUACAAUAUAAAAUUAAAAAAGCACAAGAAAAAUAUCUUAUUAUUAAUUUUUUUUCACACCAAAACAUAUAUAUAUAUAUAUAUAUAUAUAUAUGUGUGUGUGUGUGUGUGUGUAUCUUAUUUUUAAUAUUUAAAUUUGUUAUUUUAAUUUCUAUUUAUAACAUUUAUCUCCCUUGAGCAAUAAUAGUGUUUUUAUCUCCCUCGAGCAGCCAAUCAGCUCUAGAUAUUUGUUUCCAAUACACUUCCUUGUCAAGCAACAAAUUGUCGAUCUGUUUUUCAAGCCUCUUAAGUUUUUCCCCAUUUUCAAGCCUCUUAAGACUGAAUUAAGUAAACAUAUUUACCUUCUUUGGGAUGAUGGGAUCCAUUCAGCACCCAAUUUAGCAGGAUUAGUAGAUCCCUCAAAAGGACCCACAAAUUCUUUAUUUUAAAUGUUGUGGAUUGUAUGGAUGGUCCCAAAAAGGGACACAUUAGAAACUGACAAAUGGCAAGUCGUGAUUAUUCUUGAAAAUAUUUGAGAUGCUUGAAUAUGGUGAAAAUAGGAAUUGUUUUGUUACUUUUACAAUUCUUGAUUUUUACAAAUAUAUAAAGACGUUCAAGAUGUUGUACAAGGAAAGACAAUAUUUACAAUAAUUAUAAUAAUCAACUAGCCGUUGUGAUGAAUCCACCAUGACAUGUGCUGCUAUAUUUUCCAUCAAUUAUGGCUUAGACGAGAUGUUGGAAAUCCUCUUGCCAUGGCGGUACAAGCUACCAUAUUUGUUGCUUGUGACUUGUCCUUAUCAUAUUUUCCAUCAAUUAUGGCUUAGACAAGAUGUUGGAAAUCCUCUUGCCAUGGCGGUACAAGCUACCAUAUUUAUUGCUUGUGACUUGUCCUUAUCAUAUUUUCCAUCAAUUAUGGCUUAGACAAGAUGUUGGAAAUCCUCUUGCCAUGGCGGCACAAGCUACCAUAUUUGUUGCUUGUGACUUGUCCUUAUCAGCCCCCUUCAAGCUAGGCAGUGACAUGCGAUGAACGCCUAGCUUGGUUCGUAGCGUGAGAAAUUGGUGCUUCCCCAAAGGUUUUGUAAGAGUGUCUGCAAUCUGAAGAUGAGAAGGCACAUAUUGUGUAAAUAAUGACCCUUUAGCAACCUUCUCAUGAACAAAAUGCAUGUCAAGCUCAAUGUGUUUCAUUCUAGCAUGAAACACUGGGUUCUUAGUCAUAUGAAUUGCACUCAAAUUGUCACAGAGAAGUGUGGGUGCUUUUGGAAUACAGAACCCAAUGUCAUUAAGGAGAUAUGUGAGCCAUGUUAACUCGGCAGCGGCAGAGGCCAUGGACCUAUAUUCGGCUUCGGCACUUGAGCGAGAGACUGUGUGUUGUUUCUUGGAGCUCCAAGAGAUACAGUUGCUUCCAAGAUAAAUGCAAAAUCCUGUUGUACUUCGUCUUGUUAUCGGACAUCCAGCCCAAUCAGAAUCGGAAAAGGCAUAGAGCUUGAGAGAGCUUUGAGACAAAAAUCUAAGGCCAAAGUCAAGGGUACCUUUAAGGUAACGAAGGAUCCUUUUCACGUCCUUGAGGUUGGCUUUUGUUGGCGCUUGGAAGUGUUGAGAGACUCGAUUGACAGCAAAUGUGAUAUCGGGCCUUGUGUAGGUGAGAUAUUGAAGGCUUCCAAUAAGGCCUCUAUAUUCGGUUGCAUCCACAUGUUCAUUAUCAUCCGAACACAGUAUUGAUCGUAUUGCCAUCGGCGUGUUGAUAGGAGAACAAUCCUGCAUUCUUGCCUUGGAAAGAUGGUCUUUAGUGUACUUCGCUUGAGAUAGAAAGAUGUCAUGCGUGAAUUGUUGAACUUCAAUGCCUAGGAAGUAAUGUAGGUUGCCAAGAUCUUUUAAAGCAAACUUUGAGCUCAGAUUGUUGAUGAUUGAUUGAAUUUCCUUCUCAUUAUUUCCUGUAAUGAUCACAUCAUCAACAUAAAUUAAUAUAAGUAUAAGAAUGGAUUUGUUAUUAAAUAUAAAUAAAGAGCUAUCAGCUUUGCUACUAGAAAAUCCAAGAGAAAUUAAGGCUUGAGAAAGACAUUCGAACCACGCUCUAGGUGCCUGUUUCAGGCCAUAGAGCGAUUUUUUAAGCUUGCAAACAUAUGCUGGAUGACGUGAAUUGCGAAACCCAGGAGGCUGCUCCAUGUAGACAGUCUCCUUUAAUAGUCCAUGAAGAAAAGCAUUGCGAACAUCUAGCUGCUUGAUAAGCCAUUUUGAGCUCACAGUAAUUGCAAGGAUAAGGCGAAUAGUUGUGGCCUUUAUAACGGGACUGAAGGUUUCAUCGAAGUCGACUCCUGGAACCUGUGUGAAUCCCUUGGCAACUAAUCGAGCUUUAUAGCGAUCAAUGGUUCCAUCUUCUCUGUAUUUGAUACGAUAUACCCACUUCGAUCCGAUGACAUUAACAUUGUUAGGCUGCGGCACAAGGACCCAUGUCUGAUUUUGAUGCAAUGCUUGAAGCUCUUCUUUCAUAGCUUGAGUCCAAAGUGGAUUCUUUAAGGCAGUUUUGAGUGUUUUGGGUUCAAUUUCUCUACUGUGGCUGGCUUGAAGGGCUAAUUUAGGAUUUUGUUUGAGUUUAUUGCGUGUCAUCAUGGGAUGAGUAUUUAGGCUUUGCGGUUCCACAGCUGUGUUUGGUAUCUUAAGUUCCACAAAUAAGCAAUUGGAUAUGUCAGGAUAAUCUGGUUGUGAAUUUGUGGCAGGGCUGUUGUCCGUAUUUCUGGACAAAUUAAGUGGUUCAGUUGCAUGUGAACUACUAGAAUUUGAAUCGUUUGUAGUCAAAGGUUGCAUUGCAUGUGGAGACUCCAAAAUAUUUGGAAUUGCUUCUGACUUGUCGUGUGGAGUUGCUGAAUUCAAAUUGUCUUCUAAAUUCUCUUGUGGGAAAUUUGAAAUAAUUGGAGAAGUAGCAUUUGAGUUGUUGUCCAAGUUCACGUGCUUGUGGGGCAUGAAUUGCACAUGUGGUGUUGAUAUUGUAGCGCCUUUACAAUUGUUUACUUUGACAGCAUGUGAAUCAUUAAGAUUCUCACAAUUGAGAGAAUUAUUUGGGAGCCACUCAUCUUGUUGAGGGAAGGUGGUCAAUGUACUAUGUUCCUACACAUUAAAAAAUGAUGUUAAUUUUUUGAAUGGUAAAUAAUUUUCAUCAAAUACAACAUGCCUUGAUAUAUAUACACGAUUAGUCUCAGGUUGUAGACAACGAUAUCCUUUAUGGAGGGGACUAUAGCCUAUGAAAACACAUGGAUAUGAUUUUUUAUCAAAUUUUGUUUUACUGUAAUCCCGAAGAUAAGGAAAACAUCUACAACCUAGGACUUUUAACCCUUUAUAGUCCGGUAAUUUUUUGAAAAGAAUUUCAUAAGGACUUUUAUUUUUUAAAGGUGAAAGAGGCAGCCUGUUAAUGAUAUAAGUGGCUGCAAGAAAAGAAUCCACCCAGAAUUUGAGUGGCAAAGAAGCAUGAAACAUCAUCGUCAAGGCUGUCUCAUUGAUGUGUCUAUGCUUUCUCUCGGCAACACCAUUUUGCUCCGGAGUGUAUGGACAAGAAAUUUGUCUUGUGAUACCGAAAUUUUCAAGAUGUUUGAUGAAGGCUGUAGAAUUAAAUUCCCCUCCUCCAUCGCUUUGAAAUAUUGUGAUCUUUUUGUCCAAUUGCUUUUCAACUUGUUUCUGAAAUUUCAAGAAGCACUCCAAGAAAUCAGAUUUUUGUUUUAAGGGAUAUAACCAACUAAAACGUGAAUAAUCAUCUACAAAUAAUACAUAGUAACGAAAAUGUUGAGUAGAAGUAAUGGGAGCUGGACCCCAUAUAUCACAAUGCACUUUUUGUAAAGGAAAAUCUGCUUUAUUAUUAGAUAAAUUAAAAGAUUUCCUACAACUCUUGCCUAAUUGGCAAGAAACACAAAUACGGGGUGCUUUAGACCAACUAGAAAAGUCAAUAAAAUCAUUGCGUUUUAAGGCCUCCAAGAUUUUAGGAUUGGCAUGGCCAAGCCUCUUGUGCCAUAAACUAAAACCGCUAGAUUCUCCUUGAAUUGCAUUGAAGACAGCAUGAAAGUCUCCUUCCAAUGUGUAUAGCUUCCCUUGCUUACUCCCCUUUGCCAGAACCUUGUUUUCCUUGCUCUUCACAAUAAAACCAUCAGUGUUAAAUUCAAAAACACAUUUAAUAUCAUCAAUGAGUUGUCCAACUGAUAAGAGAUUCUUUUUGAGUUUUGGAACAACUAAAAUAUUAUUUAAGUGUAAAGAACCAUGAUUUGUAUUUAAAGAAGCAGAACCAAUAUGUGAAAUAUUUAAAUCUUGAUCAUUGCCGACAAUUAUUUUGUCAUUACCUCUAUACAGCCUUACAUGAUCAAGAUUACCUGUGUUAUUUGUCAUGUGUGAUGUUGCUCCAGAAUCCACAUAGAACUGCUGAUCAUUAUUUUCUUGAAGAUUCAUGGCAGCUAGGGCUUGUGGAUCCUCUUCAUUGUCAUAGUCGUAUCUGUACCAACAUUCAGCAGCACUAUGUUUGUGUUUGUGACAGAUUUGGCAAAUAACUUCUUCAUCUGAGGUAUUAUUUUCUUUAUUUGGUUUUUGAGGCUUCUGUUGUGGUUUACGGUUGUUGCCAUUGUAAUUGUUGUAGUUGUUGGGGUAAUUUCUACCACCUAAGUUGCGUUGAGAUCCUCUGCCUCGGUAUGGAGGUCUUCCACCUCUUUGAUUUCUGCCUCUUCCGCGUUGACCAAAGAAGGCUUGGUUUUGAUUUGUGCCAAGUCUAGCUUCUUCAUCUUUUUCUACGAUCACAGUAUGUUCAUGGUUUUGGAGAGCAUUGAUGAAUUGUUUAAGGCUGGGAUAUGGAGGUUUAGUGAGCAUUGCAGUUUUGAAGUCAGCAUAUUUGGGACCUAAGGCUCUUACAAUUUGAAAAAUCUUGUCAUCAUCGUUCAUUGGUUUUCCAAUGGCUGCCAACUUGUCGCAAAGGCCCUUGAAUUUCUUAAGAAAUUCAUCAAGCUUGGAAGAUCCUUCCUUUAGAGAAUAAAGGCUAUCUUUUAGCCAUGUUUCUUGCUCCUUAGUUGCAGGCAGCAUGUUUUCUUCAACGGUGAGCCAGAUUUCUCGAGCCGUUUGCAAGCCGAUAACCAUGCUCAACACGUCUUCGUUCAUCAUACUUCUGAGCCAAGUUGUGAGAAGUCCAUCAUUAUUUUUCCACAUGAGAAAAUCUGGAUUAUUUAUCUCCUUCCCAUCUUGCUCUAUCAUCUUUGGUGGAGUCUUAACAUCAACUAUAUGGUGAUUUAGCCCAAGGGUAAAUAUAAGUGGUUGAACUUGAGAACUCCAAAUAAGAUAAUUUUCAGUGUUGAGUUUUAUUGGAACCAAACUCGAACACUGAUGGAAAGAUUGAAGGGAUAGGGAUGGUUCUGAAUUUGAACUUGAAGCCAUUAGGGUUUGAUACCAUGAAAAUAUUUGAGAUGCUUGAAUAUGGUGAAAAUAGGAAUUGUUUUGUUACUUUUACAAUUCUUGAUUUUUACAAAUAUAUAAAGACGUUCAAGAUGCUGUACAAGGAAAGAAAAUAUUUACAAUAAUUAUAAUAAUCAACUAGCCGUUGUGAUGAAUCCACCAUGACAUGUGCUGCUACAUUUUCCAUCAAUUAUGGCUUAGACGAGAUGUUGGAAAUCCUCUUGCCAUGGCGGAACAAGCUACCAUAUUUGUUGCUUGUGACUUGUCCUUAUCAUAUUUUCCAUCAAUUAUGGCUUAGACGAGAUGUUGGAAAUCCUCUUGCCAUGGCGGCACAAGCUACCAUAUUUGUUGCUUGUGACUUGUCCUUAUCAAUUCUGGUGCACCACUUCAUCAUGCUAACAUUAUUCUUGUGCUCCACUGUAUCAUGCUAACAUGCUAAGGUACAAAUGCAGUGCUAGCACUGAAUGUUAUGGAUUCGCAUGUCCUGCACCAUAAGCAAACGGCGACUGCCUUGUUUUUGUUGUAUCAGUUGCUUCAGCUGCAAAAGAAAUGGAUAUGUGCAUAGUCCAAUACAAGAAGGGUCGCAUUGAUUUAUAUUGAAAAGAGUAAUUUUACACCCGUGGUAUCAUGAUUGCAGACCUGAUUACUGACGUACACUAGUCAGUAUGGAGACUUUGAGAAGGCCAGCAAUACCAGAUACAUGAUGACAUAUGCCACGGAGGUGCCGGCCACCGCAUCUAUAGAAGAUCUGGCUCCACGAUUAAUUUGUUACGUUCAAAUUUAUUAUCUUGGUAUUCGGGAUAUACACUCUAGGUGCAGUGACAUUAGACUGAAAUGAAUAUGAAAGUUAUAUGAAAACGAUUAAUAUAUUUUGAAAAUGAUAUACUGAUGAUUUAACUAAUGCAUCAAGUCAACUUUGAGGAUAGCUGCGUCAAUCUUUUUAAGUCCCCUAGAUGAGAGGCUAAGUAUUGCUGGAGAUGACUUCGUGGUAUAAUCUGUCACCGCAACCAGCCAUGGUUGCCUUAGUUUCCUGUUAUUUAUGAACAAUAACAUUUAUUAGACGUUUCAACGCUGUCGUACUCAUUCGUGAAGUAAGGAGUAUGUGAAGGUAUAAAUUUGCUUUACAGAUUCUUUUCAACAAACCAAAAUCAUCCGAGCAGUAGCUGCUUAUUUUAUUUCUCCAUUUUUCUUUUGUUCCAGUCAAAGAAGGAAGCAAUGCCUUCUAGGGAUAGCAAAUAUUCAAUUAUGGAUGGAUAAUAUCCAUCCAAACACAAAUCCAUAAUUAUCCAUAAUGGAUAUAUCCAUAAUGGAUAUAUCCAUAUCCAUAUCCAAUAUUUAAUAUUGGACAUGGAUAUGAAUUUUAUCCAUAUACCUAUGGAUAUCCAUGGAUAUCCAUAGAUAUUUUAUUUUUAUAUAAUAAAAAUAAUAAUAUAAAAUAAUUAAAAUUCUAAUAUUAAAUUUGGCUAUUACACUAUUUAUAUUAGUAAUAUAUAUAUAAUAAAAUGGCGGUUCGGUUGUUGGUGGCGGCGAUCUGGUAACUUUCCGGCGAAUUUCGGCGGAGGUUCGGAGGUCCGGCGAUUUCCCGGCAAAGUCCGGUGGUGGUCCGGCAACUUUCCGGCGAAGUCUGGUGGUGAUCCGGCGACCUUUCGGUGAAAUCCGGUGGUGGUCCGGCGAUCUUCCGGCGAAGUCCGGCGGUGGUCCGGCGACCUUCCGGUGGAGGUCCAUUUAUAAUAUUAAAUUAAUAAAAUAAAAUAAUAAUUAUUAAUAGUAUUAAAUAAGUUAAAAAAUUAAAAAGUAAUUUUGAAAACUUUAGUUUUUAAUAUAAGAGGAAUUUAAAAUUUUCACUAGUUAAUAUAAUAUUUUUACACUUGUUUGUUUAUUAUAUUUUUUAUUUUUAAUUUUAUAAAAUUAAAAUUUUUUAAACUUGUAUUGGGUUGAACGGAUAUCCAUUGGGUAAAAAUAAUUAUCCAUAUCCAUCUAUAUCCAUCUGAAUAUAAUUUUAAAAUAUCAAUUUCAAAAUCCAAAAAAUUUUGGAUGGAUAUUAUCCAAUCCAAUUGGAUGGAUAUUGUGGAUGUCUAUUAUGGAGCGAUCCAAUUGCCAUCCCUAAUGCCUUCUUAUUCAAAAUGGGCGUGCCCGCAUGCUAUAUUUUUGUCAAACACUUGGAAAUAAGCAAAAAGAGAUCCGUGAAUAUAGCUAUCAUUAACCAAUGAUGUAGAGUUUCUAGAAUCUCCAUCCUUCCAUGCUCAUGUGCUGAUAUUCCUCAGCAUAACCAUUUUGCCACCUCAUUAAAUCCAGCUCAUUUCUCUCAUUAGCUGGCUGCAGAUAGGUGUAGCUUAGGUGGCAUGCCAACGUGUCUCUGAGGUCAACUGUUGACUGUCUACUGCUGCUGCUUUCAACAUAGUCCUUUCUGAAGAGCUUUCAUGUUACCAUGGAGUUUUCUAAUGACGGCAAUUUUCGAGCAGAAGAAGAAGGUAACGAACUUACCAACUUCAAUAAAAAUUGCAUCCAGGGUUUCCAUAGCUAACAUGCUGACAAAACAAAAGCGGAUAAAUGAGAAACCUGACAAGCAACAAGAACAAGAUCUGUCAAACAUGUUUUGUCAUUAAUAAGACAAUAGUCUAAUCGAGGAAGUUGCCAUCGAUAUUCUUAUAUCAUUAUCUCUCUGAUUGGUUUUUGUCUACCGUGCAAUGCAUAGAAACUUUUGCAAACUCAUCGAACUUGGUGCAACCAAAAUCUUCUGGGAACUCCAAGAAUUGGUGGUGCUAUGACAACUUAAAUCAAUAAUACACGAGUUAAAGCCAUAGUUCUUCCAUAUUGAUUGAGAAUGUAUAUUAGGUUAAAUAGGGUUGCGCGACCCUCAAUUCUUGUGGUGGCUCUAAUCCGAUAAAUGGAAAAAAGAAAUUUAAUUUCUUUUUUUUUUAAAUUGUCAGACAUUUCUAUUGAACUUUUAAUUAGCAGAUAUUCGCAAUUUUUUUUUAUUGGAUUAUUUUCUUACAUAUUACAAGGUUAGAGGGCAUGGUUCAUCUUGAUCUAAUUUUUUUGAAGCAUCUAAAGUUAUUGUGACGCAUGGCAUUUAAAUCAUUCUAAAAGCAAGAAUUAUUAUCUGUAAAUUUCUUUUAAUCAUGCACCAACAAAUUAAAAUAUAAUAAUGAGGUCAAAAAACGGCCUCCUCUAAAUGUGAAAAUAGAAUACUUUGCAGGUGGCAAACUCGCACCAAUAAAUUAAUAUAUAAACAGAUAAUGAAUAUUAUUUAGAUUGGGGGAAAAGUUUCAUCCUUGAAAUAUCCAUUUUUAAUUAUUUACAUUCCAACUAGAUUUGCAAUUACUUGUUUCCUCCCUAUAGAUAAAGGGUAAUAAAAAACCUAAUAUUUUUUCAUUUACUAUUAUACGCUUCUUGAUACAUUGAUAUGAAAUUAUUGUUAAUUUAGCGAUAAAAUAAAAAAAUCAAGAAUAAAUAAAAUAAAUAAAUAAGCAAAUAAUUUUAAUUAAUGAAUAAAAAAUAUAAUAAAUGUCAUAAAUUGAUAAUUUUUAAUUUAAUCCUUUAAAUUGAGAUUGCUAAUUCUAUGGUUAUAGGACUAAAUUUCAAUUGGGAGAUUGCCAAUUUCCCCCUAUUGAAAUUAAUAUAUAUCACUCACCCGUUAUUUGUCAUCAUAAUAGUCAAUAAUCCGCUGGCGUUAUAAUUUUACAGUAUUACCCUUAUUUUCAAAUACACUUUUAAUUAUAUUUAUUAUAAAUUAAAUAAAUGAUAUAAAUAAAAAUUACAAUAAAUAUUAAAAUAUUAAAAAUAAGAUAUAUAUAUACACACAUAUAUAUGUUUUGAUGUGAAUAAAAAAUUAAUAAUAAUAUAUUUUUCUUGUACUUUUUUUAUAUUUUAUAUUGUAUAUUUAUUAUAAGAAAAUAUUUAUAAAAUAAUAAAGAAAUUAGAAGAAAAAUAUUUUAUUAUUAAUUUUUUAACUAAAAGGACCACAAUUUGGAACAAUAUUAUUUGGCGACACAUUUUCUAGCUAGGCAUGAGUAACUAGCUAAAUAGCCAGCACGACCUUCAUUUAUUACAACUGCUCAAAUAUACCCAAUGGAAAAUCAAUAGCAUGACGUUAAUCUUCAGAUCGCAAGGGGUUCCGCCAGCAACAAGGCAACUUGGCGUUUCAUCAUCAACGAAUGGGUGAAGCGAUCAUGACCAUCGUCGUACAUCAAGUGGCCUGAACGUGCGAAAUAAAGAAUCCGCUGAAGCAUAGGUAACGGGACAGUCGUUGGGUUGAGAAGCUCCUCAUUUAUAUCUUUCCAACUGUCAGCAACUUCUAACAACAACUCUUUAACUGCCUCUUCCUCGGAGACGCCAUGUUGAUUCUUGUAGCACUCAACUGCUGAGGGAAUAUGUCCUCUCUUUUGCUCAAACUACAUCACGGAUGCAUAUGAAUUGGUUAUAAGAGAACCAAAAAAAAAAAAAAAUCAUCAGUUAGCCAAUUUUUUUUUUCCCAUGGACAUAUAUGUUAUGUUAUGUUAUGUGUUAAAAGAGAGUUAAAAAUAAAUGCAGCCGCAAAGGCCGAAUGGUUUUCAACAACCUUUAUUUUAUUGACAAUUUCUAAGUUUGAAUCUCGAGAAGGUAGGUGUUAGAAAAAUUGUUUUGGACUUCACCCAUAUCUCUACCUUUAAAAUAGAUAAAGAAAUUAUGUACUAUGGUGACACGCCUCAAGAUAAGUUACAAAAUUUCUCCUCGAGAUUAGUGGUGAAUAUAGUUUUAUUGAAUUGAAUUAUAAUGUAGAAUGGAGAAUAUUAUUUACCUUAUACCCUGCUAUGUCAUCCAUGAGCCUGAUAAUGGUUUCUGUCGCUUUAACACUCUUAGCGUUUUUAAGAAUGCAUUCAAAUUGUCAAUAAAAUCACCCAAAUCAACGAAGGAAGCGACCGCUAUCGGAAGUAAACCGAUAGUUCUUAAUGCAACUGAUUUGUAUUCAUCGACGCUUGGAACAUAACCUUUAUAUAACCACUUGGCUUGGGUAAAGUUCGAUAAAAUUAAUUCUUGCGUCUGAGCAACAUAACCCAAGUCAACAAUAAUAAUCACCUUGCAAAAUCAUAUAACAUGAAAUUGAUUAUCAAUAAAGUAAUUGCUUACCAUCUGUUUUGCAUAUGGUAUGGCGCCGUACGAUCUUCCUUCCUUUGCCAAUUUGAUGCAGCGGAAGUUUAAUGUUCAAAAUAUUCCGUUGAUUUUAGAGAAUACCGGAACAAAAGAACAACUAAAUUCACGUUGAUUCAAAAGAAUACCGCGAAUUUAGGGAUUAAGACUCGUUGAUUCCGCAGAAUACCGAGAAUUAACUGUUCAAAUACUCACAAAGAGAUUUGAAAAUUGAAAUAUUAUUAAACUCAAAAAUCUCUGCCCUCAAAGGCUACAAGAGGGAGCUAUUUAUAGUAGUAGUAAUUAUCCUAAUUCAUGAAGUAAAACAAAAUCCUAAAUUGAAAGGGAAACAAAAUUCUAAAUUAGAAAGGAAUUUAAAAGUCUUAAACUUUAGUUAAUAAGGAAACUAAUCCUAGUAUAAUAUGGAUUCCUACUCUUCAUCAUUCUUCCUCAGCUUCUCUAUAAAUAUCUAAGAGUUCCUUGAAAAUAAAUUUCAUGUAUUCUGGCAGUGUAUCUAUGAGGCCAAUGUCCCAUCUGAAAAAAUCAAAUAUAAUCGUUAUAUUUGCACAUUCUAAAGAAAAUAUAUAAGCGAUACAAUUAAUUUAUUUCUAAUAAAGUAUAUUAUGAAUUAAAUAUCCAAUCAAAGAAUUACAUUAUAGGGUUAUUAUUGUUUCACUACAUCAAGAGUUGUAAAAUAUCAAAUGACUAUAGGAAGUAUUAUCUCCUAUCAUUUUACUACUUUUCUGUUAAAACCAUUAGUUGAUUAGUAAAAUAUCAAUUUUUCCUUUUACAAUACAAUACACAAAUAGAGGUAUCAAAUACUAGACAAAAAUUAUUGGCAUACCCUUUAACUGUAAAAUAAUGAUUUUAACCAUGACUUUAUGAAUAACCCUAAAUUUAUCGUAACCAUAAAAAUGGAGCAUUAACAAAAUACUCCGGGAUAUUAUUCUUAAAAAACAUAAUUUAUUCUUUAAAAAAACACUUAAAGCUUAUUUACAAAAUCAACACUUCCAUAUUUAAUUUUUUUUCUUCUAGAAUAGGUUGAGUUUUUUUGGGCAAAAAUUUAUAGGGGUAUGUUUGUCAAUUCACUACUUUUAUGAUAGCAAUAAAUCAAGGGUUAUUCAAAAAAUUAUGGUUAAAACUAUUAUUUAACAAUUCAUAUUUAAAUCUAUUAUUCAUAAUUUUAUGUACACUAUCGGAUACCUCUUUUGUGCAUUUUAUCUUAAGGGGUAAAAUUAAUAUUUUUUUAGUCAGCUAACGAUUCUAACAAAAAAGUAGUAAAAUAAAAGGUUUUACAAAGUUAUAAUAGUAAAAUGAUGGGGGAACAAUACUUCUUGUACUUAUUUGAUAUUUUAUAAUUCUUGAAGUAAUGAAACGAUAAUAAUCUUUUAUUAUAUAGGCAUGGGGUCUUGCUAAGUUACAUCAUGUAUAAAAUGCAGCAACCCUAAUAGUCACUCAUGAUGUCCCAUUAUUUAGGUUAUUGUAACCUAUAGAAUACAGAUAAUACAACUUAACAACUGCUAUAUAGGGAUGUAUAUGGUUUUAUAACCUUGUGACUGCUUCAGUAAAAUGUGUGAGCUGUUCAAAAGUACCGUAAGCAUCAAAUGUGUCGUCUAUUAUGGUUAGCAUGCACAUCACUUUGGAUGCAAAAAUUCUACCAAAUGCCAAAUUGGGCUCAUAGGACACUCCCAGCAACAUCCAGAUAUAUGUCUCUACUAUUCUAUCUCUUGCGUAAGGCACCUUUUUAGGGAAGCCUAAAUCGUUCCACCACCUGAAAUUCAAUUUUAAAUCUAAUUGGAUAGAUAUUUUGCUACAUUAUAAAGUUGUCACUAUAACAAUCGUUACUUCUGUAGUAUAUAAAAAAUACAAAAAAGAACACAAUUUGGUUUCAUCUUUUAAGGAGGUAGCAAGGAAAUAUGAAAACUCGAGGGAUAAGUGAAAAAAGUUAAAACUUUUAAAGAGAAGUUGUAAAUCUUCCAUAUUAUAUUUGGAAAUUUUGUUUCAUUAAAAAAAAAAAGAGAGAGAGAAAUUUACGUGAUUUAUUUUUAUUGUUUUGUAUUUUCAUCUAAUUUAUAAAUUUAUAUCACAUCCAUUCUUAAAACAUUUUUAUAAUUGUAUCAUUACUCUUUCAUUAUACACAUUAUCCUCCAAACACUAUAACUUUUUUUUUAUUAUUAUUAUUAGCAACAAGCACAUAAUAUACAAAAUCUACAACCACUACCACUGUUGACAAAUCUAGAAUACAUAAAAAUUUUACUGCAAACUAAAGAUCUUGGUUUGGGUGUUAAUAAAUGAAUAAUUAACUAUUGUAAGAAAUUUUGCGUUGAGUCUUUGAUUAUACUAGGGGGCAACUGUGGUAAAUAUGAUUUCUCUUUUUAGGGAAAGUGACAAUCUCCCAUCUCAAAACAACACCAAUAAGAGGCUUUUCCACGUUGAAAGAAUAUAUAUCUGAAGUUACCUGGUCAUGAUACUUGCUUCCUUCUGGUGUGCUGCUUGUAAUAUAUUAAAGUCUAACUUUGCAAACUUGAGCAAAGUUUCAGCAUGCAAAUCAUCUCUUGAAUAGAUAUCCAAAAAAUACCUUGCCUCUAACCUUGCUGCUGCUUUACGGAGAGGAAUUUGCAGAGAACGACGUAUUUGUUCAGGAAGUUUAGAGUUUACAUGAGAAUGAUCAGAUAUAGAUAUUAUUGACUUAAGGUGACUGGUAGUGAAAGCAAUGGCUUCAUCUAAAAUGUCUUCUCCCCGAACUGCUAGGUAUGCUGCCUCGUGCAAACUGAACAUGCCUCGUAUAUCGUUGAUCAAUGAUUCCUUGAAUUUACCUUCAUCAUCUUUGAACUUCUCAAACACAUCUGAUGACCAUAUUCAAAAGAAUUAAAGGCGAGCUAGUCUCGAUUAGUGUACAUGCUUAAAUUUAGUUUGAUAAUUAACAAUAAUCUUGUAAUUAACAUAAAUAGUUUAAUUAACAAAAUGAAAAACUAUUACAUACCACAUGAAAUCUUAACUCCUUGCUGUCUAAAAAGUCGAAAGCGAAGAGAAACAACGUAUAGAUCAUCACGGUCAAGAUCAUGAGAUACCUUUCCCAAUUCAUCUUCAAUCUCCUUUUCAAAAUGAUAAGCGACACCUAAUCGUUGUACUGAAUCAAUCAUGUGUAGUUUAUGGGCAAGCUUAUUGGCAGUAGUGGUUAUCAUCCUCCUGACCUCUUGCUUCAGUGCUGCGUGCUGUUCUUGAGUUGCAUCGUCAAUUGUCUGCAAACGCAAGAAAUUACUUAAUAUUAAUGCAUUACGUGUGUCUAACAAACGAUUAUAUAUGACAUAUGAUUGUACAUCGAUUGGGCUCGCUUCUCUGAUAAUUAAUGAGAUAUUUUGAUAUUGCAAUUGUUUAAUUACCUCGACAUCGGCAGCGGAUUUCAGGAAAUGGGUUCCCCAUAAAGUAGGAUGAAAAUCUGCAAUGGGACGAACAGUUUCUUCAGUUGAACUGGAAACUGCUGCUAGAAGUGGAAUAGACAUAUCUUUCAUUCCGUUUCAGACAAACCAAAUACAACUUUAUAGUUUGCUUUUAAGAGUAGGAGUUGCAAAAACCUCAAGACACAAAUGCUCUAUAUAUAGAGAGAAACGAUGAGGCAGUGGAACACUUUCGUUGGUACUUUGUCAUGUGCUCAGUAGUGAUCCUACGUUGGGAUCAUUAAAUUUAAUAUUGAAAAAGUCAAUGGAUCUGAUUGCGGGAUCCAUAUUAAACCAUGUGAUAAAAUACUCUUGAACUAUUAUCUCAAUAUAUUAUGGGUGAGUUUGGGAUUGAGAUUGGAGAGCUGUAACUUAAAAGGUACAACAGUAAAGUGUUUGGUGAAUACUAACUGUUGUAUCUUGAAAGUUAUGUUGAUAUGAUUUUUUGCUUGUAUAAUGGAGAAUCUAUUAUAUCUUUAAUAAUUUUAUUAAAAUUUUUAUUUACUACAUAUUAUUCACUUUUGCUUCAUAGUUACAGUUUUUUUUCCACAGUACCUCAAUCCCAAACGCACCCUAAGAAGUUGCGAUCAUUUUACAUAAAUUUUUAAAUUUAGGAUUUUUUUUUAGGUAAUGAUAGAGAGUUCACUCUAACCCUAUAUCUAACUCUAUACAAAAAUAAAUAUAUAAAAGUUGAAAUAGUAAUAAAGUUGUAUUAAAUUUUAUCUUAAUUACAAACUGGCCACAACAAUUUAUCUUGAUGAGAUUGAGGUGGGGUUAAUUGAUGAUAAGGAUACAUAUCAUUUUUCAGCUUUCUUAUGCAACUUGCAGAUUGUGAUAUUGUGCGUACAUUAACUAACUACUCAACGUAACGACCGUAAAUUAUUUUAUUAACUAACUACUCAACGUAACGACCGUAAAUUAUUUUGAAAACCUAUCUCUCUUUUAAUUUUACAAUAAUAAUAUUCCAAAAAGGCCAUAAUUAUUUAACUUAUAUGUAUUUUAAUUACCCCUACCAAGCAAAAUAUUUCAAUUAUUUUAACUAAAUAAAUAUAUUUUAGUUAUUCUUAAAGCCAAAGUCUAUUUCUGGUUAGUAAAUGAUCCAAACAUUUUAUUGGGGGCUAAAUCUAAUAACUCCAAUGAUAUCAUAAAUAUAAAAAUUUACUUUCUGCAAGACUUAUCUCGAAUAAAUUCUCUAAUUCAUUUUGAAGAUGAAAUUUAAAAAAAAAAAUGAAUCACUGGGGCUUAAUUAAAAUAUUUUACUUAGAGUUCCAAUGAUAUUUAAGGGAAUAUGAUUUUUAUCAGAAUUUCUUCUGUUAACCAAUUUUUCAAAAAUUCUAUUUCAAACAAAUUAACUUCAUUAUAAGUGCAUUUAACAAAUUUCACGAUUCUAAUUCUUAAAAUACUUGGACCACCAGGGAUCUUAGAAAAAUAGUAUGCGAAACACAUUGGAUCUUAGAAAAAAUUUACUUUCUGCAGUACUUAUCUCGAAUAAAUUCUCUAAUUCAUUUUGAAGAUGAAUUAUCAACAACAGUAAUAUAAUAUAUUUUCUAAUCCCUAGUGUUCCCUUCGUGGGUCUACCGAUGCUAUCAACAAUAACAAGCAAUUUUUUUAAUAAAAAUAAUCAUUUUACUAUUCUUUUUAAAUGAACUUCUAUAAUUUUGGGAGAUUGGAAGAGUCGAAUCCUCCACCUAAUGAAUAAGGGAAAGAAGAGUUGUCAACUAACUCAAUUAAGUAGCUCUAUUGGUUAGUUUACUAUUAAACUUUGGUGUAUUUUAUUUACAAGUGAGAUUAUUUGUACUUUAAAAUGUACUUUGAGCACCAUAUUAACUAAAAAAUUAUGAUACUAAAAUAACCUUCAUACAACUUAAUAUUAAGAAUAAACUAUUACAACUUUGGACACCUAUCUAACACAUCCAUUAAUCAUACCAUUAUUUAUGCUAACCUUAACUUCAUCUCUUUUAUUGGGUGCCGAAUUGAAUUUAUUUUGUACUUUUGAUCAUAAAAGAUUUGUGGGCAAGUUCCAAAAAUAUAUUAAAAUGUUUCUAUUAAUCCUUUUUGUUAUUUUUAAUUUUGUUAAUAUGUUAAUUUAUGUGGUCUUUUUCUUUAAAGUUUAAAACGUAUAAGGCGGCGAAGAAGAAAAAUGUUGAAGAUGCUGGCUCGAUGAAUAAGAUGGAAUAUGGAAGAAUUAUUUUGAACAUAUAUCCAAUUAAUUGUGCGUUGUGCAGAAAAUUAAUGAAAAAGGAAUAAGAAAGAAAAAGUUUUGAGUAUACAUGAUCUUGUGGGAUGCUCCAGCAACCAAAGAAAAAGUUUGUUAUUGUUGAAAUCCCAUAACACUUCUGUAUAAGGAGGACUUGUGUGAGACCGGUGGCAGGUUGGUCCACCGAUGGUUUGUCAUUUGUAGAAUAGUCGGUCCGAAAAUGAAACAAAAGUCGUACUCACUGAAACAAAAGUCGUACUCACUGAAUUAAGUUUGGCAUAAAAAAGGAGAAAAAUCAGUGACUAAACUGACGUAUGACCUUAAAAUACAAUGAAUCACGUAAUAAAACAUUACUGAAGUGACUGAAAUGAUGUAUGACCUUAUUAAGCAUGCUGACACAUAAUUUAUGUGCUUCUGUGCCCGGAAAAUCUGAUCCGGGUUCAACCUACACCGGAUCAAUUUUUAUGCGAAAUCCGGAUUGAUUUUUCAGAACCCGCAUACUUCUGGGUCCGAAUCCAGUUUGAAGUGAACCCGCAAAUCCGGAACCCGGAUCCGGAUAUUAUUUAUUUUAAUAUUAAUUUUUUUAAUUAUUAAAUAUAAAUAGAUAAAAAAAAAACCCUAGCCCUCUCAAUUUCUCAUUUGUUCACUCCUCUCUCAAUCUCUCUCACUCUCUCUUCAACUCUCUUGUAAUUUCUCUUCUUCAAAUCAAAUUCUUUGCGGCGUGGCUGUCAUCUCCUUCACGGUGUGCUUGUGUUUGUUUCAUCACUCAUCAGCAUCACUUGUCUCAUCUCUCACUCUAUCACGGCCAGCAAAAGGGGGUGGAUUUCGCGGCUGUGUUCUGUGGCCUGUGGGGGUAGAUUUUGGGGCUGUGUUCUGUGGCCUGUGGGGGUGCAUUUCGCGGCUGUGUUUCACGGCCUAUGGUGGUGGAUUUCGCGGCCUGUGGGGGUGGAUUUCGCGGCCUGUGGGGGUGGAUUUCGCAGCCUAUGGGGGUGGCCUGUGGGGGUGGAUUUCUCGGCUGUUGUAUUUGUUUUAGAACCUGGAUUUGAAGUUAUAUGUUUUGUAUUUGAAAUUUUGUUGAACUAAACUAAAGCAAUCUGGAUUCUGGAAGCAAUUUGGUUUUGGUUUGUGUAACUGUAUUAUUUUUUUUUCAUUUUUCCAGCAACUUAAGGAAAGCAAUUCGGGUUCAAAAACCAGAAUCUGGAAACCCGAAUUUUUCCAGGUUGAACCCGGGCCGGACCCGGAUCGAAAAAAAAUCGGGUUUAAUACGGGUCCGGUAAUGAGAAUUUGGUGUCCAGGUCCGGAUUCGGAACGGCUAAACCUGGACCCGGACCCGAAAAUUGCCAUCCCUGUCCGUGCCACAGAAGCAACCUACAUGCACGGGAGAAGAGUAGAUGAUAUAUUUCUUAUUUAUGUGUUGGAAAGUUAAUAACAAUCCAGUAUAUAAAGCAAUUACAUGAAUCAAAAGUUAGAAGGUAGUAACGGCCCACUACAACAAGAAUGGGAGCUGGCAAUCCUUGUUAAUCUUCCAUGAUAUUUAGGCAAUUACUGUCAAUCUUCCAUAAUAUUUGGCAAAUCAAUCACUCCUUGAUUUCCUCUUCUCCCAAAACACUCCCCCUCAAGUUGGUGCAAAAAUAUCGAUGGAGCCCAACUUGAACAAUAUCUCUUGAAAUCUGGAUGUUGUUAAGCAUUUUGUAAAAAUAUCAGCUAGUUGUAGAUAAUUAGAAACAAAUGGGGUGCAAAUUAUACCAACUACCAUUUUUUCUCAAACGAAGUGGCAUUUUACUUCAAUAUGCUUUGUUCACUUGUGAAAAAUUGGAUUAGAAGCAAUGUGUAUAACAACCCAAUUAUCACAAAAUAAUCAAGUUGAUUCUGUUGUAGCGAAGCUUAAAUCCUUCAAUAAGGCUCUCAACCAAAUAAUUUCACUAGUAUUAGUAGACAUAGCACAAUAUUCUGCUUUUGCACUAGACUUAGCCGCAACAUUUUGCUUCUUACUCUUCCAUGUGACCGAAUUUCCUCCAACAAAAAUGCAAUGUCCUGUUGUAGAUCGACGGUCAAUUGGACAUGCUGCCCAAUCAACAUCUGUAUAAGUAGAGAUAAAAGUGUGGCCAUUCUUGCGCAUUCAUAUCCUUGAUAGCAAACUUUCUAUGCAAAAGUGCUUUGAGCUUUGAUAUUUCUUCAUGGUCAUUUCCUAUAAUUAAAAUAUCGUCAACAUAGACCAAAACAACUCUAAUGCCAGAGAUGCCCUUUUUGACAAAUAAUGAAGAAUCUGCAACACUUUUUUGUAAUCCACUCAUCAUGAGAACUGAACUCAACUUUGCAUACCAAGCUCGUGGUGAUUGUUCUAGCCCAUAUAAUGUUUUGUUUAAUUUGCAUACAAUCUUAGGUUCUGAUUCUUUUAAAUGGCUAGGAGGUAUUCUCAUAGAAACUUCCUCUUCAAGCUCUCCAUGAAGGAAAAUAUUUUUUUCAUCCAUCUGGUAUAGUCUCCAGUUUUCAUUCACUGCAAGAGAUACAAGCACUCGAAAAGUAUUAAUUUUUGCAACUUGAGCAAAGGUCUCUUUAUAAUCUUCUCCAUAAGUUUGAGUAAAUCCUCUAGCAACCAAUCUUAUUUUAUGUCUUUCAAUGGUUCCAUCACUUCUGUACCUUAUUUUGUAUAUCCAACGACAGCCAACAAUUUUCUUUCCAUGUGGUAGCUUAACAAUGUUCCAUGUCUUGUUCUCAUCAAGGGCCUGUAGCUCUUCGUGCAUUGCUUGUCUCCAAAUGGAAUUGGAGUUAGUUUCUUUAAAAGUUUUGGGCUCUCGAUUAUUGGAUGUUGCUGCAAGAAAGAUCGAAUGAGAAUACUUCAUCCUAUCAUAUGUCAAGUGAGCCUGCAUGGGAUAAAAGAUCACAUGGUAAGUGAAAAAAAUCCUUUGAAAGGAAUUUUGGUCUAUUAGAAAUAGAUGUAGGUAAUUAAAAACCAAAAAUUAACAACUUAAUUUUUUUUCGGAAGUAUUGUUCAUGACUACUGUUCGCCGCAACUGUUUACUAUUACUGUUCACGAAUACUGUUCAUCCGCAUCAAAAAUAUUAAUUUUCCAAAACAUCAUACAAUGUAGAAAAUAAAUGACACGGAGAUUUUUACGUGGUUCGGAUUAACCAAUCCUACAUCCACGAGGCCACGCCCAGAUAAAAAGUAAUUCACUAAGUUGAAAUGUUACAACCUAUGAAUUUACUAAACUUAAGACUCUCACUUACAGUUUAUCACCAUACAGUUUACUCAACCUUAGACUGAAUAUGCUUCUCUUGAAUCAUUGCUACCCCUCUUGAUCCACGAUCCUCAAGACACUUCGCAAAGUGAUCAAUAACAAUUCUUCAAUUCUUCAACGUCUAGUGAUCCAAAAUCCACAUAAACUCUCUGUAGAGAUAAACAGAAGAUAAGAAAACAAAUCAACACAACAUGAUGCUCCAAAUCUGGAUUCUCUGGAGAGGAGGCCAAAUUUUUCUUCUCUGUUUUAUGCUCUGUGUUGUGUGAUCUUUAAUUGUGAAAUACCUCUCUUUAUAUAGGCACUAGAGUUUCACCAAAAUAGCAAGUCUUAAAAGACUUGGAUUCUUUCCAAAUAAGAGGUUCUUUCCUCUUAUAAUUCCCAUGAAUCUGAAUAGGAAUAAAUCUGAUCUUCUUACCUUGCUUGUCUCCCAAGAAAUAUCUAGAGCAUUUAAUGAACUUCCUGUUUGAACCAACUUCUUGCUCUAAAUAGAUCUCAUGCGCCAAUUAUAAAAUUCAACCAUUAAUUGACUUGCUAAAUUACACAUCUAAUUAAAUUAGAAAAUAAAUAUUCCAAAUAAAUUAGAAUCUCACUAAAUUAGGGAAUUAAUAAAUUAAUCCCUAUUACAAUACAUGCAAUAAAUAAAUGUCUAAUUUAACUAGACUUGCCAUAAAAUGCCAACUCUAUAAAUAUUGGAUUUAACAUCCUUCAUUUCUUUUUUCUGGUGGACAAACCUACCUUUCUGAUAUGCGUUGGGGCUGUUGAGAUGGAGGUACAACUGUAUUAUCUGUGGUAGAUAAAAGGGUUGUAGUAGUAAGUGUUGAACUUGUAGAUUCUUCAAUUUGUUGACCACCGUUACUCAAAUAAGGACUCUGUUGAGCUUCAUUAUUUAAACAAGUGUCAUCACUUGUAAUUGUUGGUAGUAGAACCAAAUUAGAUAAGCACUCCCCCUGAGAUUGAAUUUUGCUAUCAUUUUGUGGUUGAAAAAAUGACUUUGACUCAACAAAUUUCACAUCCCGAGAUAUAAUAAGCUUUCGAGUGGUCAUAUUAUAGCACAUGUAGCCCUUUUUUGUUGAAGAGUAUCCAAAGAAUACACAACGAACUGCUCGAGGGUCCAAUUUAUCACGAUUUAUAGCUUGUUGAUGAACAUAACUGACACAACCAAAAUCUCGCAAAUGAGAAAUAUUCGGCAUCUGAUUUUUUAAGACUUCUAAGGGAGACUUAAAUUCAAGAACUCGACUAGGAAGACGGUUAAUCAGAUAUGUUGUCGUUAGAACACCAUGUGACCAAUACUUCUUUGGAACAUUCAUUUGAAACAUCAAAGCCCUUGCAGUUUCUAGAAUAUGUCUAUUUUUCUUUUCUGCCACGCCAUUCUACUGUAGCGUACCCACACAACUAGUUUCAUGAAGAAUCCUAUGGUUGCGAAGAUAUUAAAAAAAUGAACCAUUGGUAUAUUCAGUUCCAUUAUUAGUCCUGAAAGAUUUUAUCUUGUCAUCAAAUUAAUUAAUCAUCAUGUUAUGGAAUUCUUGAAAAACAAAUAUAACUUAUGUCUUUGAUUUCAAUAAAUAUAACCAAGUAGCAUGAGAUGUAUCAUCAAUAAACAAGACAAAAUAUUUAUAUCCAUCAUAAGAAUCAACAGGUGCAGGGCCCCAUAAAUCAGAAUGAAUCAGCUCAAAUGACUUAGAAGACACAAAUAAAGAUUUAUUAAAAAGUAAACGAGUUUGUUUUGAAAAUUGGCAAACAUCACAAGCACUAGAGGUAAUAGAAAUAGAAAGAAAAAGGCUUGAUAAAAUGCGAGCUGAAGGGUGUCCAAGUCGUUUGUGUAAGAUAUGACCUUCUUCAUUUUUGUAUGACAAGCUUUAUCAGCUGUGUUCAGCAAAUAUAGCCCAUCUGAAUAAAUUCCCUCACCAAUCAUCUUCUUCGUUUUUCGAUCCUGAAAUAUAACGGAUGAUAGAGAAAAAAUAACAUCACAAUUCAAAGAGUUAGUGAUUUUUCCAACCGAUAAAAGUUGUACUGGAAAUAAAGGAACAACAAGAACUUUAGAGGUGGAACUUUGAGGAAAAAUUUUUAUUUUUCCAUUUACAGAUACUAGAAUAGUAGCUCCAUUUGCAAUAGAUACCUCAUGUUUAUGGUUUAUAGGAAUAAAAGCAUGCACAAUACUAGGAUUAUUGGUCAUGUGAUCUGUGGCUCCUGAAUCGAUUAUCCAGGAAUUUGUAUUAUGGGAAAAAGUAAGAUAAGCUUGUAGAUUACCUGAAACAUUAACCGAAGUGGUCUGACUAAUUUCAGAUGACAUGGACAUACUAAUUUGUUGAGGGAGAUGACUGAGCUGAUUUAUUGAGAUUUAGGUAUCUGCAACAGCAACAUUGUCCUUUUUAUUUUUAUCUAGACCAGUCUUGAGGUGUGGAUACAAAUCCUAGCAUCAAUCCUUUGUAUGUCCAUUUUUUCUGCAAUGGUCACAAUGGUAACUUUCCUUUUUUCCUUUAUUGCAAUUGCUCUUCCCGUACUUCUCCUUUCUGUCAUUUUUUUCAGCCACAAGCACAUGUGAGUCUGGUUUUUCAGAAGUAAUUUUCGCAUUAGCAUUCAUGGUCUUCUUACGAGUUUCUUCUUGUUGAAUAGUUUGACAAAUAAUGGAAAAAGAAGGAAGCUUUGGGGCCAUGAGAAUGUUGCUCCUUAGAUUUUUAUAUUCUGGCUUCAAACUAUUAAGUAAGGAAAAAAUUUUGUCUUCUUCCACUCUUUGCUACAGCACUAUAAGGUCAGCGGUAAAUGAACGAUACAUAUUUAGUUCAUCCCCUAACUUUUUAAGAUAACCCAAAUGCUCACUAAAAGUUUUAUCACCUUGCUCAGCUACAACGAUUUCACAUUUUAAUUUAAAAACACCUGCACUAUUAUUGUUUCUACCAUAUAAUUCAGAUAUAGAAUCCCACAAUUCUUUUGAGAAAUUAGAAAAUGUGAAAAUUUCUACAAUAUGAGGCUCCAUGGAAUUAAGAAUUCAAGAUCUAAAAAGUUGGUCAUUAGCAAUCCAAUCUUCAUAUUUUGGAUCUUUAGAAUCCGGACAAACAGAGUUACCAUUAGUGUAACCUAAUUUCCUUUUUCCUCCAAGAGACAAAGUAACAGCCCUUGACCAAGGAACAUAAUUCAACCCAUUUAAAGCAACUGAAGAGAGUUUAAAACUAGGAUUUGGAUCGGUUUCAGCCAAUAGACCAACAGAUAUAAAAAAAUGGUUUAAGAAAAAAAAUUACCUCAAUUUGCCUACUCUGAUACCAUAUAGCAAAAUUAUAGCAAAAUGUAAUAUGAAAAUAUCAUCACAAUGCUCAAUAAUUUACAUGCUUCGGUGUCACGGAAGCAACCUACAUGCAUGGGAGAAGAGUAGAGGAUAUAUUUCUUAUUCAUGUGUUGGAAAGUUAAUAACAAUAGAGUGCAUAAAGCAAUUACAUGAAUCAAAAGUUGGAAGGUAGUAACGGCUCACUGCAACAAGAAUAUGAGCUAGCAAUCACUGUCAAUCUUCCAUGAUAUUUGGGCAAUCACUGUCAAUCUUCCAUAAUAUUUGGCAAAUCAAUCACUCCUUGAUUUCCUCUUCUCCACCAACAUAAAUAACAUAUAUUUUGUUUGUAAGUUUAUUGUCAAAAGAGUAACGAGGUGCCUUCAAGUUCAGGAACUACGAAAUCAGAAGCAUAUUUUAGCAAAUGGUUUUCCACCAGUAGGAUUGAAAACUGCAAUGUCACGAAUAGUUUCUUCGAAUGGAAUUAGAAUAGACGACUUCCUUACAAAGAAAUCAAGUAGAACUUAGUUAAUUAAUCUGAACUGAAUCAAUGGGGAGGAUUAUUUUAGAAAGAUAAAAGUUCAUAAAUAACAGGUGGCAUAAACUUUACGACACUUCUACCGAAGUACCAAGUCGAGCAGCCUCUUCAUUCUAAUCAGUUGCCUUUGAAAAUUAAGAAAAAUUGUCUUGGGCAUAUUUUUCACGUGAUCUAAGAGAUAUUUGUGAAAAUUUGUACUUAUUUUAAAAUUUUGUGUGUACUUGCGCAUCUAAAAAUAAUGAUUACAUAUUUAUAUGUGUGUGUUUGAAAAAAAAUUUUAAUUAGAAAACGUGACUAUAUUAUAGUCAGAAAUAAGUUAAAACAAAAUACAGAUUUUAAGCGAAGAUCAACAACAGGUAACAUAUUCAGAUUAGGUGGAGGUCGAUUCUUCAGCCUUGCAUAGCAAGUCUGCCACCUUCCUCGACUGUAGGUUGCACUUCUCGUGCUGUCUCUUCUACCUUUCUGAGCCACACCUUGACUCGUGUAUUGUGAUGUUGUGCGCGGAAUGCGAAAUCAAGCGCACCAAAUAAUUACUGAAAAAUAAAGGACACAAGAAUUUACAUGGUUCGGUAAUUAAACCUACAUCCACGGAGGCAAGAAAAAAUAAUUGUUUAUUUAACAAUUAAUAGAAUACAAUAUUUGAGUAACGAAUCUCACUUCCCAGAAACCCAAAUAUACCCAGUACUCUGACACUCUGCAGGAAAGAUAAAUUCCCCAGACACACUUCUCUCACUUCUCUCAAAAGCUUAGAAGCUUAUAAGCUUAACAAUUUUAGGAUGAUUUCAAAUGAAUGAAAUCCUUAACUAUUUAUAGGAAAAAUGUUGGCACCAUUCAUGAAACAAAUAUCAAGAAAAAGCCGCGUUCAAAAUGCGUCCAAAAUGCGUUCAAAAUGCGUUCAAACUGUGUGUGGAUAUUUUGCAAAAUAUCCACACGGUUUUAACUUUUCAACAAAUCUCCACCUCGGCGAAAAUUUAUCCAAAUCUGAGCCGAUUGACAAUGAUCCGCCAAACUUCAUCCCUCACAUGAUCCUCAAAAUGAUCCACAUUGGCUGCAUCUAUCCGACUACCUACGUACCCAAAGGUUGGGAUCAAGCCUGCCGUAGUUCUAAGAUUCCCUUAACUCAACGCAUUCGAAGAAUUAGUUUCAAUAUGUAUAAAGAUUUACUCAACCUGUACACACGAUUUUUCUUUCCAGCAACUUUGAAACCACAAGGCUGAAUCAUAUAGAUUUUCUCCUCCAAAUCUCCAUGUAAGAAUGCCGUCUUAACAUCCAACUGAGCCAACUCUAACUCAUAUUCUGCAACUAAGGCAAGUAGGAUACGGAUGGAAGUAUGUUUUACAACUGGAGAGAAAACUUCAUUGUAGUCAAUACCUUCCUUUUGAGCAAAAUCUUUUGCCACAAGCCUUGCCUUGUAUCGAGGAGUUGUUUGAUUUGGAAAUCCUUACUUUUUGGUGUAGACCCAUUUAUUACCAAUAGCCCUUUUCCCCUUUGGUAACUUUACAAGUUCCCAAGUCUUAUUUUGAUGGAGAGAUUUCAUCUCUUCCUCCAUGGCUAACUUCCACUGAUCACUUUCACCGUUGCGUAAUGCUUCACCGAAAGUGUUGGGGAUGUCAUCAUCAAUAACUGGAAGUGCAUAGGCGACCACCAUAUCUUUAGUAAGCCAUCCGAGUUUCUUUAUCUCUCUUCUUGGCCUCCUUGUUACUAUAAAAUCAUCAUUAUCUAAAUCAUCAAUUGUUUCUUCAUUUUGUGGGACAUCAGAAGAAACAACCUCUUCUUCAACUCUAGGUGUCACUUCCAUAGUUGAACCAUUUAUUGAUGUAGAACUAACUGGUACAUAUGGAGUUGCAUCAAACUCCACUCGCUGCAAUACCUCUGUGGUCUUGUUCUCUACCUGCUGAGAACUUGAAGCUUUUAUCAUUGAAGCUUCAUCAAAUGUGACAUCUCUACUACACACAAACUUUUUGUCUUAGAAAUCCCAAAGCUUGAAGCCCUUUACUCCACCUUUGAAUCCCAUAAAGAUAGCUUUUCUAUCACGAGGAUCCAAUUUACCAUCUUUAACAUGAUAAUAAGCUGGACACCUGAAUAUACGAAGGGAAUCAUAGUCUUGUGCAUGCUUUCCAGACCACACUUCCAUAGGAGUUUUACCUCUAAUUGCAGCAGAAGGCAACCGGUUUACCAAGUGACUUGCGUAGCUCACAACUUCAGCCCAAAAUUUUAUCUAAACCAGCAUUAGAUAACAUACACCGUACCUUCUCCAGUAAAGUACGAUUCAUACGCUCAGCCACACCGUUCUGUUGCGGAGUAUGUCUCACCGUGAAAUGUCUUUUAAUACCCUCGUUCUGGCAUACUUGCAAGAAUGGAUCAGAAGUAUAUUCACCCCCAUUAUCAGAUCGUAAUACUUUGAUCUUUCUGCUAGUUUGAGUCUCCACCAAUUUUUUCCAAUUCACGAAAAUCUCUAGAACCUCAUCCUUUGCUCGCAUGCUGUACACCCACACACGUCUAGAGAAAUCAUCAACAAAUGUAACAAAAUAAUGGCUUCCACCAAUUGAUGCAGUCUUGGUUGGUCCCCAUACAUUACUAUGAACAUAUUCAAGGAUCUCACGAGUAUCGUGAUUAGCAGUACCAAACUUGACCCUUGUUUUCUUGCCUACUACACAAUGUUCACAGAAAUUUAAUUUACAGGUUUUGGUACAUUUUAAAAGUCCAUGCCUCAUCAGAGUUUGCAAAGACUUUUCUCCUGCAUGUCCCAGUCGUAUAUACCAUAGCUUGGUGGUGUCACUGUGCGCCUCAACAACAUUUGCUUCAUCAGUUGUACCUCCCUUCAAAUAGUACAGAUUGUGACGCCGCACCCCUUGCAGAAUCACCAUAACCCCAUGUGUAAAUUUCAUUGUGCCAUCUUCAAUGGUAACUUUGUAACCUUUAGCUUCCAAAGCACCCACAGAAAUUAGAUUUUUCUUUAUCUCUGGAACAAAUCUAACCUCUUUGAGUUCUCUGACCAUUCCAUCAAACAUUUUGAGCCGAAUUGUUCCUAUCCCUAUUGUGCGACAAGGUUUAUCAUUCCCCAUCACAACUGCACCGGAUUCCAGAUUACGAAAAUCCGUAAACCAUUCCUUAUUAGGACACAAAUGAUAGGUUGCUCCAGUAUCAAGUAUCCACUCACUCAAACUAGCUACAUAUGCUGCAGGAGUGAUACUUAGUGAAUAAUCAGAAUCCUCAUCUUUCCAUGCCAUGUUUGCUGCUGGUGGUUUCUUCCUAUCUCUCUUUUGAGCCUUUGGACAAUUUUUCCUCCAAUGGCCCUUUUCAUGACAAAAGGCACACUCAUCACGAGCUAGAUUUCUGCUUCUCGAUUUGGAUCGAGAAUUCUUUCCACCACGCUUCUUCUUUUUCUCCAUCGCCCAAUCUUUGCUCACCAAAGCUUCAGACGAUGCUCGUUCAGAAUUUUUAUCAUUAUUCCGAAUCUCCAAACUAGUCAAUGCUGUGCAAACAUCUUUGAAGACGAUCACACUCUUCCCAUAUAUCAAAGUAGUCACAAAAUGGCUAUAUUCCUCUGGUAGUGAGUGUAACAGAAUCAUAGUCUUGACUUCAUCCUUAAUAUCUUCAUCAAGAUUCUUCAAAUCAGCAAGUAACUUUUCAAAUCUUGAGACAUGAUCGUGCAUUGACACCCCAGGCUUCAUUCGAAAGCCAUAUACUUGGCUCAUUGCAUGAAGGCGAUUUUCAAGACUUUUCACCAGGUACUUCUCCUCCAAUGUACGCCACAAAGUCAUUGCACAUUCCUCAUCUUUCACCAAGUAUUUCACCUCCUUAGUUAAACAAGAUCUGAUCUGACCACAAGCUUUUUCAUUCAUACUAUCCCAAAUUUCUUCAUCAUAUAAGUGUCUUUUAUUUUUCAGAACAAUAUCGAGAUCGAUUUGAAUAAGGGCAUCCAUAACUUCGCGUCUCCACAUGCCGAAGUUGAUUUUCCCAUCAAACUUUUCAACAUCAAUCUUCUGGCCUCCUAUAACAGGUGCUGAAUAGCGAUUUGACAAAUCUCACCUCCCAUAUGAAGUGUCUCCUGAAAUAGUCUCGGUAGAUCUCUCCCCAAUUCUGGAAGUUUCACAUUCUACCAUUUUCUCAACAAACUAUUUCUACUUGAAAAACAGCCUCUAUGAUGUUAAUUUCGCGUGAAUAAAUGCACCAGGAAAGUUCCCAGGAAAUUGGACGGGAACCCGGUCCCAAUUAAAAACCAGAAUCCUUAGACUCUUAUCGUCUUUUUUUUACAGAACUUUCCUAGACAUGCAAAAAUACACACUACUUACAAUAGACUGUCUCUUAAGUACAAAUGGUCGUCUCCACCGUAUUCGUGAAUAGUACCUCUGUGAACAGUACCGUAUACGAGAAUAGUACCGUAUACGUGAACAAUACCGUAUACCCCCAAGUACGAACCGUGAGCUCUGAUACCACUUGUUGUGCACGGAAUGCGGAAUCAAGCUCACCAAAUAAUUACUGAAAAAUAAAGGACACAAGAAUUUACGUGGUUCGGUAAUUAAACCUACAUCCACGGAGGCAAGAAAGAAUAAUUGUUUAUUUAACAAUUAAUAGAAUACAAUAUUUGAGUAACGAAUCUCACUUCCUAGAAACCCAAAUAUACCCAGUACUCUGACACUCUGCAGGAAAGAUAAAUUCCCCAGACACACUUCUCUCAAAAGCUUAGAAACUUAUAAGCUUAACAAUUUUGGGAUGAUUUAAAAUGAAUGAAAUCCUUAGCUAUUUAUAGGAAAAAUGUUGGCACUAUUCAUGAAACAAAUAUCAAGAAAAAGCCGCGUUCAAAACACGUUCAAAAUGCGUUCAAAACGCGUUCAAACCGUGUGUGGAUAUUUUGCAAAAUAUCCACACGAUUUUGACUUUUCAACAUGCGACACUUUCCUUCACUUUCAGCUAAUCUGAUAUCUUCUUCAAUUUCAUUUUUCCUUUCUGUGAGUUCUUCUAGUUACUUAAAUUCAUUAAGAAUUGCUUAUUGAUGCAAGCAGAGCAUAAACCAGAGGCACUUCCAUUAAUAUUAAUAACUCGAAUGAAUAAAAGUUUACAAGCAUUGGCUUAUUUAUACACAAGCUAUGAAAAACGACAGCUAGCUAAAGGACAACACUUGGAAAUAAGCAAAAAAAUUGAUCCGUCAAUAUAGCUAUCAUUAACCAAUGAUGUAGAGCUUCUAGAAUCUCCAUCCUUCCAUGCUCAUGUGCUGAUAUUCAUCAGCCACCUCAUUAAAUCCAUCUCAUUUCUCUCAUUAGCUGGCUGCAGAUAGGUGUAGCUUAGGUGGCAUGCCAACGUGUCUCUGAGCUCAACUGUUGACUGUCCACUGCUGCUGCUUUCAACAUAGUUCUUUCUGAAGAGCUUUCAUGUUACCAUGGAGUUUUCUAAUGACGGCAAUUUUCGAGCAGAAGAAGAUGGUAACGAACUCACCAACUUCAAUAAAAAUUGCAUCCAGGGUUUCCAUGGCCAGGAAGUUCAAGAGAUCCACAGGUAGUGUUUUCAUAGCUAACAUGCUGACAAAACAAAAGCAGAUAAAUGAGAAAUCUGACAAGCAACAAGAACAAGAUCUGUCAAACAUGUUUGUCAUUAAUAAGACAAUAGUCUAAUCGAGGAAGUUGCCAUCGAUAUUCUUAUAUCAUUAUCUCUCUGAUUGGUUUUUGUCUACCGUGCAAUGCAUAGAAACUUUAACAAACCCAUCGAACUUGGAGCAACCAAAAUCUUCGGGGAACUCCGAGAAUUGGUGGUGCUAUGACAAUUUAAAUCAAUAAUACAUGAGUCAAAGCCAUAGUUCUUCUAGAUUGACUGAGAAUGUAUAUUAGGUUAAAUAGGGUUGCGCGACCCUCAAUUCUUGAGGUGGCUCUAAUCCGAUUAAUGGAAAAAAGAAAUUUAAUUCUUUUUUUUUUAGUUGUCAGACAUUUCUAUUAAACUUUUAAUUAGCUGAUAUUCGCAAUUUUUUUUAUUGGAUUAUUUGCUUACAUAUUACAAGGUCAGAGGGCAUGGUUCAUCUUGAUCUAAUUUUUUUGAAGCAUCUAAAGUUAUUGUGACGCAUGGCAUUUAAAUCAUUCUAAAAGCAAGAAUUAUUAUCUGUAAAUUUCUUUUAAUCAUGCACCAACAAAUUAAUAUAUAAUAAUAAGGUCAAAAAACGGCCUCCUCUAAAUGUGAAAAUAAAAUACUUUGUAGGUGGCAAACUCGCACCAAUAAAUUAAUGUAUAAACAGACAAUGAAUAUUAUUUAGAUUGGGGGAAAAGUUUCAUCCUUGAAAGAUCCAUUUUUAAUUAUUUACAUUCCAACUAGAUUUGUAAUUACUUGUUUCCUCCCUAUAGAUAAAGGGUAAUAAAAAACCUAAUAUUUUUUCAUUUACUAUUAUACGCUUCUUGAUACAUUUUUAUGAAAUUAUUGUUAAUUUAACGAUAAAAUAAAAAAAUAAAGAAUAACUAAAAUAAAUAAUUAAGUAAUUAAUUUUAAUUAAUAAAUAAAAAUAUAAGAAAUGUCAUAAAUUGAUAAUUUUUUAAUUUAAUCUUUUAAAUUGAGAUUGCUAAUUCUAUGGUUAUAUGACUAAAUUUCAAUUGGGAGAUUGCCAAUUUUUCCAUAUUGAAAUUAAUAUAUAUCACUCACCCGUUAUUAUCUUCAUAAUAGUCAAUAACCCGCCGGCACUAUAAUUUUACAGUAUUACCUUUAUUUUGAAAUACACUUUUAUUUAUAUUUAUUAAAAAUUAAAUAAAUGAAAUAAAUAGAAAUUUAAAUAACAAAUUUAAAUAUUAAAAAUAAUAUAUACACACACAUAUAUAUGUUUUGAUGUGAAUAAAAAAUUAAUAAGAAGAUAUUUUCUUGUGCUUUUUUAUUUUAUAUUCUAUAUUUAUUAUAAGAAAAUGUUUAUAAAAUAAUAAAGAAAUUAGAAGAAAAAUAUUUUAUUAUUAAUUUUUUAACUAAAAGGACCACAAUUUGGAACCACAUUAUUUGGCGAUCCAUUUUCUAGCUAGGCAUGAGUAGCUAGCUAAAUAGCCAGCACGACGUUCAUUUAUUACAACUGCUCAAAUAUACCCGAUGGAAAAUCAAUAGCAUGACGUUAAUCUUCAGAUCGCAAGGGGUUCUGUUAGAGUGCAAUUUAUGCACUAGUUUGCAUUGUUUACUUCCCUUAAUAUCGAUGUUUUGCACUUAAUAAUAGUGAUUUACUUGUGAUUUACUUUUAUAAGUGCAAUUCUAUUGAUUGGUGAUAAAAUUGAGCUACAAGAUGAUGUUUAGGGAUGAUUGUUCCCUUGGAGAAAUUAUGAGCGGCAGAAGAACUUUGUUGAUAAGGCGUGGGCGCGUGCUGUCAACUGCGGACCUGCAGUUUUUAGUUUAACGUGUUUUAUAUUUUUGGCUAUUUUUGUAAUUACGAAUUUAAUAUUUCAGAUAUUAUGAUUUUAUUUUAAAUAGAAUUCUAAAAGAGAAGAGAGAGAGAGUAUUUAAGGGAGGAAUCUAUUGUGGAAAAAAAAGGGAUUUGGAUUGGAGGAAAAGAAAGAAACCCUAGAUCUAAUUUUUCUCUUCUCUCUAUGAAGAACUAAACUUAUUUUUCUGGUUGAAGGAUAAUGAAGCUUUGAUUCAUCACUAUUGUGAAAUCUUUCUUAUAUUUUAAUUGUUUUAUUACUUUUUGGGUAUUUUUUUAUUCUCUGAAUUAGUUUCAUGAUUAUAUUUGUUAAUUAGGUAAUUGGCCACUAUUUAAUUAUCAGCUUAAUCUAUUGUCAAUUAAAGGAUUCAUCGUAUGAAGAUUUUAAUGUUUGUGACAAAUAACAUAGCAGUGAGUUAUGUUAUGAGAAUAAACAAUCUAAUUUAAAUGAAUCAUCAUAUGUGUUGAUUAGGAUUUGGGUCUCUCUGGUUUUUCAGGCUGUCAAUUGAUUAAAUCUUAUGAUCGUAUCUAGGGUUGUCUAUUGAUUAAGGAAAUAUCCAACGGUCGUACCUUGGUUAUCGACUAAUUAAGGAGAGAUUGGCUAUUAGAGGGUCUCAGUAGCUAUAACCGGUCUAUUCAUAAGUAAUAAUAAUUUAUAUUUGAAUCAAUGAUCAGUAGUCGAAUCAAGCUGAGUUAAUUCCUUCAACCAGAGUUUUCUCUAAUUUGAAUUACAACUUUAAUUUGCAUUCUUGUUAUUUUUAAUUUGAUUUUUAUUAUUGUCAACAAUUCCCCCAUUUUACGUUUUACGUUUAAAAGGANNNNNNNNNNNNNNNNNNNNNNNNNNNNNNNNNNNNNNNNNNNNNNNNNNNNNNNNNNNNNNNNNNNNNNNNNNNNNNNNNNNNNNNNNNNNNNNNNNNNUUCAACUAAAAAAAUGGGAUUUGUUCCUCAUAGAGAGAAGAGAAAAAUUAGAUCUAGCGUUUCUUUUCUCCAAUCCAAAAAAUCCCCCUGUUUCACAAUAGAUUCCUCCCUUAAAUACCCUCUCUCUCUUCUCUUUUAGAGUUCUAUUUAAAAUAAAAUAUUAAUAUCUGAAAUAUUAAAUUCGUAAUUACAAAAAUAACCAAAAAUACAAAACACGUUAAACUAAAAACUGCAGGUCCGUAGUUGACAGCACGCGCCCACUCCUUAUCAACAAAGUUCUUCUGACGCUCAUAAUUUCUCCAAGAGAACAAUCAUCAUUAAAUAUCAUCUUGUAGCUUAAUUUUAUCACCAAUCAAUAGAAUUGCACCUACAAAAGUAAAACACAAGUAAAUCACUAUUAUUAAGUGCAAAACAUCGAUAUUAAGGGAAGUAAACAAUGUAAAACUAGUGCUUAAAUUGCACUCUAACAAAUUCCCUCACACCAAGAUGAUGCUUGUCCUCAAGCAUAUAACUCAAGACUAAUCCCAAAUCUCCACUAAAUUCUCAUCUCAACUCAUCCAAAAACAAUUUUAAGCAAGCAUACCUCAAGAAAUUAAGUCGUUCAACAUUCGAGAGACAAGGAUUUUAAAGACAGAAUCUCAUAAGCUAGAAUAAAAACAUUCAAUCACUAAGAAGAUCCAUUCAAAAUUCAAGUGUAACAAGAUUUAAUAACCCUCUCAUUGACUUCACUCCAUGCACUCAAAGUGUUUAGGGUGUCAUUUAUGCACUCAAAUCAAAUCAAAGAAUGCUAUUACCAUAAGCUUGCUUAUAUAUCACAUCUCAAUCCACAAAACAUGAAUAAAAUGCAAAAAUCCAAGGGUCUUAAAAGGGUUGUAAUGGGGUUAAAUAGGUUAAAUGAAAAAGAGAGGUUUAUGAAAGAAAAAGAGAUCAAAAUGAGAAGAAUGAACUCAUUGAAUGAACUUAUGAUAUCAAAAUGCUUAUUUCUACUCAAGUCACCAAGAAUGUAAACAUUUUUUUUUCUUUUUUUUUCGAUUUUUCUUUUUCUUUUUCCUUUUUUUUCUUUUUUUUUUUUUUGAAUCAAACAAAAGAAACGAACCUUGCACAAUUUAAUUCAAGCAUAAUGCUUGUUGAUCUAAUUGAGAAACUUUAUUACAAGGUAGAAAAAGCAACAAAAUAUAUCCACACAAUGAGUCCAAAAAUCUCCUUAAAUUGAGGCUCAAAAAAAAAAAAAUGGUUAAGUAGACGGAGAGAAUUAGAUGGGUAAUUGUUAAGGCUCAAACAAAGGUAGCAAAUAAAGGUCUUCGGGUAGAGAAAAAGGAAAAUGCGAGAAUAGAAAAAUGGUAAAUGGUUUGCCCUUAUCAUUUUAAUGCAUAAAAUCCCAUAAUGUGGCUUCAACAUGCAUAAUAAAGCAAGUUCUAGAAUAAACAAACUAGGAUUGAUAUUCACAUAACAAAAAUAAUUAGAGCAAAGUGGUUGCUCAUAGGCUCAAAUCCUCACAAAGUUGGUAAAUUUGCCAUCAAAUCCUGUACACUCUUCAAAUGAAUCAACCAUCAAUAGUAGUGUAGAAUGAGAAGAAUGUAUGAGUGAGAUAUAAAAGGAAAGGUAAAAAGGAUAAUAAGCGAGAAAGAUGUAUGUAGUAAAAAAAAAUGAAAGAUAAAAUGUGAGUAAUGAAAAAGUAUGAUAGAAAAAAAAUAGAUGUAAAUAAUGUGAGAUAGAUGGGAAAAGAGUAGUGAGAGAUAAAGGAAAAGAAAAUUAAUAAUAUAUAAAGCAUACUAACUCCAAAAUCAUUUAAGGAUGAGUAGAGUGAAAAAAAGAUAAGUAGAGUGAAAACAAUAAUUCCAGACAUCAAUAAUGCAAAAAUCCCUCCCCCACACCAAGAACUUACAUUGUCCCCAANNNNNNNNNNNNNNNNNNNNNNNNNNNNNNNNNNNNNNNNNNNNNNNNNNNNNNNNNNNNNNNNNNNNNNNNNNNNNNNNNNNNNNNNNNNNNNNNNNNNAAGUCAGCGUAAGGAUAAAAGAUUAAAGGCAAAAACUUCCCUGAAUUGUGAGCUUUGAUCCUCAUAACGUCUAUGGGCUUGGCGGGAAUGGUGGGAUAAAUCCUACACUCUUGAAGUAUGCGGCCAAAUUCUGCUCCAUCUUGUCACGGAUUUCGAUUCACGCGGCUGGAAUGUAGGUCGUAGGCUGGUUGCGGACUAUUGCUGCUCGACUGGAGCUUGCGGGUACACGGCUGCUGGUUCAGUUGCGCGCGGAUGGGACUGAUGUUGCGAACUGGUGACGCUGGAUCUGCGUGCUGCGGUUGAUGCUGCUCGCUGGGGGAUUGCUGGUGCGCACACUGGUGACGGUUGUUGCGUUGCGUGCUCGGCUGGAGCUUGCUGCGUGGCUUGGGGCUGGUUGCGUGCAGGAUGCUGUCUGCGUGGCUGCGUUGCACGCGAGAGCUGCUGCGUGGCUGUGUUGCUGCGAGACUAUUGCGUGCGAGAGCUGGUUCUGAGUUGCGUUGCGGGGCGUGCUCGUUGCUGGUGCUUGCGUUGCGCGCGACUGAUGCUGCAUUCUCUGGCUGGCUGGUUUGCUGCUGGCGUGCUGCAAACGGCUAGAGAAGAAAACAAUUUCUGGAAAAUUAGGGAUUUUGUGAACAGUAAAUUUUUUUUUUAACAAUGAUUUUUUUAAAUAAAUAAAAAAAAUAUAUAUAAAAGAAAGAACAAAAGAAAUAAAUAAAAUAAAAUAAAUAAAAUAAAUAAAUAAAUAAAUAAAAUAAAUAAAUAAAAUAAAAUGAAAUAAAAUAAAUUAAAAUUAAAUUUUUUUUUUUUUUUUUUAGUGAUGAAUCAUUUUGUGACACUAAAAAUUUCAGAAGUACUUUUCUAAUAAGUACGUGGGCACGUCUUAAAACCAUUUUACUUUAAAAAUCACAGAAGUACUUAUUAGUUAAAACGUGGGCACGCCUUAUCAAAAAUUUUCUUCUGGCCAAAAUAAACAAACACAUUAUUUUUAAAAAAUCUGAAUCAAAACUAAAAGAAGAUAAAACAAAAACCAAAAUAAACAAAUCAUUUGGGUUGCCUCCCAAAAAGCGCCUUUGUUUUAUGUCUUUGGCUAGACACAUUUAUGCAUCAAUCUCCAUAAUUGGGACUCUCGAGAGCCAUAUCCUCCACAAUAUUCACCGAAAAACCUUCAUAAAAAGGUUUUAAGCGAUGACCAUUAACCUUAAGAACUCUGUCAGAGGUCGGACUCCAAAUCACAAAUGCACCAUGAGGAAAAACAUUAGUAACAAUAAAAGGUCCAACCCAGCAAGAACAUAAUUUACCCGGAAAAAGUUUAAGUUUAGAAUGAAAAAGAAGAACUUUUUGACCAACCGAGAACUCCUUUCUCAAAAUCAUUCUAUCAUGAAAUGUCUUCGUCUUUUUCUUGUAAAAAACUUCCUGCACUAUAGGGUUAAUAACACCCACAGAGAAUACUGAAUGUUCAUCACUAGGAUAUUUCAUGGCAUCAUUCAUAUUGAAUUCUAUAACCUCUCCAUCAAACUUCAUAGUGAGAGUCCCUUUAUGUACAUCCAUUUUAGUCCUAGCAGUCUUAAGAAAAGGUCUUCCUAGCAAAAUUGGAAUAGAAUUAGAGGAGUUAUCAUCUUCCAUAUCAAGUACAUAAAAAUCAGUAGGAAAAACUAACUCAUUAACUUGUACUAAGACAUCUUCUAAUACCCCAUCAGGAUAUGCAUUAGACCUAUCGGCUAGUUGAAUUAUCACGCCAGUUUCUUUUAAUGGACCAAUAUUCAAAGAUGAAUAAAUAGAACGAGGCAUGACAUUAAUUGAAGCUCCUAGAUCUAACAAAGCCUUUUCAACUCUAACACUACCAAUUUUACAAGGGAGAGUAAACAUACCUGGAUCCUUGCACUUAAGAGGUAGUUUCUUUUGGAGAACUGCUGAAACAUUCUCCCCCAUAUGAACUUUUUCAUCUCCUCUUAAUUUUUUCUUGGAGGUGCACAGUUCCUUAAGGACUUUAGCAUAUCGAGGUAUUUGUUUUAUAGUAUCUAAUAAAGGAAUAUUUACCUCAACCUUGCGAAAUGUCUCAAGGAUGUCUUUCUCUUGUUCCUCCUUCUUGGAUUUUGCAAAUCGGCUUGGAAAAGGAGGAGGUAUCACAAUAGGUAGGGGUUUCGCUUUGGUGGGUUGUGCAUCUUGAGAUUGAGGCAUCAAUUCAUUCUUCUCAAGCUCACCUUCUACAUGCUUUGUCACUUUCUUAUUAGGCUCUUGCAACUCCGUCCCACUUCUAAGGAUGACAGCACUAACGUUUUGCUUUGGAUUUACCUCAGAUUGUGAAGGCAAUCUCCCUAAUACUUGAGACUCCAGAUGGCUCACUGUAGUCGCCAAUUGACUCAUUUGGUUCUCCAAGUUCUGAAUGCUUGUUGUAGUUGCCUGCUGAAAUUGUUGAGUGUUAGUCGCAAGUGAUUUAACAAUUUUUUCAAGAGAUAUACCUGACUUGGAGUUUGACUGUGGAGGUGCUGGUUGUCUUGGUGGAUACUGUUGUGGGAAUCCUGACGGCCUAACUCCAUAGCUGAAGUUGGGAUGAUCCUUCCAUCCCGGAUUGUAUGUUUGUGCAUAAGGAUCAUACCUCCUCUGAGGCAUGCCUGGAAAUCCUCCAACUGCAUUGGCUUGUUCAAUCGGUUCUUCUUGAAGUGUAGGACACAUAUCAGUUGAAUGACCUAUAUUAUAACAUAUACCACAAGUCUUCACCUGCUGCACAUUACCUACAACAAACUUUUCCACAAGAGAAGUAAGUUUAUCUAAACGUUGUUCAACAGAAGAAAUAUUUACCUCAUUCACCUUCCUUGAAGUGAGAUCUUGCCUGCUGCCAAAUUUUUGUGCAUUGGCAGCCAUAUUUGAUAUCAACUCCCUUGCUUGACUAGGGGUCUUGUUCACCAACACACCUCCACUAGCAGCAUCUAUCAUACUCCUAUCCAUCAAUGAUAAUCCUUCGUAAAAAUAUUGAAUAAGAAGUUGAUCAGAAAUCUGAUGCUGAGGACAACUGGCACACAAUUGUUUGAAUCGCUCCAAUACUCAUACAAAGUCUCCCCAAGAAGUUGUCUGAUCCCACAAAUGUCUUUUCUGAUGUUAGCAGCUCUUGAAGCAGGAAAGUACUUCUCGAGGAACUGCUUCUUCAAAUCAUUCCACGUUGUAAUCGAUCCAGGAGGCAAGUAGUAUAACCAAUCUUUAGCUAGUCCAUCUAAAGAGAAAGGAAAAGCACGCAGUUUAAUCUGCUCUUCAGUCACACCUUGUGGUCUCAUACUUGAGCACACAACAUGAAAUUCCUUGAGAUGUUUAUGAGAAUCUUCACCUGCAAAACCAUGAAACUUGGGUAAUAAAUGAAUAAGACCAGACUUUAAUUCAAAAUUUACCUCCAAAUCUACAUAUUGAAUGCAGAGUGGUUGCUGAUUCAAGUCUGGUUCAGCUAACUCUCUAAGAGUUCUUUUUACAGGUGCAGGUCUAUCCAUCACUUGUUCUUCUGAAUCGCUAGAUGAUUCAACUAAAUUAGGCACCGUAUCUAUUUCAAAAAGCAAAGGCGACGAGGAUCGUUGCUUAGCUCGCUUCGUCUGCUGUCUCAGCUGGCGAGCUGUCUUCUCAAUUUCAGGAUCAAACGAAAGUGUACCUGUACGAGAAGAACGAACCAUACACCAAGUAAAACGUAAAAAUGAUUAAAUAAAUGACAUCAAUCCCCGGCAACGGCGCCAAAAUUUGAUGGGUGUCGAAGCCAACAAAAAUAAAUUCCUACUCUAAAUAAAUUGUGUAUAGUGAUUGAGCAGGGUCGUGUCCACAGAGAUCGGUAAUUAUUUAAAUCCUUUUGAAACGUAAAACGUAAAAUGGGGGAAUUGUUGACAAUAAUAAAAAUCAAAUUAAAAAUAACAAGAAUGCAAAUUAAAGUUGUAAUUCAAAUUGGAGAAAGCUCUGGUUGAAGGAAUUAACUCAGCUUGAUUCGACUACUGAUCAUUGAUUCAAAUAUAGAUUAUUAUUACUCAUGAAUAGACCGGUUAUAGCUACUGAGACCCUCUAAUAGUCAAUCUCUCCUUAACUAGUCGAUAACCAAGGUACGACCGUUGGUUAUUUCCCUAAUCAAUAGACAACCCUAGAUACGAUCAUAGAAUUUAAUCAAUUGACAGCCUGAAAAACCAGAGAGACCUAAAUCCUAAUCAACACAUAUGAUGAUUCAUUUAAAUUAGAUUGUUUAUUCUCACAACACAACUCUCUACUAUGUUAUUUGUCACAAAUAUUAAAUUCUUCAUACGAUGAAUCCUUUAAUUGACAAUAGAUUAAGUUGAUAAUUAAAUAGUGACCAAUUACCUAAUUAACAAACAUAAUCAUGAAAAUAAUUCAAAGAAUAAACAAAUACCCAAAAAGUAAUAAAACAAUUAAAGCACAAGAAAGAUCUCACAGUAGUGAUGAAUCAAAGCUUCAUUAACCUUCAACCAGAAAAAUUGGUUUAGUUCCUCAUAGAGAGAAGAGAAAAAUUAGAUCUAGGGUUUCUUUUUCUCCAAUCCAAAAAAUCCCCCUUUUUCACAAUAGAUUCCUCCCUUAAAUACCCUCUCUCUCUUCUCUUUUAGAGUUCUAUUUAAAAUAAAAUAUUAAUAUCUGAAAUAUUAAAUUCGUAAUUACAAAAAUAACCAAAAAUACAAAACACGUUAAACUAAAAACUGCAGGUCCGUAGUUGACAGCACGCGCCCACUCCUUAUCAACAAAGUUCUUCUGACGCUCAUAAUUUCUCCAAGAGAACAAUCAUCAUUAAAUAUCAUCUUGUAGCUUAAUUUUAUCACCAAUCAAUAGAAUUGCACCUACAAAAGUAAAACACAAGUAAAUCACUAUUAUUAAGUGCAAAACAUCGAUAUUAAGGGAAGUAAACAAUGUAAAACUAGUGCUUAAAUUGCACUCUAACAGGGUGUAGCGAUCAUGACCAUCGUCGUAGAUAAAAUGGCCUGAACGUGCGAAAUAAAGAAUCCGCUGAAGCAUAGGUAACGGGACAGUCGUUGGGUUGAGAAGCUCCUCAUUUAUAUCUUUCCAACUGUCAGCAACUUCUAACAACAACUCUUUAACUGCCUCUUCCUCGGAGACGCCAUGUUGAUUCUUGUAGCACUCAACUGCUGUGGGAUUAUGUCCUCUCUUCUGCCCAAACUACAUCACGGAUGCAUAUGAAUUGGAUAUAAGAGAACCAAAAAAAAAAAAAAAUCAUCAGUUAGCUAAUUUUUUUUUUUUCCUUGGCCAUAUAUGUUAUGUUAUGUUAUGUGUUGUUAUCUGUUAAAGAGAGUUGAAAAGAAAUGCAGCCGCAAAGGCCGAAUGGUUUUCAACAACCUUUAUUUUAUUGACAAUUUCUAGGUUUGAAUCUUGAGAAGCAAGGUGUUGGAAAAAUUGAUGUGGGCUUCACCCACAUCUCUACCUUUAAAAUAGAUAAAGAAAUUGUAUACUAUGGUGCACGCCUUAAGAUAUGUUACAAAAUUUCUCUUCGAGAUUAGUGGUGAAUAUAGUCUUAUUGAAAUGAAUUAUAAUGUAGAAUGAAGAAUAUUAUUUACCUUAUAAACUGCUAUGUCAUCCAUGAGCCUGAUAAUGGUUUCUGUCGCUUUAACACUCUUAGCGUUUUUAAGAAUGCCUUCAAAAUUGUCCUUCGUUGCAAUAAAAUCACCCAAAUCAACGAAGGAAGCGACCCCUAGCGUACGUAAACCGAUACUUCUUAAUGCAACUGAUUUGUAUUCAUCGAAGCUUGGAACAUAACCUUUAUAUAACCACUUGGCUUGAGUAAAGUAUAAUAUAAUUAAUUCUUGCAUCUGAGCAACAUAACCCAAGUCAAUAAUAAUCACCUUGCAAAAUCAUAUAACAUGAAAUUGAUUAUUAAUAAAGUAAUUGCUUACCAUCUGUUUUGCAUAUGGUAUGCCGUACGAUCUUCCUUCCUUUGCCAAUUCUUCCUCAGCUUCUCUAUAAAUAUCUAAGAGUGCCUUGAAAAUAAAUUUCAUGUAUUCUGGCAGUGUAUCUAUGAGGCCAAUGUCCCAUCUGAAAAAAUCAAAUAUAAUCGAUAUAUUUGCACAUUCUUAAGAAAAUAUAUAAGCGAUACAAUUAAUUUGUUUCUAAUAAAAGUAUAUUAUGAAUUAAAUAUCCAAUCAAAGAAUUGCAUUAUAGGAUUAUUAUUGUUUCACCAAUUCAAGAGUUGUAAAAUAUCAAAUGACUAUAAGAAGUAUUAUCUCUUAUCAUUUUACUACUUUUUCGUUAAAACCAUUAGUUAAUUAGUAAAAUAUCAAUAUUCUUUUAUGAUAAAAUAAACAAAUAGAGGUAUCAAAUAAUAGACAAAAAUUAUUGGCAUGCCCUUUAAUUUUAAAAUAAUGGUUUUAACCAUGACUUUAUGAAUAACCCUAAAUUUAUCGUAACUAUAAAAAUGGUGCAUUAACAAAAUACUCCUGGAUAUUUUUCAUAAAAAAACACACAAUUUAUUCUUUAAAAAAAAACUUAAAGCUUAUUUACAGAAUCAACACUUCCAUAUUUAAUUUUUUUUCUUCUAGAAUACAUUGUGAUUUUUUUGGGCAAAAAAUUCUAGGGGUAUUUUUGUCAAUUCACUACUUUUUUGGUCGCAAUAAAUCAAGGGUUAUUCAAAAAAUUAUAGUUAAAACUAUUAUUUAACAAUUCAUGUUUAAAACUAUUAUUCAUAAUAUUAUGUAUACUAUUGGAUACCUCUUUUGUGCAUUUUAUCUUAAAGGGUAAAAUUAAUAUUUUAUUAGUCAGCUAACGAUUCUAACAAAAAAGUAGUAAAAUAAAAGGUUUUACAAAGUUAUAGUAGUAAAAUUAUGGAAAAUAAUACUUCUUGCACUUAUCUAAUAUUUUAUAAUUCUUGAGGUAAUGAAACGAUAAUAAUCUUUUAUUAUAUAGGCAUGGGGUCUUGCUAAGUUACAUCUAGGGAUGGCAAAAUAACCCGGACCCGACCCGGACCCGCACGAACCCGGAUAAUCCGGACCGGGUUCAACCCGCACCGGAUACAAAAAAAUCCAGAAUCCGGAAGCAAUUUAAUAAACCCGGAUGUAUCCGGGUCUGGAUCCAGAAUAGGCCAACCCGCAUAUCCGGAACCUAGACCCGAAUGUCUUUAUUCUUAAUAUUAUAUUUUUAAUUUUUUUAAAAUAUAAAUAGAAAAGCAAAAAGUCAAAAAAGAGGAAACCCUAGUUUGCAGUGACGGCUUCAAAUCUCAUUCACUCACUCAAAGUUACACUCCCCCAUACAUUUGCCUAUCUUCUUCUUCUUCUUCUUCUUACAAAGCUUCCUUCUCUCUCUCUCUCUCUUUUCACUUUUGUUUUGUCCAAAAAAGGAAAAAAAUGUCAGAAAAAUCAAGCCGCCAUCAAAGGAGGCCAUCGCAAGGCGUGUUCAUCAACUUUGAUGAUCUCUCAUCGCCCAUCUCCGAUAAUGUUGCUGGCACCCCUGAUCAGCUUCAGGCUCAGCCAUCCGAUGACCACCAGAUUCGUGCCCCUCUCCCUUCGUCGUCGGCGCCUGCGCCGGGAAGUGUAAUCGUAAAAGAUGAUGGCAAAGAGAAACCUAGGGACGUGAAGAAGUUGUGUUCUUUUGCUUGCUUAUUUGUUGUAGUAGUUGGAUUCUAUAAUUGCAUUGCUUCACAUUCUGCUGCUUUUGCUUUUUUGGGUGAAAUUGCUAUGCGACUGUACCAUUUUUCCCAUUGUAUCCAUGGCUUUAAGAGAAGUGGAAAAGAAAAAUUCAUAUAAGUAUCUGGGUUUGAAACCCGGAAUCCGGAAACCCGGAUUUUUCCGGGUUGAACCCGUACCGGACCCAGAGUGAAAAAACCGAGUUUUAAUCCGGGUCCGGGAGAAAGAAAAUGACGUCCGGGUCCAGAACCGGGUUUAGCCUUUCUCGUUACUUGGAACGAAGGGGUACAUUUCUCGUUACUUGCCUUCCGCGAAUCCCUUCGAAAAUUAUUAUAAAAUCAAAUAUAUAACUCUUAACAAACGGAACCGGCACAGGUAGCGAGGGCAGAUUAUGAACCUAAAUCAAAUAAUGGGAAAUUUACAGCCGUCCACCUAUUUGUUUAGCCUUUUGCAAAAAUACACAAACACUUUUUUUUUUUUCAACGCGCCACCUGAAGUUAUCUUUUUAUUUCACUUUUCCACUUCCGUCUAGUCUCCGUUAAUAGAGUUAACAGAAUAUUAAUGAAAUGACUUUUUUGCCCCUCAAGGGAAAAUUACAAUUUAACCGAAAUAAAAGACAAAAAAAUAAGAUUCAAAAAAUGUAACCGUUAGCUCUCAAACGGCUACAAUUUCGGCUAUAUAUACACAGAAGAAAUAACAAGAAACAUGUCAAACAACUCACAAUGCCCAAAGACAUCAUCUUCAAACACAUCAUUUAUACCAUUCAUUUGCCAUUUUUAAAGCUUAGAACCAGCCAAAUUGAAACCAAAAACCUGCUAUACAUCAACCUAAUAUGCCUCAUAUAAUCCAUCAAACCCAUAACUGCACAUUAAAGCAGACAAUUAUGCCAUCUAUUUGUCCUAAUUACAGCCAUUACCAGCCAAAUUGAAGUUAAAAACCUGCUUAUACAUAAUCCACACAUUCAAGCUCACAACUUUUCCUUUUCUCUUUUACAAAUGGCAUCGAGUUAUAGCUCAAGUUCUGCAGUUAGUGGACAGCCACAUAGAAAAGUUAAAUGCAUUCCUAAGAACUGUUGGUGUGGUGUGCAAGCAUGUGCUAUGGUUUCUACCACACAACAGAAUCCUAAUGCAAUGUUUUGGUCAUGUAAGUUGAAUAAAUGUAAGUUUUGGCAAUGGUUUACUACUGAAGCUCUCAUAUACCCUAGUACUGAUCAAAUGGUGGAUAAUCAAAAUAUGGAGCUGAAUGAUGAUAUAGUGAAGAUAAAGAAAAGACUUAAGCUCAUUGAGGGGAAGCUUAAAUAUAUCAUAAUUCUGCUGCUUUGUGUCUGUGCAAUUGUGCUUUUUAAAAUGUAAUGUAGCUUCUUUUUAUAUACAUUAAUGUAAUUAACUGUCGUGUUGGUUUUAUAAGCUAUAAAUUAGUGAUACUUUUAGCAUUAACAGCAUUAACAGAUGCAACUCCAAAAGGUAACUACUAAACACUACCUAAAAUGCACAACACUACCAUAUCUUGAUUUAGAAAAAUGCAUAUGAGAACCAAUGCAAGCUUUUUAACACAACAGCAAAAUCCCUGUAAGAAAAAAAGCAAAAUAACUGUUUAAAUAAGUUGCAACAUAACAUAAUAUCCAAAAUGGUAACUAUCCAAGAGGGCAACUACUAAGACAUCAUAUAUAGUCUAUGUGAUUUCCAAAGUAACAUAUCAUAAUUAUCCAAACUGAAGCCAAAAUAACCAUCAUUCUUAAACAACAGCCUACAAAACAAGUUAAAAGUCAAGUUUACUUCCAAUUUGCUCAUGCCGAAGUUGGUCGUCCUCUUGUUCCAGCAUGUCCACUACUAGAUCUAGCCUUUCUUUUCUUUGUUCUAACUUCAGAAGUUUCUCCUGGACCACUUUGUAUCUGAAUACAUGAAAUGUUAGUUAAACAAGCUCAAACACAACAACAAAAAUAUCAGAACAUGGAAGCAUUUUUAUAUGCACCUGUUUUCGCUUUCUUAGUGCUUGGGAUGAGGCUGCUGGUUGGGAUGAGGUUGCUUGUUGGGAUGAGGUUGCUUGUUGGGAUGAUCUUAGUGCUUGGGAUGAGGCAGUUGCUGGUUGAGAUGAGGUUCCUGGUUGGGAUGAGGUUGCUGGUUGGGAUGAUCUUAGUGCUUGGGAUGAGGCAGUUGUCGGUUGAGAUGAGGUUGCUGGUUGGCCUGAAGCAAUUGAACGUGAUGUUGAUGCUUGGGAAACAUGUUGUGAAUGAGCAUCGAAUUUCACAAGUAAUGCACAAUAAAUAAAAAAUGGGAAAUUAGCACCUGUUUUCUCCUCCUCAUUCUCUGCUCUGAAGCAUUCAAUGGCUGAUUUGUUGUUGGUGAUGCCUGCAAAACAUGAUAAAUGUAGUAAAUGCUGAACAAUAAACAUAAAAAAUAGUAAAAUAUUUUUGUAAUAAAUAAUAAUAGUAUAAACAUACAUUGGAAUUAUUUUUUCUAGCUCGAGCUGCCUUUGCAACGGAUGGCCUUAAUGGGCAGGACCUGACAUUAUGAUUGGAUCCUCCACAGAAUGAGCAAAUGAUAAAAAAUUUUCUUUUUUCUUUAUGUGGCUCAUUUUCUACAUUUCUUGGGCCUUCCAAUCUUCCUUUGCACAAUUGGAGGAUCAAUUAAUGGUCUUCCAGUAGGCUCCCAUGUACACUGGUCUGGAAUAGGAUUAAACAUCAACGAAUACGUGCUAAGGUAAGCUUGUUUGGUAAAGCACAUUGGAACAUAUUCCUGAACUUCAUGUCUUGCAUAUCCCAUGGCAGCCAUAGCAUGUGCACAAGGGAGGCCAGCAAUUUCCCAAUAACCACAAUCACAUUUUCUGCACUCUAACAUCACUACAAACCUCCUAGCUGGAUAAUAAGCUUUAUCCAUUACUUGAAAAUUAAGAUCGCCAGAAGCUUGCACAAUCAUUUUUUGUGCAAUUGUGCUUUUUUUGUCCAGAUGUUUCAACACCUUAGGCGUCAAAGGGCUUUCCCAAGUGGCUGCUUCAUUUCUUCUCUUUGUAAACCGUUUCAUAAGUCUACAUCUGAUUUCUUCAAGCAUUGUCAAGCAAGGCCUGUCUCGAUAAGCUAAUAUCCAGCUGUUGAAGCAUUCUGAUGCGUUAUUAUCAGUUCGAUCUACCAUACAGUUUGUGUCAUACGUAUGCAUCGACCAAUUAUACCCCAAAAGCUCUUUUUCCAACCACUGAUAUGCAUCUUCUUUUUCGGCCUUAAUCUCUGCCAUUGCCUCGCUGAAAUCAUGCUUGUUACUACUUUUAGCAGCCCUCCAAAAUAGUUGUUUCAACUGUGCACCAGCAAACAACUUAGCAAAAUUUGCAUAAACAUGCCUAGUACAUGCCCUAUGAUAAGCACUAGGCCAUGUGUUUGCAAUUGCAUUAACAAGUCCCUUUUGUCUGUCACUGAUAAAUGUCACUAGUCUGCCAUCAUCUAAGUAAUUAUGCAGGUGCUCCAUAAACCAGCCCCAUGUCUCCGUAUUCUCAAUUUCACAAACACAUAAUGCCAACGGAACAAUCCCAUUGUUAGCAUCCAUACCAACGGCAGCUAAUAGCACUCCACCAUACUUACCCUUCAGGUGACAUCCAUCAACUCCAAUAAAAGGCCUACAGCCAUUGAGAAAAGCAUUUUUCUGUGCAGGAAAGGAAACAAAAAACCUUUGGAAUAAAACUUUGUCAGGUAUAGAGACAACAUCACACAAUACUUUGCAAAUUGCUCCUGGAUCAGCUUUCUGAAUAGCUGCAGCAUACUGAAACAGUUUUUGAUAUCCCUUGGAAUGAUCCCCAAAUACCUCAAGUCUUGCCUUCGUUCUAGCCCUAUACAAUGUCAUCUUUCCAAUCUUCAACCCAAAAGUCUCUUGCAAAUAAUUCUUCAAGAUAUCAAUCUUCACAUUGGGAUCAACAGCAACUUGAUUAUUUAUUUUACCAGCAACCCACGUGGAAGUUACUUUCACUGUUUUAUUAGUAAGUCUGCAGCUAUGCUUUUUUUUGUACUCUCGCAAUAUGAAACCACUUCCAUUGUUCAUUUUUGCACCAACCACAUACCAUGGACAGCCAGAUUGCUUACAAGUAGCCACAAAUCGUCUCGGCUCACUAUAUACUGUUUUAAUAGCGAACAUUUUCCUAACCAUCACCUCAUUUAAUAUCUCUCUAAAAUGAAUUACAUCUCUAAAUACAUGCCCUACUUUUAGCCUAUGUUUCCCAUCAGCACCUAUUUUGUACUCGUGUUCCUCUAUAUAAUUAGUCAAUUGGGCAGUGCCAAGCUCAAUGUCAUCAUCAGAAGAGUUAAUCACCUUUUUUACCUUUUUAUCAACAUCAGAUAAAUUAUCAUCUGAAUCAGUUUCCAAGUGGCUGCUUUUAAGUCUUUCAGUAGCUCCAUCACUAGUUCCAUCACUAGCUCCAUCACUAGCUCCAUCACUAGCUCCAUCAACAGCUCUAUCAAGAUCAGCUUGCAUGAAGUUCACAUCAAGAUCAUCAUCACUGCUAAGCCUUCUGUCCGAGCAAUCAGAUAGCAGUGCAUCCUCAUCACAGUCAUCAUCCCUAACAACAAAAUCUUUCUCAACAGCAGCAUGUUCCACCACAGAAGCAUGCCCCCCCAUAGCAGCAUGCCCCCCAACAACAGGAUUUUCCUCAACAGAAGCAUGUCCCUCAAUUGAGUUAUUUACCUGAGUAAUAAGCUCAUCAGAUAAUACAACUCCUAAGUUAGUCAACAACGCCUGAAAUAAAGCAGCAUCUUGGAACUGAGGGCAAAGAACUGGUACAACGUCAACUUCAAAUACACGGGCACCCAAACGCUUAUAUAGUGCCAACAAACACUCCAACCCAAAGUCUGAAUCUAGCACAACCUUAAGCUUAUUCUCUGGGUUUGUAACGUUUAACAGAAUCUGUGAGCUCGAGCCUAAUCCGUAUGCACCCGUAAUCGUCAAUGCAGCAUCCUUUAUUUUGGCUACAGUACAAUCAGGUCCAAGCAACCCAAAAUUCUGCGUCUUAUCUCUAAACGAUAUUACUAACUCCAGUUGUGUCAUCCUAAAUGAUUUAGCAAAUUCAGGUCCAAGCAACCCAUCGAAAAUGAUUUAGCAAAUUCAGUAACACGAUUAUAAAAUACAUGCAUUAUAGUAAAUGUUCUUUUGGUUUUGUGAAAAUAAAUUCUAGGGUUUCCAACAACAAUGGUUAACAAAAAUCACCAAUGGAACAAUAAUUAACAAAACAUUGAGACUUAAUAGUAAACAAAUUCAACGAAACUCACUUGAAAUUUGGCUGAAACCUCCUAAAUUGAAACUUCCAGGCUUGUAACAAUUCGUCUGUUUCGUCAACACUUCUGAAUCUUCGUAUGAACAAAACCCAAGCUUAUUUCUUUGAUGAAAAUAGAUGGAAAUUGGAGAUUAACUGGCUUGAUUGAGCUUUUUCAAGCAACACAGUCAAAGACGAAGGUGGAUGCCGAGAAUGUUAGGAAAUGUUUCUUACUUGCUGGACUUAGGAAAUUCUAUAUAUGAAUAGCGUUAAACGAUUGUGGAUUUCUUUUUUUUUUUUAAUUUUUCCAUAGAAGUAAAACGACGUCGUUUUACUCUUUUAGCUGGAUACUGCGAUACGAUGUAGUUUUAAGUUUCCAAAUGAAAUAUCGAUUUUGCCCCUUUAACAUCAACAAUGUUCCAACGGAGACUAGACGGAAGUGGAAAAGUGAAAUAAAAAGGUAACUUCAGGUGGCGCGUUGAAAAAAAAAAAAGUAUUUGUGUAUUUUUGCAAAAGGCUAAACAAAUAGGUGGACGGCUGUAAAUUUCCCUCAAAUAAUUGAGUACUAAUUAAGUUCGAACAAAACGAAGCGAAGCAGAAACACACACUUUGACACUGUCGCAGAAACGAACACUUUGCACUGUUACAAAUUUGUUGUAUCGAACAAACAGAAUCAUUUGUUGUAUUGGACAGACAGAAUCAAUUUCAAAUGCAAUGCCAGCCGCGGACAAACUCCUAAGCUCGCUGUUCCGUUCAAGUCGCAAAGUAUCCGCCGCGGUCGAAAGAACCUCUAACAAGUUAACAUCACGCGCCGCAAGUAUCGACUUUCCUUUGAAACAAUUCGUCUCUGCUAUCGACACCGCGAAGGAGGCGGCGGCUGCGUCGUUGUCUCCUUCUGCCGCCGCUAAUUCUAUCAUCAAUUCCUCAGUUAAACCUCCCAAACCCACUAGCUCUCCGGCCGAGGACCCCGCCGACGACGACCCCUUCUGGGAGUUAGGGCCCGAGCCGGACCCUGUCCCGAAUCCCAAUUGUGGUAUUUGUUGUUUUGUUGCAAGUUUUGGGGUCUGCAAACACUGUAGCUAAAGUGUUUGCUGAAAUGCUUACUUGCACUUGAUAGUUAGUGACUGCAUUGUUAGCUUCGAAAGCCACAUUUCAUCAAUAAACGUUCCUUUACUAGAUGUUUGAUACCGAUUCUAAACUCAAUAUGUUGUAUACAUUUCUGGGUAUUUGAGAGCUUAAUAGGGGAAAUUGUUUCUUUAUAUGCUUUUUUGGCAGCCAAUUAGAGUGCAAUUAGUUGUUGAUUGAAUAAAUUUUUGGUGUGUUUGAUUAUAAUUUAACGUGUCUGAUGCAGAUAAUUCGCUCAAACAGCUAUCUGAGGAGAUCCAAUCUCUGUUAGUUGGUAUGUUUCCGCAAAAUUUAGUUUAAUGGUGCAAAACAAUUUGGUCUUUUACUUAGUUAUUAAGAAGUUUGAAAUGGGGUAUUUUUACUACUAAUGAUGGUGUCCUAAUCGAUUGCAAGACUAGUUUUUAGGCACUUAUGUGCAUAGCUUACUAGUUUUUAGUAAGUACUUUUAAUUUUACGUUUGGAAAGAAAGAUUUUGAAAGUAUUGACUUGACAGCAUUCACUGUUUUCUUUGAAGAUGUAACAGUUGAAUGAUUUCAUUUUGAUGAAAUUGGGAGUUUCUGUUUUAUUGACUGAAAUUUUAUUUAUUUUUAUUUGUGUCUGCUGCAGCUGAUGAUUCAGAUACCUCUUCUGAUUCAAUUGGGUCAAACAACAAAAACCUUUUAGAUGUGCUGCAGAUGCCAUGGCUUUCUACUAGGUCUAAUAACGACAAUUCACUUCUACGACGAAGAGAAAUUUGGCGUGAAAGGAAACAAAAAUGGGUAUUCAGUAACGGCCAAACUCGUCGUUUUAGCCGGAUAGUCAAGCUUUGUGCAAAUCAAUUGGGAACUGAAGCUACUUUUGAAGUAUUCGGUAAGAUGGGGCGAGAAAAUGGUGUGAAAGAACACAAUUCGUUAAUAGGGAUUUGUAUAGAGAAGGCUAGGGCAUGUGAUGAUGAAGACGUUGCAGUAGAGCAAAUUUGCAGGGCUUUUCAAAUUUUUAAUUCAAUGAAGGAGAAGGGGUUUCGGUUAGAAGAGGUAACUUAUGGUCCCCUUCUUACAUAUUUCAUUGACAUGGGUAUGAUAGAAGAGUUCCACUUUUUCUGUAAUACUAUCAACAAUGGAAAUUCUAGCUCGGUUCCAAGAUUGGGUUACUAUGAGAUGUUGCUUUGGACCAAAGUAAAUGAUGAAGAAAAGAUUCGGGAACUCUGCGAACAAACUGCAGCUGAAGAAGAUGGAAACUAUCUCUGUUUUCAAGGCAUGAGCUGUUAUUAUUAUUAUUAUUAGUAUUUUCAUUGUUCUUGUCUGGAUUUUCUCUAUUUAUGUGACUGUACUUUGUUAUUUUGAUAAUCUAACUCAAAGAAACUGAUGGUUGUCAAUAUGUGCAUAUAUUUAUGUUCAAGUUCAUAUUUUAUCCUGAAAAGAUGAGGGUAUUGAUAUUAAUGUUUAUGUUUCUGAUAUUCUUACUUGCAAUAGAAAGUCAUUUAAUAGCAGAGUUAACUCUACUCAUUUUGCAUGACCAAGGCCUUACAAGAUUCAACCCUUGAAUUGCAGAGAACUACCUGUUAGCUCUUUGCGAAAGUGACCGGAAGACUGACAUUUUGCAACUUUUGGAGACUAUAGACAUAAGAAAAAUUUCAUUGCUGGACCAUUUGGCAAGUAUUUUUAAAUCAUUAGGGCGGUUGCUACUGGAGUCCGAUGCAGAGAAGUACAUAUUGGCUUUCAAAACAUCUGGUAUUUUCUUUGUAACCUUUUGCUGAUUGUACUUUUAUUUGUCUUGUUGUAGAAACUCCAUUGGUAAUAUCACUUAUAAAGGCUUAAUAGUACAGCAUGGGAAGUGUAGAGAGCUAAUAGAUCUAUUGUAGGAAAGCAGAUUGCAGGAGCAGGUCUUCUGCUACUGUAAGCAACAAAAUGUUGAUGUAGAAACGAAAUCACAGUACCAACAUGCUUGGUUAUAAGGAUUUUGGAUGCUUCAAAUAUAGUACCUUUAGCUUAAAAGAACUAAGGCUUUGCACCUAGGAGCGGAAAUAAAAAUAAAAAGAGCUUCAUAUUAUACGGUAGAAAGUUGAAUGAAUUCUUCAGUCAUCAUUACCUCCAGAACACAGAGAAUCUGAUCUCAUAACAAUUUGUAGGCCAGUAAGCUGGACACCAAGUACACUUGGUAGGAAAAAGUUUUGCAAGUCAAAAGACCUACAAAAUUCACCAAUUUAAUUCAGCUGCUGGGCUAGAUUUAAAAAGUUACUGCAACUGUCCCGAGUUUAAAAAGUUACUGCUAAACCCGGACCCGGAAUUUGCCAUCCCUAGUUACAUCAUGUAUAACCUGCAGCAACCCUAAUAGUCACUCAUAAUGUCCCCAUUAUUUAGGUUAUUAUAACCUAUAGAAUACAGAUAAUGCAACUUAACAACUGCUGUAUAGGGAUGUAUAUGGUUUUAUAACCUUGUGACUGCUUCAGUAAAAAGUGUGAGCUCUUCAAAAGUACCGUAAGCAUCAAAUGUGUCGUCUAUUAUGGAUAUUAUGCACACCACUUUGGAUGCAAAAAUUCUACCAAAUGCCAAAUUGGGCUCAUAGGACACUCCCAGCAACAUCCAAAUAUAUGUCUCUACUACUCUAUCUCUUGCAUAAGGCACCUUUUUAGGGAAGCCUAAAUCGUUCCACCACCUGAAAUUCAAUUUUAAAUCUAAUUAGAUAGAUAUUUUGCUACAUUAUAAAGUUGUCACUAUAAUAAUCGUUACUUCUGUAGUAUAUAAAAAAUACAAACAAGAACACAAUUUGGUUUCAUCUUUUAAGGAGGUAGCAAGGAAAUAUGAAAACUCGAUGGAUAAGUGAAAAAAGUUAGAAAUUUUAAAGAGAAGUUGUAAAUCUUCCAUAUUAUAUUUGGAAAAUUUGUUUCAUUAAAAAAGAGAGAGAGAGAGAGAGAAAUUUACGUGAUUUAUUUUUAUUGUUUUGUAUUUUCAUCUAAUUUAUAAAUUUAUAUCACAUCCAUUCUUAAAAAAAUUUUAUAAUUGUAUCAUUACUCUUUCAUUAUACACAUUAUCCUCCAAACACUAUAACUUAUUAUUAUUAUUAUUAUUAGCAACAAGCACAUAAUAUACAAAAACUACAACCACUACCACUGUUGACAAAUCAAGAAUACAUAAAAAUUUUACUGCAAACUAAAAAUCUUGGUUUGGUGUUAAUAAAUAAAUAAUAAUAACUAUUAUAAGAUAUUUUGCCUUGAGCCUUUGAUUAUACAAGGGGGCAACUGGUAAAAUAUGAUUUCUCUUUCUAGGGAAAGUGACAAUCUCCCAUUUCAAAACAACACCAAUAAUAGGCUUUUCCACGUUGAAAGAAUAUAUAUGAAGUUACCUGGUCAUGAUACUUGCUUCCUUCUUGUGUGCUGCUUGUAAUAUAUUAAAGUCUAACUUUGCAAACUUGAGCAAAGUUUCAUCAUGCAAAUCAUCCCUUGAAUAGAUAUCCAAAAAAUACCUUGCCUCUAACCUUGCUGCGGCUUUACGGAGAGGAAUUUGCAGAGAAUGACGUAUUUGUUCAGCAAGAUCAGAGUUUACAUGAGAAUGAUCAGAUACAGAUAUUACUGACUUAAGGUGAGUGGUAGUGAAAACAAUGGCUUCAUCUAAAAUGUCUUCCCCCCGAAUUGCUAGGUAUGCUGCCUCGUACAAACUCGACAUGCCUCGUAUAUCGUUGAUCAAUGAUUCCUUGAAUUUACCUUCGUCAUCUUUGAACUUCUCAAACACAUCUGAUGACCAUAUUCAAAAGAGGCGAGCUAGUCUCGAUUAGUGUACAUGCUUAACUUUAAUUUGAUAAUCAACAAUAAUCUUGUAAUCAACAUAAAUAGUUUAAUUAACAAAAUGAGAAACUAUUACAUACCACAUGAAAUCUUAACUCCUUGCUGUCUAAAAAGUCGAAAACGAAGAGAAACAACGUAUAGAUCAUCACUGUCAAGAUCAUGAGAUACCUUUCCCAAUUCAUCUUCAAUCUCUUUUUCAAAAUGAUAAGCGACACCUAAUCGUUGUGCUGCAUCAAUCAUGUGUAGUUUUUGGGCAAGCUUAUUGGCAGUAGUGGUUAUCAUCCUCCUGACCUCUUGCUUCAGUGCUGCGUGCUGUUCUUGAGUUGCAGCGUCAAUUGUCUGCAAACGCAAGAAAUUACUUAAUAUUUAAUGCAUUACGUAUGUCUAACAAACGAUUACUUAUGACAUAUAAUUGUACAUCGAUUGGGCUUGCCUCUCUGAUAAUUAAUGAGAUAUUUUGAUAUUGCAAUUUUUUAAUUACCUCGACAUCGGCAGUGGAUUUCAGGAAAUGGUUUCCCCAUAAAGUAGGAUGAAAAUCUGCAAUGGGACGAACAGUUUCUUCAGUUGAACUGGAAACUGCUGCUAGAAGUGGAAUAGACAUAUCUUUCAUUCCGUUUCAGACAAACCAAAUACAACUAUAUAUAUAUUUUUUUUAAGAGUUGGAGUUGCAAAAACCUCAAGACACAAAUGCUCUAUAUAUAGAGAGAAACGAUGAGGCAGUGGAACACUUUCGUUGGUACUUUGUCAUGUGCUCAGUAGUGAUCCUACGUUGGGAUCAUUAAAUUUAAUAUUAAAAAAGUCAAUGGAUCUGAUUGGGGGAUGCAGUAUUAAACCAUAUGAUAAAAUACUCUUGGACCGUUAUCUCAACAAAUUAUGGGUGCGUUUGAGAUUAAGGUUAGACAGCUGCAGUUUAAAAGUUACAAUAGUAAAGUAUUUGGUAAACACUAGCUGUUGUAACUUGAAAGUUAUGUUGAUAUGAUUUUUCACUUGUAUAAUAGAGAAUCUAUUAUAUCUUUAAUAAUUUUAUCAAAAUUAUUAUUUAAAAUUUAUAUUUACUACAUAUUAUUAACUUUUGUUUUAUAUUUACAGCUUUUUUUUUAUUGCAGCUGUAGUUUAAAAAGUACAGCACCUCAAUUCCAAACGCAACCUAAGAGACUGCGAUCAUUUUACAUAAAUUUUUAAAUUUAGAAUUUUUUUUAGGUAAUGAUAGAGAGUUAACUCUAACUGUAUCUCUAACUCUAUACAAAAAUAAAUAUAUAAAAGUUGAAAUAGUAAUAAAGUUAUAUUAAAUUUUAUCUUAAUCACAAACUGGCCACAAAAAUUUAUCUUGAUCAGAUUGAGGUGGGGUUCAUUGAUGAUAGCGAUUCAUAUCAUUUUUCAGCUUUCGUAUGCAACUUGCAUAUUGUGAUAUUGUGCGUACAUUAACUAACUACUCAACGUAACGACCGUAAAUUAUUUUGAAAACCUAUCUCUCUUUUAAUUUCACAAUAAUAAUAUUCCAAGAAGGCCAUAAUUAUUUAACUUACAUUUAUUUUAAGAGUAAUGAUAUAGGCACAAACUCUUGUACAAACUUAUUUUGUACAAAUUGAUAUGACAUGAUAAGAUUUGUUGAAUUAAAUAUCACUUGGCCCACAUAAUUUGUGUUUAUUAUUUUAUAUUUUCAUUCAACCAAUGAAUUAAUCUCACGUCAAUUUGUACAAAAUAAGUUUGUACAAGAGUUUGUGGUUGUAUCAUUACUCUUAUUUUAAUUACUCGUACCAAGCAAAAUAUUUCAGUUAUUUUAACUAAAUAAAUAUAUUUUAGUUAUUCUUAAAGCCAAAGUCUAUUUCUGGUUAGUAAAUUAUCCAAACAUUUUAUUGGGGGGUGCUUCUAAUAACUCCAUGAUAUCAUAAAUAUAAAAAUUUACUUUCUGCAGGACUUAUCUCAAAUAAAUUCUCUAAUUCAUUUUGAAGAUGAAACUAAAAAAAAAAAUGAAUCAUUGAGGCUUAAUUAAAAUAUUUUACUUAGAGUUCCAAUGAUAUUUAAGGGAAUAUGAUUUUUAUCAGUGCAUUUAACAAAUUUCACGAUUCUAAUCCUUAAAAUACUUGGACCACCAGGGAUCUUAGAAAAAUAGUAUGUGAACCACAUUUUUAGCUAUUAUCAACAACAGUAAUAUAAUAUAUUUUCUAAUCCCUAGUGUUCCCUUCGUGGGUCUGCUGAUGCUAUCAACAAUAACAAGCAAUUUUUAAUAAAAAUAAUCAUUUUACUAUUCUUUUUAAAUGUACUUCUAUAAUUUUGAGAGAUUGGAAGAUUUGAAUCCUCUACCUAAUGAAUAAGGGAGAGAAGAGUUGUCAACUAACUCAAUUAAGGAGCUCCGUUGGUUAGUUUACUAUUAAAUUUUGGUGUAUUUUAUUUACUAGUGAGAUUAUUUGCACUCUAAAAUGUACUUUGAACACCAUAUUAACUAAAAAAUUAUGGUACUAAAAUAACAUUCAUAUAAUUUAAUAUUAAGGAUAAUUUAGAAAAAUAGUUAAACAUUAUGAAUUUGGACACCUAUCUAACACAUCCAUUAAUCAUACCAUUAUUUAUGCUAACCUUAAUUUCAUCUCUUUUAUUGGGUGCCGAAUUGAAUUUAUUUUGUACUUAGAGAUCAUAAAAGAUUUGUGGCCAAGUUCCAAAAAUAUAUGAAGAUGUUUCUAUUAAUCCUUUUUGUUAUUUUUAAUUUUGUUAAUAUGUUAAUUUAGGUGGUCUUUUGCUUUAAAGUUUAAAGCGUACAAGGCGACGAAGAAGAAAAAUGUUGAAGAUGCUGGCUCGAUCAAUAAGAUGGAAUAUGGAAGAAUUAUUUUGAACAUAUAUCCAAUUAAUUGUGCUUUGUGCAGAAAAUUAAUGAAAAAGGAAUAAGAAAGAAAAAGUUUUGAGUAUACAUGAUCUUGUAGGAUGCCCCAGCAACCAAAGAAAAGUUUGUUAUUGUUGAAAUCCCAUAACACUUCUGUACAAGAAGGACUUGUGUGAGGUGGCCGGUUGGUCCACCGAUGGUCUGUCAUUUGUAGAAUAGUAGGUCCGAAAAUGAAACAAAAGUCGUACUCACUGAAUUAAGUUUACCAUCAAAAAAGAAAACAAUCAGUGACUAAACUGACAUAUGACCUAAUUGAAUUUAAUGGAUCUUAAAAUACAAUGAAUCACGGAAUAAAACACUACUGAAGUGACUGAAAUGAUUUAUGACCUUAUUUAGCACGCUAACAUAUGCAAAUUCUGUUCUACAAAUCAAGAUUAUAGAUAGCACAUCCCAUAUUACAACUCAUAUUUAAUUAUAUUAGUAUAUUAAUAUUUUUAAUCAGAUAAUUAUUGACACUAAUUUAUAAAUUUUAUAUAGCAUAAUCUGGGUACUGGGGACUAAUUUAUAAAUCUACAAUUUACAAAUUUUAUAUAACACAGCCCGGGUCAUGUUUCUAUUUAAAUAGGCUUUACAGUUAACAGAAUAUUAAAAUUAUUUUACAUAAUAUUCAAAAUAAUUUUAGUUUUAAAUUUAUUUACUUUAAUAUCAUGUUUCUAUUUAUUAUUAAAAUUACUUUAUUAUAAUAAAAUAGGUAUAAUAGAUUGUAAAAUAUUUUAAAAUUUUAAAAUUAUUUUUCUUCUCAAAAAAUUAUUUUAAAAUGUAUAUAUUAUUACAUUUAUUUUAAUGUCAUAUUUUUAUUUAUUAUAAAAUUUUGAGGUCAUUUUUUUUUAGUUCAUAGAGUUAAAAAGGUAUUAUGAUAAAAAAAAGGUCUUAAUGACUCUUAUUAAAAAUUUAGGAGUUUUUAUAACCAUUUCUCCAAAUCUUGAAAGUAUAGAUAUCUUUAUUCCUUUAAUUUAUUUAUUACUUUAAUAAAAUAUAAAAUUCUUCUAUUGUAAAAUCAUUUUAUAUUUGCAUUAGCACGCACGUGGGGCAUAAAACUAGCGUUGCAACUUUAUUCUACGUAAAUUAAGUUAAGAUGAUCUCAAACCAUGCUGGCCAAAAAAAAAAAAAAAAAAAAGAGGAGGUAUACGACUUGCUUAUGUAGUCAUGAUGGCAGAAAAAUCCCAUCUGUUACAGGAUCUGGGAAUCUUGACUAGGGAUGAUAAAUAUCUAAUUAUGGAUGGACAAUAUCUAUCAAAAUAUAAAUUUAUAAUUAUUUAUGAUGAAUAUAUUUAUAUUCAUAUUCAAUAUUUAAUAGUGGACAUGAAUAUGAAUUUUAUCCAUAUAGAUAUGGAUAUCUAUGGAUAUUUAAUUUUUAUUAUAUAAAAAAUAAUAAAAAAUAAAAUAAAAAUAAUAAUAUAGAAUAGUUAAAACCAUAUUAGAUGGACUAAUACUAAAAGCAAAAACAACAACUCACUCGCCGUAAGAAAUUGAUUAAUUUACUUUCUUUACUUUCACCACUUUGUUUUCAGUUUUUAAUUAAUUAAUUUCAUUUCGUUUUCUCCGUAUUCAUCUCCAGUUGCGUUUUGUUCUACAUCAAUGGAAAGAAUUUCAGUUUCAGCUUAGCUUACGACUAUUUUCGUUUAUUGAUCAGUCCAAAGUCAAGAUUUUUGAGAGAGUCAACCAGGGACAAGAAGGAAAAAAAUAAAGGAAAAAAGAAACCAUGGUUGUUGUUGAAUCAGCGAGUCAAGAUUCAGUUGUAUCGUCAGCGGGAUCGAUAUCGGCAUCAAACGGUCAGGAUCAUCCGAAGCAAAACGGAGGAACGAUGGUGAUGUCGCUCGAUCAGGGAUUGUACAACCAGAACAAUCAACGAUCCAACGGCGGAGGGGAUUUCAAGCGUGACAUGAGGGAGUUACAGGAGCUGUACUCGAAGCUGAAUCCGAUGGCUGAAGAGUUUGUGCCUCCUUCGCUUGCUAAAACUAACAACAAUAAUUUAGUAAAUUUGUUUUUGUUUUUUUCAUAUAAAUUAAUUAGAUUUUGGAUUUCCAUUAAAUAUCUAUACCCAUCUAAUAUCUAAUUAAAUAUUUUUAAAAUUAUCCAUAUCCACAUUCAAAAAUAUUUUAGAUGGAUAUUAUCCAAUUCAAUUAGAUUAAAUGUAUGGAUAUACAAUUUAAAUAGACCAAUUUAUCAUCCUUAAAUCCAACCAAAUUGGGACACUUUUUAGGUGUGGAAUCAGUUUAAAAUUUGAUUGGACCAGAAAGGGCCUAGGAUUAAACCCGAGAUUUAGAUUGGGUUGGCUUUGCUGCUUGUCAUGGCUCUAAAACCCAACCCAAAGUGCUUCUGGCUUUUAUCUAACGGUGUUAAAAAAUUCGGGGAUGUCAAUUCUUGCCAUUUCAUUAUACUCAAAGCAAGGAUCCACAAAAUAUACUGUUUAUGAGCCAUUUCAACAUUUCUUUGCUGUAGUUUCUAAAAAAAUUUCAUAAAUUACAUCAACAUAUACAUGUAUGACUCAAAUUAUAAUCCCAUGUAUGACUCAAAUUAUAAUCCCAUUUCAGGACAUUUUUAUAGAAUGUGCCCUAUCAAAAUAGCUUAAACACCCAAGAGUAAUGGAAAAGGUGGAAGUAGAGGCAAGGAAAGACUUUCAAAAGGAAAGAAUUGUUGAGGAAGCAUGCCGACAUGACUUACAACACUUAAAGAUAGUUGUUUGGGGGAAUAAAACAGGGUAACCAUGAUCUCCUAAAAUAAAAAGUGAGUAAAUGGUUGAUAGACUAAUAAAAAGUAAUUCUUGUGACCCUGAGUAGACCAUAUCGACCAGGUGGUAAUCUUGAGACUACGAGCAGACCACUUCGACCAGGUGGUAAUUCUUAAGACCAUGAGCAUACCACCUCGACCAGGUAGUAAUCUUGAGAUUAUGAGGAGACCACCUCGAUCAGGUGGUAAUCUUGAGACUACGAGCAGACCACUUCGACCAGGUGGUAAUUCUUAAGACCAUGAGCAUACCACCUCGAGCAGGUGGUAAUCUUGAGAUUAUGAGUAGACCACCUCAACCAGGUGGUAAUCUUGAGAUUACGAGCAGACCACCUCGACUAGGUGGUAAGCUUGAGACCAUGAGCAGUCACCUCGACCAAGGGGUAAAUCUUGUGGCCUUGGGCAAGCUAUCUCGACCAUGUGGCAAUUUUGGUGACCUCAAGCAAACGGGUUUGAGGAGACAUUAGACCAAGUCACCAGGAAGCAUGACUCAAUCAAAAUAACCGCCACAGAUCACCUCCAAAAAAUCAGGGUAUGAAUUUAAUUCAUUAAUUGCCACGAUCUAAGGUCGUGGGUGUGGAGUGUUUAUAAAAACCCAAAGAAAAUCAUGGUAAUGGAGGUUGAACUUUCUUUCUCAAUUUUGAUUUUUCUAUUACAUUUACUUAAGAUUAUUUUCUUCACAAAAACUAUAAAUUAAAUAUUUUGUUUUUCCCGUAAACCUAUAAACUGACUUGAGCAUCGGAGAGUUUUCGACGAAAAAACUUCAGCACCCCUGACCAUUCUCUGUAAUUCAGGUACUUGCUGAUUCGCAGCUUGAAGAUUAUCUGCUCAUGAAUAUUCUGUUAAUAGUCGGAGGAUCUUCUUGGAAAUCAACCAGCAGCUUCCCACCAAACAAAUUUAAUGCUGAUGCAGGGAUCUGAGAUCGAGUCACUAGCGGACUCAAUGGAUUUUGGCAUCAACAAUUGUCAAAGUUAUCAUGAUAGAUAUUUUCUAAUGCAUCUUCUAUCUCCUGUUCGAAGUGAUAGGCCACACCCAAUCGUUGGACUACAUCAUUCAAUUGUAACUUCUGGGCAGGCUUAUCUACCGUAGCUGUUAUUAGGCUCCUGACUUGUAUUCCUCUUGAUUUGAAGUAUCACUUAUCUGCAAUCCGCGCAUGUACAAAAGUCUUAAUUCAUAUUUAUGAGUCUAUAUGCUAGUUAAUUAAAAAUGAUCAUUUGUACACGUAUUAAUUAAAAAUUCACAAAAAGGACAAAUAUUUUUAUCAUUAUUUCAUCAUAUUUUGUUCUCUUUUAUCUUCUUUUUUUUAAUAAAAAUAAUCGGUUUAUUUUUUUUUAAUUAUACAUCCAUAAUUAUGGGAUAUUCGAAUCUUUUGCUUUAUGAGUAAGGGAAGGGAAGAGGUGAUGUAGGAUUGUUGUGUAUUAAAAGCAGAGUAUUUUCUAGAGGCCAUGACUUGUACUACAAAUGUCCGUUUUUAGCGUAUAAUGUACUGUUUUAAAACUUACGAUAAGAUGAACCAACCCAUAAGAACUUGCUUAGUUCUACCUUAUGGUCGAGUUAAAAAUUCUACUUCUUUCCUCGUCACUUUUCAAUUUUAAAAUGUUUUUUUUUUCUAGGAUUUUUAUCUUUUUUUUUCUAGAAUUUAGAUUUGAACACUGUUUUUCUUUUCUUAUUUAGAUUAAGAGAAUUUUAUUAUAACAUAAUAUUUCAAAUUUACAUAUUUUGAUAAAUUCACAAUAUUUAGGGUUAUUAUAUAGUGGGGCCAAAACCCUAGAUUUGUCAACCCGAUUAUUUAGGAAUUUUGUUUCAAUUAUCUUCAACCAACCUUACAAUUUCAUUUCGUAAAGAGGUGUCAACUUGCUUAGCUAAGGAGUUGUGUUGGCCAGUUUACUAUUGAACGUUCAUUUAUUUUAUUUAUAAGUGGGACUACUUGCACCUUAAAAUAUGCUUUUAACACCAUAUUUUACUAAAAAAAUUAUAAUACUAAAAUAACCUUCAUGUAAUUUAUUAUUCACGACAAUUUAAUAAAAAUAGUUAAACUAUUAUUCCGUUGGACACCUAUCCACACAUCCAUUAAUGAUGUCAUUAUUUAUGCUAACCUUAAUUUUUCUCAACUCUUCAGUACGAAAUUAUAUUUUAGUUAGAUAUCAUAAAAGAUUUGUGGGCAAGCUCAUAACAUGUAUGUGGUUGCCCAAUGCCGUUUAGUCUUUGUCCUAACUCUUUUAGAGCCCCUUUAUAUUUUUUUAAAAAAAAAAUUGUGGGCAAGUUCCAAAAACAUAUUAAGAUGUUUGUAUUAAUCCUUUUCGUUAUUUUUCAUUUUUUGAAAUAUGUUAAUUUAUGUGCAUCUUUUGCUUUCAACUUUUAAAGUAUAUAAGGUGAGAAGGGAAAUAUUGAAGAUGCUGGUUCGAUGAAUAAAACGGAACAUGGGAGAAUUAUUUUAAACAUACGUGCUUUGUGCAGAAAAUCAAUGAAAAAGGAACAAGGAAAUAAAAAGUUUUGAGUAUACAUGAAAUCUCACAGCAUUUCUGCAUAAGGAGGACUUGUGUGAGUUGUAAAAUGGAAUUAUAGUGGCAGAAAACUGAGUUGUAAAAUGGAAUUAAAGUGGGACUCUUUUACAAUUUUCAUAAUACUCUUUUACUCUUACGACGUUAAGACUUUCACAAAAAACUCAUUGCAAUAAUUAAAUAACAUUCUUUUUUUUCUUUUUUAAGUUUAAUGUCGAAAGAGUAAUGAGGUGCCUUCAGGGACAAUGAAAUCAUAAGUAGAUUUAACUUCAACAGAGUUCCUAAACGAACUUUUUUUUUUUUUUGUGGCGAGCAAUUAGGUAGUUAGUUUAUUUGAAUUAAAAAUAAAAUAAAUUCCGAAGAAUGAAUUUUUCUUUGAUAAUAUUAAAUUUCACUGUAGAAAAAAAUUGCAUGGAUAAUUAUUUUACCGAUACGGCAGAUUUUAUUUUAUUUUGAUUGAAAACUGCAAUGCCAUGAACAGUUUCUUCAACUGGAGCUGGAGUAGACAACUUCCUUAAUUAAUUGAAUCUGUAGUGAAUCAAGAGGGAGGAUGAUUUUAAAAGAUUAGAAAAGGAAUUCUGUUUUGUCUUUGCUUGGCAAUUCCUCCGUGGGGACAUUGAAAAAAUGUUAGUACAUAACACGUUGCAGAAACAUCAAGACACUUCUACCAAGUUAAGCGGCCUAUUCAUUCUUAGUCAGAGCCUCCUUUGAAAAUUAAAGAAAAGUUGUCGGGGGCAUAUUUUUCACGUUAACUAAGAGAUAUUUGUGAGAACUUGUACUUAUUUUAAAAAUUUGUGAGAUAUUUGUGGGACAUCUGCAUUCUAGAAUAAUGUUGUGUUUAUUUGUUGGAGUGGGAGUGAGGAGUGUGGAUUUCUCCCAUUCCAGCGUUUACUUUCUCUAAAUAGGAAGGGAGUGGGAAUCCCACUCCGUGGGUCCCACCUAUUUUUGGAGUAGAGAGUGGGAGUGGGACUCCCAUUGGGGGAGAUGGGAGUGGGAAUCCACUCCCACUUCUCCCUUUUUUACCCUUUUAUUUUUUUAAUUUAAUUUAAUUUAAUAUUUUAUAAUUAAUAAAAUAAAAUAAAUAUUAUUAUAUUUAUUUGAAUAAUAAUAUUAUAUUUAACUAAAUAAUAAUUUGCAUUGAUUCUAAGUUAAAAUUAUUUUAAAAUAAUAUUAUUAUAUUAAUAGAGAAUUAAUAAAUAUAAUAUUAUUAUAUUUAUUUUAAAAAUAAUAGUACUAUAUUUAUUUAAUAUUAAUAAUAAUAAAUAGUUUAUUCUAAGAAAAUAUUAAUUUUAGAAUAAACUAUUAAUUUUGUACUAAAUAAUAUUAUAUUAUUAUUUUAUAUAAUAAUAAAUUUAAUAUAAUUAUAUUAAAUAAAAUAAAAUAAGGUUUCAUUUUGUAUUAAAAUUAAUAAUUUAUUGUUCAUAAUUAAGAAUAUUAAUAAUUAUAAUAAAUUUACAAAUAUAAUAAAAUAAAUAUUAUUCAUUAAAUAUAUUUUUUAUUAGUUUUGUAAUUAAAAACUAUAAUUCUUUAAAUAAGGAUAAAAUUAUAAUUUGAAACUAUUUACUCCCAAUCCAAGACAAAGUAAACAAAUAAAUUGGAUUCUAAUCUCUAUUCCAUGCUUCCAUUCCAGUGUAAGUAAACAACUUACUCCCACUCCCACUCCACACUCUCAAUCCUAGGAUUCCCACUGCUCAGGAUUCCCAAUCCAAUCCAAAAAGUAAACGCUACCUAAUUGUACACACACAGAGACAAGCACGUACAUCAUUCUAAGUCAGCCGCCUUUGAAAAUUAAUAAAAGUUGUCUCCCGGCAUAUUUUUCACAUUAUCUAUGAGAUAUUUGUGAAAAUUUGUACUCAACUUAUGCAGACAUCUGCACCUGUCAAUAAUUAUAUAUAGGAAAAGAAACUUUUACGAUCUUAAAAUUUUGAGAAAUAGUUAAAUUUUUAAUAAUUAAAAGAUACUAAAAUUUUCUUUUUCAGCUAGAGAUGUCUAAUUAUAUUAAAAUUAAUAUAAUGUGUUUUAUUUUAUAAUAUAUUAAAAUUUAUGUUUAUUUAUUUUAUAAUAAGAAAAUCUCUUUUUUUAAUAAAGUAAGGGAAAAUUUAAAAAAUAAUAAAGCACACAAUCCAUACAAUAUAUAGAAUCAUUUAAUAUAUUAAAAUAUAUAUAUUUCAUUCUCUGGUGCGACUAUCUUUUUUUUUAUACGAACAUGCUCUUAAAUUAUGAUGUUCAAAAAAAUUAAUUUUUAACUUUUUAAAAUUAUAUAGUUUUAUAUUUUAUUUAAAAAUAAUUUUUUUAAACCGUAUGAUUUAAAAAUAAAUUUACAUUUAAAAAAAAAUGGUGUGUGUAUGUUCGUGUGGGCACUUGGGCGCGGGGCAUAAAACUAGUGUUGCAAUUUCAUUCCACUUAAAUUAAGGUGAGCCAGCUGCUAUAGGGCUCGGGGAUCUGACUGAAUUGGGUCCGGUUUCAGUGCCAAAUCUGCUUAAAAUUUGAUUGGACUCAGUAGGGCCUAAAAUCAAGGCCCAUAUCUAGAUUGGGUUGGUUUUGGGGAUUGUCAUGGCCCCGGAACCCAACCCAAAGUGCUUCUGGUUUUUACUAAUGGUGUUGAAAAUUCGUUGCGAAUUCUUGCCAUUUCAUUUUACUCAAAGCAAAUAUCCACAAAAAUAUACUGUUUUUGAGCCAUUUCAACAUUUCUUUGCAGUAGUUUCUUAAAAAUUUAAUAAAAUUACAUCAAUAUAUACAUAUAUGAAUGCUUAGCCCCAAGAAUGAGUAAUAGAAAAUGGGCUAUGUCAAGAAUGCUUAACCCCAAUGAGUAAUAGAAAGGCACAAAGAAAAGAAAUAUUGAUGAAGCAUGCCUUCAUGAAUUGCAAUACUUAAAGCUAGUCAUCAAAGAAACUCCGAGGUUACAUCUUCCUGCUACAUUGCUACUCCCAAGCGAAUGUAGAGAGGCUUGUAAAAUUUAGGAAUAUAAUUCCAGUGUUGGUUGUGCCUUAAAAAGAUGGGUCAUGCUUGUAAAAUUCAGGAAUUUGAUUCCAGAGUCAUGGUUACAAUAGAAAUCAUUUUGAAUUAAUCCCAUUUGGAGCUCGAAGAGGAUGUGCCCAGGUCUGUCUUUCGGUUAUCUUCCUCUUGCUAAAUGCUCUACCACUUUCGAUUGGAAACUCCAUGAUGGAAAAAAUAACGAAGAUCUUGUUCUGACUGAGGCUUUCGGUGUCACUCUAAGAACGAAAGGCGAUCUGUUUUUAAGCCCUUACUCUAGAUUAUGAAAUGCUCCAUCAAAGGCAUCUCAUAAAAUUUUUUUAUAAAAAAAGGUCACCGUCACCUAUUUCGUGUUGAUCAAAGCGCAGAUCGAAUUCUCGUGGACCGUCCAAGAUCUAUUUUCUCUACACACCCAUUUUUUUAGAAUUGGUUUCCCAUUCCUUAUAAUUCUAUUGAUGAAAAAUAACGAUGUAUGACAAUUUAUCAGCACUUUUAAUUAUUUUAAUUUUCCCAGUUUAGCAGUUGUUAUAAUUGAUAAGUCCUGCUGUUGUUCUGUCUGAUUGCUGUGUUCUAUUUCCUCAUUGGGUAUACCAAUUAGGCAAUUACCCUUCUAGGGGAAUGUAAUAAGUCUUAUCUUGUCAUAAUAAUCAUAGUAUAUCAGACUAAAAACACCUCAUGUGACGAGGCAAAACGAUAGCACGGAAAGUCAUUUGUAUUAUGAGUUAGGAACCGUUUAAUUGGAUCGGCAUGCAAAUCAAUCCCACCAAGUGAACAAAAACACAUGCCAAUCCGAGAUUAGCUAUACAAUCUGCAUCACCAUUAACCUCUCUGCAAGCAUGAGAAAUAUAAAAGUGCAUUUGCUUCACCAAUUAAAGACUACUAAUCCUUUAAAAAGAGAGUUAUGAAAAGAUAAAUAUUGUUUUAAUUAACAGACAUGAUGAAAGCAUUUAUUCUUUCAAAUAAUCUACAAUAUUAUUCCAUUUGAUUGUAACUUUCUUUCUAAUAAUUAAUCAUAGGAUUUCCAAAGAUUAUUUUCGAAAGGGAUUGAAUAUUGUUAUUAUUAUUAUUAUUAUUUUGAGAAGAUAAUAGAAGAAAACUACAAUCAAGUUCAGAAAGAUUCAAGAUCACUGAAUAUUGUUAUCUAAACUGAACUUGUUUGUAUGAAGUGUAAACUACAUUUCCACCCAUCUUUUGUAAUAAUACGUUAUAAAUAACCACUAUCCUGCAACAAAAUUUCCACAUGAUGCGUUAUGAUACAAUCCAAGCAAUUCCAUGAGGUGUAAUAUGAAAUAAUGGAGAAGAUCUUGGCUCUUAAUUGACUUAAUUGAGAAGCUUCUUCAUUUUGGCUGGUAAUUUACAUGAUCCCUGAUCAUAUCCUCAUGAGAUCCUCAUGAUUUCUAAUAGUCUCUUUACGAAUUAAUCAUAUAUGUAUGAAGAACUCACCGACGCACAAACAAGGACUGAAUUAGGAUUUUGGUUUGGGGUUGCCGUAAUGCAUAUAAAAAUUAUUGCAGUAAAAUAAAAUAAAUGCUUUUCAAGUCUUAAACUAACGAAAAUACAUUAUAAUAUGUAUUACACCAUCUAAUUCAAUUAUAUAUAAAAAAUGAACUUAUACCUAAAAUUAAUAAAUUAACUAUUAAUGCACAAAUCUUAAUACUAAAGUAAAAGAGAUAUUUCGUAAAUUAACACAUAAUAAAUUAUACUUAAAAAUAUAAAUUGAAAGUUCAUAAUAGAAGAUUUCAUAUUAAAUAAUAUGAAUUUAAAGAGGUCAAUACAAAUAAUUUAAACUUGAAAAGAAAAGAAGGUGACGAAAGCAAACAGCCAAAGCAAACUUGAAUCUUGACCAAGUAAACCUCGGAUCCUAGGCAGGAAAGAAUUUGAGAAAUUAAGAAGAAAGUUGAAUUGUACAUGCGGACUAAAAUGAUGAAUUCAAAACUUGAAGCAUUUAUACGGGAUCGUUUUGCUUAUUAAUUAUGUUUUCGAUUUGUCACGCGCUGGUCAUGCGGCUUACUUAAACAUUAAAACGGCAACACGGGAUGACGUUUUAAGCAACGCUUAGGUGACGCACUUGAGAAUGCAUGUUUAAAAGAGAAUCAAGUUAGGGGUAAAGCCGUUAUCCAUACGACUGAAUCCUGGGCAAUCCGGGUUUGUUAUCAGCUGUUAUAUAAGCUGAUUGUUGAGGCAGUUUCAGCAAGAAUUAGAGAGCUUUCUAGAGAGAAUUAGUUUGAUUGUUAUUUUUGAUCAAAUUCUUGUGUUUUGGUCUUAGUAUUGUUGUUGCUAAGUUCUUAAACAAUCAAUGUAUAAUCAUUUGUUCAUAAUCAUGGGCGGUGUUUGAUAGCAUGGAGAAUUUAAGGCUGUACAGAAUUCCUUCCUCAUCUUCAUCCGUCCACAUGAUUGGCACUUGCCUGACCCUUGCUCGUUUGGCUGCUGGGGUGUUGAAGAGUACCUCUUUGCUGGUCAUGGCGUAUCUAGCAUAAUUCUUCCUCGACCUGUUGGAAUCUCCGGCCAAUGUUGGGCCCCCAGCUAUCACCCUUACUGCAGGCUGCUCGUGCCUCAAGUUCCUGUCACUCUGCUUCAUUUCACUUGUUAAGGCUACCAUUGCGAAGGUCCCGUCUAUAAACUCGUCCAGAUACCGAUUUCUCACCAAAUCUUCAACCUGGGUCUUGAGAUCUCUGCAAUCUCCUGUGGUAUGGCCAUGAGUGCCAUGGAACUUACAAUAGCAUCCCUUAUCCCUCCUGCUGGGUAGCUUUGUUAUUGGGGCAGGGAGGUAUAGCAACCCUCGAUCCUUUAUGGCCUCGUACACCUCGUCCAGAGACAUCUUCAAGGAAGUAUACCGCCUAUAGUCAUGGUUCUGGUCGAUCAGGUGCACUGCUCUUUCUCUAUUUGCUCCGUUCUGAGUUGGAGACGGUGGCAGUACUUCUGGUCUGCUCCCUCUGCUACCGUGGGAGUGUUGAUGAAGACCACCAUAUGCUGAGUCAUGCCUUCUCCAAGGCUCCCUAACUGGGGAACGAGGAGGUUGCGCCCUACUGCGCUGAUACUGUGGUGGCCUCUGAUGAGGCUGGUAAGUAGUUAUCCGACCUCCUGCUCCACUACCUGAGGCCUGGUGGUCCCUCCUCCUGAUCGGCCCAUUCCCUGGUAAUACUUUCUUCUCUUUCUUCCCCAACCCUUCUAACUGGUCUGUCUUAAUCCGUGCUGCCUUUUCCUCUUCAAUCUCAAUGUCUCUCUUAGCCUGCUUAUAUGCGGCCGCAUACGUCUGAAUAACUGGGCUUCUCAAGUUGUACCACAGCCUUUCUAUCUUCACCCCUUCUUUCAAUCCCCUUAAUGCCUGAGGGUGGUUGAAGGCUCCCAAGUCGAGGACAGCACGAUGAAACCUCUUGAUGAAUUCCCGAAGGGUUUCUUGCUCCCCCUGUUUCAUGCUUUUCAGCUCCGUCAUGUCAUCUUCUGGUGCCAUUGCCCCACUAAACUGCUCUGCAAAUUCCUGGCACAUCUGCUCGAAGGUUUUAAUGCUCCCCCGAGGAAGUUUCCUGUACCACUCGCGUGCACGUCCCUCAAAGGAGAGUGGGAACACUCUUCACCUUUAGGAUUGAGAUAAUCCUUGCACCCCGGUAAUGUCGUUGAAGCGCUCUAUGUGCACCAACGGAUCAGUUUGUCCCGAAUAUCUAAGGUCUGGGAGGCGAAAAUCUCUUGGAAUGAUUGCCCUCAUGAUCUCUGCUGCGAGCGGUGAUUCUCCGUCCAACAUUAUCUUCCAACCAGGAGUUCUGCUCCUUCCUUGCAUGUUAUCGAUUACCUGCGCUAGUCUGCGCACUUCCUCCUCCAGCUGCACUACACGACCAGGGUCACGUGCUGCAACUUGAUCCCGCUUUUGCUCUACAUCAUGUAAGUGUUGUCUGAGCUCUGUUUCCUCUGCAUUCGCUACCCCGUCGUCCUCAUCAAAAGUCUGUCUCGCUGGGGAUUGCUCUUCCUCCCUCUGAAUUUCUCCCCGCAGAGGUAUGUUACCUCUCUCACCCCCAAAUCUCCCGGUGGUUUGACUUCUCCUCAUACUAUCAGGACCUGGUGCCACUCCACCACCUCUCACCCUUUCCUCCUGGGUUACUCUUCGUUCACUCCGCAGCUCAUGGAGGAUGGUUGUCAGGGUCUCCAUUUGCUUUUCCAUCCGUUCCAUCCGGUCGAACAUGGCUGUUUCCCGUGCUUCACUGGCUAUCUCCCUCAGCGUCACGGAAUCAUUAAGCCUCAUAUCACCCCCUUGUGCACUACUUCCUCCUGUCUCCAUCGCUUUUCACUUGCUUCACUCCUCUUCUUGCUAUCAACAGAAGCUUUUUGCUCAGCUCCCCACAGACGGCGCCAAAAUGUUGAUGCGAGAUUCUAGUUGUCCUCUCUCUACGACCAGGGUCUCUGCUCGAUCAACUUCAUCACGAUCAGGAUCUCUCCUCGUAAAACUUCUCCUCCAGAGGUUUUUGCGUACACAAACAGGUCAGAGUACGCCGGUUGUUUCCCCGGCGCAAACCCUCCGACGCUCAAGUCAGAUAUGAAGGUUCGGGGAAUGUUCGCCAUGAAUCUUUUGGCUUCUCUUUAGUCUCAGUUCUUAAAGCUCUCUUUUGUUUGUUCUAAUAGCAAAAAUUCUAACCCUUUUACCUUCGUUGGCUACCUUUUUAUAGGCUUCCUCUGAAUCCCGAUCUUCCGUAGUCCACGUUCGUUAUUCUCCGCACCCUCGGAUGUGGAUGCCCCACUAUCGCCAUUGUGGGCGAAUGGAGAUGGACUUCGUGCCUUGAUUCUCGGAUAGGAAUGCACGUCUUGACAACUGUCGUUGACCGGGUCUCCUCCCCUCUCGACCUCUAGCCGGAAUGGCCUUAUGCCUCUAACAGGAGUUCGACCUUGUGAAUGGCAUAUUCGCGGAUGAGCAGAAUAUUUCUGCUCCUGUUCCCCUGCUACCUGGCUCUUACAGGACACACCUGUUCGCAGAACCCUGCCAUCAAAUAUCUGCUCAUCAUGUCUGGUCUUGUCGAAGUAUUUCCCUCAAACAGUGACGAAUAGUUUCUUCGAAUGGAAUUAGAAUAGACAACUUCCUUACAGAGAAAUCAAGUAGAACUUAGUUAAUUAAUCUGAACUGAAUCAAUGGGGAGGAUUAUUUUAGAAAGAUAAAAGUUCAUAAAUAACAGGUGGCAUAAACUUUACGAUACUUCUACCGAAGUACCAAGUCGAGCAGCCUCUUCAUUCUAAUCAACUGCCUUUGAAAAUUAAGAAAAAUUAUCUUGGGCAUAUUUUUCACGUUAUCUUAGAGAUAUUUGUGAAAAUUUGUACUUAUUUUAAAAUUUUGUGUGUACUUGUGCAUCUAAAAAUAAUGAUUACAUAUUUAUAUGUGUGUAUGUGAAAUAAUUUUUUAAUUAGAAAACGUGACUAUAUUAUAGUAAGAAAUAAGUUAAAAAAAAUACAAAUUUUAAGCGAAGAUCAACAACAGGUUACAUAUUCAGAUUAGGUGGAGGUCGAUUCUUCAGCCUUGCAUAGCAAGUCUGCCACACUCCUCGACCGUAGGUUGCACUUCUCGUGCUGUCUCCUCUACCUUUCUGAGCCACACCCUGACUCAUGUAUUGCGACACUUUCCUUCACUUUCAGCUAAUCUGAUAUCUUCUUCAAUUUCAUUUUUCCUUUCUGUGAGUUCUUCUAGUUACUUAAAUUCAUUAAGAAUUGCUUAUUGAUGCAAGCAGAGCAUAAACCAGAGGCACUUCCAUUAAUAUUAAUAACUCGAAUGAAUAAAAGUUUACAAGCAUUGGCUUAUUUAUACACAAGCUAUGAAAAACGACAGCUAGCUAAAGGACAACACUUGGAAAUAAGCAAAAAAAUUGAUCCGUCAAUAUAGCUAUCAUUAACCAAUGAUGUAGAGCUUCUAGAAUCUCCAUCCUUCCAUGCUCAUGUGCUGAUAUUCCUCAGCCACCUCAUUAAAUCCAUCUCAUUUCUCUCAUUAGCUGGCUGCAGAUAGGUGUAGCUUAGGUGGCAUGCCAACGUGUCUCUGAGCUCAACUGUUGACUGUCCACUGCUGCUGCUUUCAACAUAGUUCUUUCUGAAGAGCUUUCAUGUUACCAUGGAGUUUUCUAAUGACGGCAAUUUUCGAGCAGAAGAAGAUGGUAACGAACUCACCAACUUCAAUAAAAAUUGCAUCCAGGGUUUCCAUGGCCGGCAAGUUCAAGAGAUCCACAGGUAGUGUUUUCAUAGCUAACAUGCUGACAAAACAAAAGCAGAUAAAUGAGAAAUCUGACAAGCAACAAGAACAAGAUCUGUCAAACAUGUUUUGUCAUUAAUAAGACAAUAGUCUAAUCGAGGAAGUUGCCAUCGAUAUUCUUAUAUCAUUAUCUCUCUGAUUGGUUUUUGUCUACCGUGCAAUGCAUAGAAACUUUAACAAACCCAUCGAACUUGGAGCAACCAAAAUCUUCUGGGAACUCCAAGAAUUGGUGGUGCUAUGACAAUUUAAAUCAAUAAUACAUGAGUCAAAGCCAUAGUUCUUCCAGAUUGACUGAGAAUGUAAAUUAGGUUAAAUAGGGUUGCGCGACCCUCAAUUCUUGAGGUGGCUCUAAUCCGAUUAAUGGAAAAAAGAAAUUUAAUUCUUUUUUUUUAGUUGUCAGACAUUUCUAUUAAACUUUUAAUUAGCUGAUAUUCGCAAUUUUUUUUAUUGGAUUAUUUGCUUACAUAUUACAAGGUCAGAGGGCAUGGUUCAUCUUGAUCUAAUUUUUUUGAAGCAUCUAAAGUUAUUGUGACGCAUGGCAUUUAAAUCAUUCUAAAAGCAAGAAUUAUUAUCUGUAAAUUUCUUUUAAUCAUGCACCAACAAAUUAAUAUAUAAUAAUAAGGUCAAAAAACGGCCUCCUCUAAAUGUGAAAAUAAAAUACUUUGUAGGUGGCAAACUCGCACCAAUAAAUUAAUGUAUAAACAGACAAUGAAUAUUAUUUAGAUUGGGGGAAAAGUUUCAUCCUUGAAAGAUCCAUUUUUAAUUAUUUACAUUCCAACUAGAUUUGUAAUUACUUGUUUCCUCCCUAUAGAUAAAGGGUAAUAAAAAACCUAAUAUUUUUUCAUUUACUAUUAUACGCUUCUUGAUACAUUUUUAUGAAAUUAUUGUUAAUUUAACGAUAAAAUAAAAAAAAUAAAGAAUAACUAAAACAAAUAAUUAAGUAAUUAAUUUUAAUUAAUAAAUAAAAUAUAAGAAAUGUCAUAAAUUGAUAAUUUUUUAAAUUUAAUCUUUUAAAUUGAGAUUGCUAAUUCUAUGGUUAUAUGACUAAAAUUCAAUUGGGAGAUUGCCAAUUUUUCCAUAUUGAAAUUAAUAUAUACCACUCACCCGUUAUUAUCUUCAUAAUAGUCAAUAACCCGCCGGCACUAUAAUUUUACAAUAUUACCUUUACUUUGAAAUACACUUUUAUUCAUAUUUAUUAAAAAUUAAAUAAAUGAAAUAAAUAGAAAUUUAAAUAACAAAUUUAAAUAUUAAAAAUACUAUAUAUAUACACACACACAUAUAUAUGUUUUGAUGUGAAUAAAAAAUUAAUAAUAAGAUAUUUUCUUGUGCUUUUUUUUAUUUUAAAUUCUAUAUUUAUUAUAAGAAAAUGUUUAUAAAAUAAUAAAGAAAUUAGAAGAAAAAUAUUUUAUUAUUAAUUUUUUAACUAAAAGGACCACAAUUUGGAACCACAUUAUUUGGCGAUCCAUUUUCUAGCUAGGCAUGAGUAGCUAGCAAAAUAGCCAGCACGACGUUCAUUUAUUACAACUGCUCAAAUAUACCCGAUGGAAAAUCAAUAGCAUGACGUUAAUCUUCAGAUCGCAAGGGGUUCCGUCAGCAACAAGGCAACUUGGCGUUUCAUCAUCAAUGAAUGGGUGUAGCGAUCAUGACCAUCGUCGUAGAUAAAAUGGCCUGAACGUGCGAAAUAAAGAAUCCGCUGAAGCAUAGGUAACGGGACAGUCGUUGGGUUGAGAAGCUCCUCAUUUAUAUCUUUCCAACUAUCAGCAACUUCUAACAACAACUCUUUAACUGCCUCUUCCUCGGAGACGCCAUGUUGAUUCUUGUAGCACUCAACUGCUGUGGGAUUAUGUCCUCUCUUCUGCUCAAACUACAUCACGGAUGCAUAUGAAUUGGUUAUAAGCGAACCAAAAAAAAAAAAUCAUCAGUUAGCUAAUUUUUUUUUUUUGUUUUUUUCCUUGGGCAUAUAUGUUAUGUUAUGUUAUGUGUUAAAGAGAGUUGAAAAGAAAUGCAGCCGCAAGGCCGAAUGGUUUUCAACAACCUUUAUUUUAUUGACAAUUUCUAAGUUUGAAUCUUGAGAAGCUAGGUGUUGGAAAAAUUGAUGUGGGCUUCACCCACAUCUCUACCUUUAAAAUAGAUGAAGAAAUUGUAUACUAUGGUGCACGCCUUAAGAUACGUUACAAAAUUUCUCUUCGAGAUUAGUGGUGAAUAUAGUCUUAUUGAAAUGAAUUAUAAUGUAGAAUGAAGAAUAUUAUUUACCUUAUAACCUGCUAUGUCAUCCAUGAGCCUGACAAUGGUUUCUGUCGCUUUAACACUCUUAGCGUUUUUAAGAAUGCCUUCAAAAUUGUCCUUCGUUGCAAUAAAAUCACCCAAAUCAACGAAGGAAGCGACCCCUAGCGUACGUAAACCGAUACUUCUUAAUGCAACUGAUUUGUAUUCAUCGAAGCUUGGAACAUAACCUUUAUAUAACCACUUGGCUUGAGUAAAGUAUAAUAUAAUUAAUUCUUGCAUCUGAGCAACAUAACCCAAGUCAAUAAUAAUCACCUUGCAAAAUGAUAUAACAUGAAAUUGAUUAUUAAUAAAGUAAUUGCUUACCAUCUGUAUUGCAUACGGUAUGCCGUACGAUCUUCCUUCCUUUGCCAAUUCUUCCUCAGCUUCUCUAUAAAUAUCUAAGAGUGCCUUGAAAAUAAAUUUCAUGUAUUCUGGCAGUGUAUCUAUGAGGCCAAUGUCCCAUCUGAAAAAAUCAAAUAUAAUCGAUAUAUUUGCACGUUCUUAAGAAAAUAUAUAAGCGAUACAAUUAAUUUGUUUCUAAUAAAAGUAUAUUAUGAAUUAAAUAUCCAAUCAAAGAAUUACAUUAUAGGGUUAUUAUUGUUUCACCAAUUCAAGAGUUGUAAAAUAUCAAAUGACUAUAAGAAGUAUUAUCUCCUAUCAUUUUACUACUUUUUCAUUAAAACCAUUAGUUAAUUAGUAAAAUAUCAAUAUUUCCUUUUAUGAUAAAAUACACAAAUAGAGGUAUCAAAUAAUAGACAAAAAUUAUUGGCAUGCCCUUUAAUUUUAAAAUAAUGGUUUUAACCAUGACUUUAUGAAUAACCCUAAAUUUAUCGUAACUAUAAAAAUGGUGCAUUAACAAAAUACUCAUGGAUAUUUUUCAUAAAAAAACACACAAUUUAUUCUUUAAAAAAAACACUUAAAGCUUAUUUACAGAAUCAACACUUCCAUAUUUAAUUUUUUUUCUUCUAGAAUAGAUUGUGAUUUUUUUGGGCAAAAACUUCUAGGGGUAUUUUUGUCAAUUCACUACUUUUAUGGUCGCAAUAAAUCAAGCGUUAUUCAAAAAAUUAUGGUUAAAACUAUUAUUUAACAAUUCAUGUUUAAAACUAUUAUUCAUAAUAUUAUGUAUACUAUUGGAUACCUCUUUUGUGCAUUUUAUCUUAAAGGGUAAAAUUAAUAUUUUAUUAGUCAGCUAACGAUUCUAACAAAAAAGUAGUAAAAUAAAAGGUUUUACAAAGUUAUAGUAGUAAAAUUAUGGAAAAUAAUACUUCUUGUACUUAUCUAAUAUUUUAUAAUUCUUGAGGUAAUGAAACGAUAAUAAUCUUUUAUUAUAUAGGCAUGGGGUCUUGCUAAGUUACAUCAUGUAUAACCUGCAGCAACCCUAAUAGUCACUCAUAAUGUCCCCAUUAUUUAGGUUAUUGUGACCUAUAGAAUACAGAUAAUGCAACUUAACAACUGCUGUAUAGGGAUGCAUAUGGUUUUAUAACCUUGUGACUGCUUCAGUAAAAAGUGUGAGCUCUUCAAAAGUACCGUAAGCAUCAAAUGUGUCGUCUAUUAUGGAUAUUAUGCACACCACUUUGGAUGUAAAAAUUCUACCAAAUGCCAAAUUGGGCUCAUAGGACACUCCCAGCAAAAACCAAAUAUAUGUCUCUACUACUCUAUCUCUUGCAUAAGGCACCUUUUUAGGGAAGCCUAAAUCGUUCCACCACCUGAAAUUCAAUUUUAAAUCUAAUUAGAUAGAUAUUUUGCUACAUUAUAAAGUUGCCACUAUAAUAAUCGUUACUUCUGUAGUAUAUAAUAAUCGUUACUUCUGUAUUAUAUAAAAAAUACAAACAAGAACACAAUUUGGUUUCAUCUUUUAAGGAGGUAGCAAGGAAAUAUGAAAACUCGAGGGAUAAGUGAAAAAAGUUAGAAAUUUUAAAGAGAAGUUGUAAAUCUUCCAUAUUAUAUUUGGAAAAUUUGUUUCAUUAAAAAAGAGAGAGAGAGAGAGAAAUUUACGUGAUUUAUUUUUAUUGUUUUGUAUUUUUAUCUAAUUUAUAAAUUUAUAUCACAUCCAUUCUUAAAAAAAUUUUAUAAUUGUAUCAUUACUCUUUCAUUAUACACAUUAUCCUCCCAAACACUAUAACUUAUUAUUAUUAUUAUUAUUAGCAACAAGCACAUAAUAUACAAAAACUACAACCACUACCACUGUUGACAAAUCAAGAAUACAUAAAAAUUUUACUGCAAACUAAAAAUCUUGGUUUGGUGUUAAUAAAUAAUAAUACUAAUAAUAAUAAUAAUAAUAACUAUUAUAAGAUAUUUUGCCUUGAGCCUUUGAUUAUACAAGGGGGGCAACUGGUAAAAUAUGAUUUCUCUUUCUAGGGAAAGUGACAAUCUCCCAUUUCAAAACAACACCAAUAAUAGGCUUUUCCACGUUGAAAGAAUAUCUAUGAAGUUACCUGGUCAUGAUACUUGCUUCCUUCUUGUGUGCUGCUUGUAAUAUAUUAAAGUCUAACUUUGCAAACUUGAGCAAAGUUUCAUCAUGCAAAUCAUCCCUUGAAUAGAUAUCCAAAAAAUACCUUGCCUCUAACCUUGCUGCGGCUUUACGGAGCGGAAUUUGCAGAGAAUGACGUAUUUGUUCAGCAAGAUUAGAGUUUACAUGAGAAUGAUCAGAUACAGAUAUUACUGACUUAAGGUGAGUGGUAGUGAAAACAAUGGCUUCAUCUAAAAUGUCUUCCCCCCGAAUUGCUAGGUAUGCUGCCUCGUACAAACUCAACAUGCCUCGUAUAUCGUUGAUCAAUGAUUCCUUGAAUUUACCUUCGUCAUCUUUGAACUUCUCAAACACAUCUGAUGACCAUAUUCAAAAGAGGCGAGCUAGUCUCGAUUAGUGUACAUGCUUAACUUUAAUUUGAUAAUCAACAAUAAUCUUGUAAUCAACAUAAAUAGUUUAAUUAACAAAAUGAGAAACUAUUACAUACCACAUGAAAUCUUAACUCCUUGCUGUCUAAAAAGUCGAAAACGAAGAGAAACAACGUAUAGAUCAUCACUGUCAAGAUCAUGAGAUACCUUUCCCAAUUCAUCUUCAAUCUCUUUUUCAAAAUGAUAAGCGACACCUAAUCGUUGUGCUGCAUCAAUCAUGUGUAGUUUUUGGGCAAGCUUAUUGGCAGUAGUGGUUAUCAUCCUCCUGACCUCUUGCUUCAGUGCUGCGUGCUGUUCUUGAGUUGCAGCGUCAAUUGUCUGCAAACGCAAGAAAUUACUUAAUAUUUAAUGCAUUACGUAUGUCUAACAAACGAUUACUUAUGACAUAUAAUUGUACAUCGAUUGGGCUUGCCUCUCUGAUAAUUAAUGAGAUAUUUUGAUAUUGCAAUUUUUUAAUUACCUCGACAUCGGCAGUGGAUUUCAGGAAAUGGUUUCCCCAUAAAGUAGGAUGAAAAUCUGCAAUGGGACGAACAGUUUCUUCAGUUGAACUGGAAACUGCUGCUAGAAGUGGAAUAGACAUAUCUUUCAUUCCGUUUCAGACAAACCAAAUACAACUAUAUAUAUUUUUUUUUAAGAGUUGGAGUUGCAAAAACCUCAAGACACAAAUGCUCUAUAUAUAGAGAGAAACGAUGAGGCAGUGGAACACUUUCGUUGGUACUUUGUCAUGUGCUCAGUAGUGAUCCUACGUUGGGAUCAUUAAAUUUAAUAUUAAAAAAGUCAAUGGAUCUGAUUGGGGGAUGCAGUAUUAAACCAUAUGAUAAAAUACUCUUGGACCGUUAUCUCAACAAAUUAUGGGUGCGUUUGAGAUUAAGGUUAGACAGUUGCAGUUUAAAAAUUACAAUAGUAAAGUAUUUGGUAAACACUAGCUGUUGUAACUUGAAAGUUAUGUUGAUAUGAUUUUUCACUUGUAUAAUAGAGAAUCUAUUAUAUCUUUAAUAAUUUUAUCAAAAUUAUUAUUUAAAAUUUAUAUUUACUACAUAUUAUUAACUUUUGUUUUAUAUUUACAGCUUUUUUUUUACUGCAGCUGUAGUUUAAAAAGUACAGCACCUCAAUUCCAAACGCAACCUAAGAGACUGCGAUCAUUUUACAUAAAUUUUUAAAUUUAGAAUUUUUUUUAGGUAAUGAUAGAGAGUUAACUCUAACUGUAUCUCUAACUCUAUACAAAAAUAAAUAUAUAAAAGUUGAAAUAGUAAUAAAGUUAUAUUAAAUUUUAUCUUAAUCACAAGCUGGCCACAAAAAUUUAUCUUGAUCAGAUUGAGGUGGGGUUCAUUGAUGAUAGCGAUUCAUAUCAUUUUUCAGCUUUCGUAUGCAACUUGCAUAUUGUGAUAUUGUGCGUACAUUAACUAACUACUCAACGUAACGACCGUAAAUUAUUUUGAAAACCUAUCUCUCUUUUAAUUUCACAAUAAUAAUAUUCCAAGAAGGCCAUAAUUAUUUAACUUACAUUUAUUUUAAGAGUAAUGAUAUAGGCACAAACUCUUGUACAAACUUAUUUUGUACAAAUUGAUAUGACAUGAUAAGAUUUGUUGAAUUAAAUAUCACUUGGCCCACAUAAUUUGUGUUUAUUAUUUUAUAUUUUCAUUCAACCAAUGAAUUAAUCUCACGUCAAUUUGUACAAAAUAAGUUUGUACAAGAGUUUGUGGUUGUAUCAUUACUCUUAUUUUAAUUACUCGUACCAAGCAAAAUAUUUCAGUUAUUUUAACUAAAUAAAUAUAUUUUAGUUAUUCUUAAAGCCAAAGUCUAUUUCUGGUUAGUAAAUUAUCCAAACAUUUUAUUGGGGGGUGUUUCUAAUAACUCCAAUGAUAUCAUAAAUAUAAAAAUUUACUUUCUGCAGGACUUAUCUCAAAUAAAUUCUCUAAUUCAUUUUGAAGAUGAAACUAAAAAAAAAAAAUGAAUCAUUGAGGCUUAAUUAAAAUAUUUUACUUAGAGUUCCAAUGAUAUUUAAGGGAAUAUGAUUUUUAUCAGUGCAUUUAACAAAUUUCACGAUUCUAAUCCUUAAAAUACUUGGACCACCAGGGAUCUUAGAAAAAUAGUAUGUGAACCACAUUUUUAGCUAUUAUCAACAACAGUAAUAUAAUAUAUUUUCUAAUCCCUAGUGUUCCCUUCGUGGGUCUGCCGAUGCUAUCAACAAUAACAAGCAAUUUUUAAUAAAAAUAAUCAUUUUACUGUUCUUUUUAAAUGUACUUCUAUAAUUUUGAGAGAUUGGAAGAUUUGAAUCCUCUACCUAAUGAAUAAGGGAGAGAAGAGUUGUCGACUAACUCAAUUAAGGAGCUCCGUUGGUUAGUUUACUAUUAAAUUUUGGUGUAUUUUAUUUACGAGUGAGAUUAUUUGCACUCUAAAAUGUACUUUGAACACCAUAUUAACUAAAAAAUUAUGGUACUAAAAUAACAUUCAUAUAAUUUAAUAUUAAGGAUAAUUUAGAAAAAUAGUUAAACAUUAUGAAUUUGGACACCUAUCUAACACAUCCAUUAAUCAUACCAUUAUUUAUGCUAACCUUAAUUUCAUCUAUUUUACUGGGUGCCGAAUUGAAUUUAUUUUGUACUUAGAGAUCAUAAAAGAUUUGUGGCGAAGUUCCAAAAAUAUAUGAAGAUGUUUCUAUUAAUCCUUUUUGUUAUUUUUAAUUUUGUUAAUAUGUUAAUUUAGGUGGUCUUUUGCUUUAAAGUUUAAAGCGUACAAGGCGACGAAGAAGAAAAAUGUUGAAGAUGCUGGCUCGAUCAAUAAGAUGGAAUAUGGAAGAAUUAUUUUGAACAUAUAUCCAAUUAAUUGUGCUUUGUGCAGAAAAUUAAUGAAAAAGGAAUAAGAAAGAAAAAGUUUUGAGUAUACAUGAUCUUGUAGGAUGCCCCAGCAACCAACGAAAAGUUUGUUGUUGUUGAAAUCCCAUAACACUUCUGUACAAGAAGGACUUGGUGAGGUGGCAGGUUAGUCCACCGAUGGUUUGUCAUUUGUAGAAUAGUAGGUCCGAAAAUGAAACAAAAGUCGUACUCACUGAAUUAAGUUUACCAUCAAAAAAGAAAACAAUCAGUGACUAAACUGACAUAUGACCUAAUUGAAUUUAAUGGAUCUUAAAAUACAAUGAAUCACGCAAUAAAACACUACUGAAGUGACUGAAAUGACGUAUGACUAGAGAUCAUAAAAGAUUUGUGGGCAAGUUCCAAAAAUAUAUGAAGAUGUUUCUAUUAAUCCUUUUUUGUUAUUUUUAAUUUUGUUAAUAUGUUAAUUUAUGUGGUCUUUUGCUUUAAAGUUUAAAGCGUAUAAGGCGACGAAGCAGAAAAAUGUUGAAGAUGCUGACUCGAUGAAUAAGAUGGAAUAUGGAAGAAUUAUGUUGAACAUAUAUCCAAUUAAUUGUGCUUUGUGCACAGAAUUAAUGAAAAAGGAAUAAGAAAGAAAAAGUUGAGUAUACAUGAUCUUGUGGGAUGCUCCAGCAACCCAAGAAAAAGUUUGUUAUUGUUGAAAUCUCGUAACACUAAUGUAUAAGGAGGACUUGUGUGAGACCGGCGGCCGGUUGGUCCACCGAUGGUUUGUCAUUUGUAGAAUAGUAGGUCCGAAAAUGAAACAAAAGUCGUACUCGCUGAAUUAAGUUUACCGUCAAAAAAGAAAACAAUCAAUGACUAAACUGAUAUAUGACCUAAUUGAAUUUAAUGGAUCUUAAAAUACAAUGAAUCACGUAAUAAAACACUACUGAAGUGACUGAAAUGACGUAUGACCUUAUUAAGCAUGCUGACACUGUGACACAUGCAAAUUCUGUUCUACAAAUCAUGUUUAUAGAUAGUGAAAAACUCAAAACCAAAAUACUGUAUAAGGUAGCACAUUGAACGUAAGCUGCAUUGAAAAUCUCCUCUCACGCUUACGUAUGACACUAAAAUUGAAACACCUGUCUUAUCACUUCAACCUCUAUCCUUGUAUCAACGUUUUAUCUUAUUACUUUUAUUUUCGAUCAUUCAAUUUGGUAUUCAAUUAUUUGGGUCGGCUCUACUAUUCUGUCGGUAUUUACCAUUCAAUUUGAUUUAAUUUUCUCCCAGCAGCUUUUAACAUUUAUAAUUUAUUAUUUUACAGUUUUCAUAGUACUGUAUUAUUCUUACGAUGUUCACACUUUCUUAAAAAUAAAAAAUUCAUUACAAUAUUUAAAUAACAUAUAUCUUUUUUUAUAAGUUUAAUGUCAAAAGAGUAAUGAGGUGCCUUCAAGUUCAGGGACUACGAAAUCAGAAGCAGAUUUUAGCAAAUGGUUUUCCACCAGUAGGAUUGAAAACUGCAAUGUGACGAAUAGUUUCUUCGAAUGAAAUUAGAAUAGACAACUUCCUUACAAAAAAAUCAAGUAGAACUUAAUAAAUUAAUCUGAACUGAAUCAAUGGGAGCAUAAACUUUACGACACUUCUACCGAAGUACCAAGUUGAGCGGCCUCUUCAUUCUAAUCAGCCGCCUUUUUAUUUAUUACAUAAGAUUAAUACUCAAAUUACAACUCAUAUUUAAUAAAAUUAGUAUACUGAGACUAAUUUAUGAGAGAUUAGUAUACUGAUAUUUACUAUCAGACAAUUACUGGGACUAAUUUAUGAGAGAUUAGCAUAUUGAUAUUUACAACCAGACAAUUACUGUGACUAAUUUACAAAUCUUAUAUAAGACAACCUAGAUUUUAACCCUCUCUAAUAUUCGAGGGACGUUCACUCCACUUAGAUUUCGAAAGGGAGAUGAUUAUCUUCACUCAAAUUGAGGGAGGAAAUUAACCCCCACAAUGCGUUGUGAGGACUUGAACCCAUGACCUCAUAAUUGUGAGGUUUGGGUUCUAACCACUAGGCUUUAACCUAGUGGCUUUAAUCAACCGCCUUUGAAAAUUAAGAAAUUUAAGAAAAAUUGUCGUGGGCAUAUUUUUCACGUUAUCUAAGAGAUAUUUGUGAAAAUUUGUACUCAUUCUAAAAAUUUGUGCAUACUUGCACAUCCAAAAAUAAUGAUUACAUAUUUAUAUGUGUGUGUGAAAUAAUUUUUUUAAUUAGAAAAUGUGACAAUAUCAUAGUUAGAAACAAGUUAAAAAAAUACAAAUUUUAAUGCAGUGUGCUUUGCCCUUUAUCUUCUCACUUGUAGCUCACUCUAUGUAUAUAGUAAUUUAUAAUAAGAAAAUCUCUUACUUUAAUAAAAUAAGAGACAAGCUGAAAAUGAUAAAACAUACACUCCAAUGUAGUGUAUUAUGUCAUUUACUGUAUUAAAAUUUAUAUUUUUUAUCUUUUUAUCUAUUACUUUAAUAAAAUAUGAAAUUAUCUUAUACUUUAUAUAUUUUUAUCUUUUAAUUUGAAUUUAAAACCCGUGGCUAUGAGACCCUUGGAAUUCAUCCCCUUAAAUGCUGACAGCCCGAGGGCUUAUUCCUCAUUAAGGAAUCCAAAACCCCCAUAAGGGAAACUCGUCUUUUAUCCGUCUUCUCCUUCUCCGGCAACUGAGUCAUUCAUCUCCUUCGGCGUAAAAGCUACCUUCCCUGUCUUUAUUCGGCUGGGCUAUAAUUGCAGGUAUUAUUUCUAUUUCCUCGGUCUUAGAUAGUUAUAGAAAAUUUCUUUUCUCUCUGUCUUAUUUGGGUAGUGUUUGGUGAUGUUGCUAUGGUCAUAGUUUAGGAAAUGUCAAAAGGCAAAGAGAAGGUAAUUGAGAUUGAUGAUGACGAGUUAGACUUCUUGCCUAGUCUGCUUGCCGAUCCUGCCUUUGACCCCGGGAUCCCCUUAGAAACUAUUAGAUCUAGUGUUGGGACUAGUGCUAGGAGGACGUCUCCCCAAAUACCCUCCUCAACUAGCAAUAACGGCGAUGGGGGAUCUUCUGGUUCGGAAGACACCUUGAGUGAGGACCAAAGGGAAGAUUCUGGUGAAAUGUCCUCACCAGGAACAUCACAACCAGAUAGGAAGAGUAAAAUAGAAGGUAGGGCUCUGUCGAAAUAUUACGCUAUUGACUUCAUUACGUGUACGACCACAGUAGACGAGCUCGAUAACCUCCGAGCUAGGUAUGACAUUCCUGAUGAUAUACCCCUUAGGAUCUCAAGAAAAAAGGAUACUCCUAGCCGGCCUUCUAGGGGAUACGUUACCAUAUUUAUGGAAAGUUUUAAGCUUGGGAUGAGGUGCCCCCUACUUAAGUUUGGACUACGUUACCCAAAAUGAAAGUAAACGUCCUUUUUAAAUUGGCGGGAGAUUCCAACAGGUCGAGGAAGAACUAUGCCAUGACUAGCAAAGAAGUGUUCUUCAACACCCCAGCAGCCAAGCGAGCAAGAGUCAGGCAAGUUUCGAUCAUGUGGACAUAUGAGGAUGAGGAAAGGACUCUAUAUCCACAUGAGGAUGCCUUAGUCAUUAAAGUCACCGCUGCUAGCAAGAAGUUUGAUUGGAUUCUGGUAGACACAGGAAGUUCGGUCGAUGUUUUGUUCAAGUCAACUCUGGAGGAGAUGGGAAUAGCAGACCUGAGGUUAGAACAUACCAAUACCUCUUUGAAGGAAUUUGGAGGAGGAAAGCUGGUUCCUCUUGGCGUGGUCGAACUGCCCAUCACAAUUGGCAGCUCCCCGACAUAAAAGACUAUGAUACUAGAUUUUGUGGUGGUCGAUGAAGAGGGUCCUUACCAGAUGAUCCUUGGUCGUACCUUUCUGAGGAUGAGCAAAGCAGUACUUUCCAACCAUUAUCUAGUUCUCAAGUACCGGGUGAAUGGGGUAGUUGGAGUGGUGCGAGCAGACCAGAGAAUUGCCUGAAGCUGUUACUCUACAAAAGCAAAGGAAGCAAUGCAGAUUACAUCCCUUGAUACUUGAGUGGGAGUAAAAAAUGGCAGACAAGAACCUGUAGAGGAGUUGGAGACAGUAAGCUUGGAACAAGAUGAUCCAGGAAAAACAAUCCGAAUCGGGUCGAGGCUUAAAGAAGAGCAUAAGCGGGAGUUGGUGCAAUGCUUGCGAGCUCAUGCAGAUGUGUUUGCUUGGACACAUGAAGACAUGUCGGGAAUCGACCCUGAGGUCGCAUGUCAUAGGCUGACAAUAAAGAAAGGUACUCAGGUAGUAAGGCAGAAAAUGAUGUGCUUCAUUCAGGAGAGGUAUGAGGCUAUAAAUGGCGAGGUGGAGAAGCUGUUGAAAUCAGGGUUCAUUCGGGAAGUUAACUACCCUGAGUGGAUAUUGAAUGUGGUUUUAGUGAAAAAGGCUAAUGGCAAGUAGAGGAUGUGUGUAGAUUUCACAGGCCUCAAUAAGGCGUGCCCGAAAAAUAGCUUUCCCUUACCCAAGAUCGACUAGCUGGUUGACUCAUUAACUGGACAUGGCCUGCUCAGCUUCAUGGAUGCAUUUUCGGGAUACAACCAAAUCCCAAUGUUCGAGCAGGAUGAGGAGAGCACAACAUUUAUUACUAACCAGGGUUUGUUUUGUUACAGGGUAAUGUCAUUCGGUCUUAAAAAUGCGUGGGCCACGUACCAGAGGUUGGUGAACAAAAUCUUUAAGCCACUGAUUGAGAGAUUGAACACAAGCCAUAAGAUUAGUAGCCGAUUUUCCCAAGAAAGCGAAACUUAUGUUUCUGACUUGAGUGUCGGAGGGUUUAUGCUAGGAAAACACCCGGCGUGCUCUGACUUGUUUUUGUGUACGCAGGAAUCUGUGGAGAAGAGGUCUUACAAAGAGGGAUCCUGGUCGUGGUAGAACUAGUUGAGGAGAGAUCCUGGUUGCGGACGAGCAGAAAACCAGAAUCUCACAUCAACAAUUUCAAUGGUGGCUUAACUUUCAAAGAUGAUUUAAGUACUUGCGUCAUUGCUAAAAUUUUGAAUUUUCUUGACAUUCUGAUUUUUUUUAUCACCAAAAUUUGAUCAUGGAAGUGGUAGCUUCAAUCUUGGGCUCAGCUGUAGCAGAAGCAGGCCAUGUUCUCUGUGGCCCUUUCUGCUAAAAAAUCAACAGCACCAUUAAGAUUCAAUCAAAUCUCCAAGCUUUAGAAAAGGAAUUGAAGGUUCUAAUUGGUCUCAGAGAUGACAUGAUAUGUCAACUUGCAUUAGCUGAGAAAGAUGGAAAGGUACCAACAACUCAAGUGAAAGCAUGGGUAAGAUCGGUUGAUGAAUUUAUAUUUGAAGUAGAUUUAAUGCAAGAAAGUGUGAGAGCCAAAGAGAAGAAACAUAGUGGUUGUUUCCAUAGUUGUUGUCCGCAGUAUAGACACGGCAGCAAAGUGGCAAGAAUGCUCAAGGAGGUGCAAGGACUUAAAAGUGAAGGAAUUUUUCCCCCAGGCUUGGUGAUCGCCAACCCCGAAGCAAAAUCUGUUGAGCAUAUCCUUGGACCUUCAAUAGAGCAUCAAAUUGAUGUGUCUAUUAUCAAGUAAUAGACAUAUAUCCGAGAAUAGUCUUCCUCCAUUUCCAAUUUAAUCAAGAUGUGUCUAUUAUCAAGUAAGAAAUUCUAAGAAUUUCCUUCCAGCCCAAAAAACAAAAAAUUUCCGAAUAACAUUCAUGGGAGGACGACCAAACGAGAACUUACCGAUAAAAGCUAGUUUAAAAGGCCCAGCCAUCUCUCGAAUUUUCGCUGUAGAGAAAUGGAUAGCUGGUUCACCUCUGUGCAAUUGAACUAGUUUCACAGAAAUUAAUGAAAUAGCAGAACCAAUCACAGUAUCUAAAAAAGACUUUUGUGGUCUUGAAGUGGCACGAUGACCGAGUUAAGACUAGAAGUAUAUGAAGGCUUGGGGUUGAUGUUGGUGCUACGGUUUAUGGGAGUUAGGUUGGUGGAAUGGGUUUUGGUAGCCACACAAGUUAGGUCAUUAUGAGUGGCCGAUGGUGGUUGCUGAGAUGUCAAUGUGGGUAAUGUUGUGUCUGAGAGGUUCAAGGGUGGUAAUAGUUGUCAUGCUACAGCUUCACUGACGUCAAGAAUGGCAUUAGCAAUGUGCAGGGUGUCACGUGACAUAAGUUUAUUGUUUUGAUAUGGGUGCGUGAUGUAGUGGAAGCUUAAAGUUCAAAAUAUUCUGUUGAUUCUAGAGAAUGCCGGAAUAAAAGAACAACUAAACUCACGUUGAUUCAAAAGAAUGUCGUGAAUUUAGGGGUUAAGACUCAUUGAUUCCGCAGAAUACCGAGAAUUAACUGAACUCAAAUACUCACAAAGAGAUUUGAAAAUUGAAAAUAUUAUCGAAAUCAAACAUCUGCUUGUAAAAGCUACAAAAGACACUUAUUUAUACUAACUAAUACUUAUCCUAAUAUAAUUAGAAAAGCUAUUUUAAUAAGACUUAUAUCUAAAUUAGGAAUAUUACCCAAAUAAACAAUGCCUAAACAAUAAGACCUUAAAUAGGAAACCAAAUUAAACUAGAAUACAAAUUAAUUAAAAUAUUUCUAAAUAUUAUAUAUUUAAAUCUAAUUAGGAUUUUUUCAAUUUCUUGCUUUGCAUUAUUCCCGCCAGGCUGGAGAAAAUUUGUCCUCAAAUUUUGUAUGUUGUGGUCUUCAAGAACAUCUUCAUGUUCAUAAGCAUUAAUUUUUAAAAUAGAGCUUCGACAUAGACGACAAACAUUAAAUUUUCCAACUUUUGUAAUAAUGUCCAUCCAAUCACUCCAAUGGCGUAAGAAUAAUUUCUUCUAUCAACAACUUCUCUAAUAAUGUCUUCUCGUAUUGUUCGUGUCGAACUUCAACAUAGUUGAGGAAAAACGAUUAUUUCUCAUAAUCCUCUAACUCUUGAAAAAUAUCAGAACUCUUUUUGUCUUUUUUUGCCAAAUCAAGAGAACAAUAAGAGAUUGUAUCAACAACUAUCUCUCUUUCCUCCACAAGAUCAAAAGAUGGAUGAACAAUUACCUCUUCUCGUCCUACAAUAUCAAGAUACUCAUCAAAUUUCGGCAAUUGAUCCAAAUCAAUGUCUUUGUGUUGAGGAUUUGUUGUAGACACGAAUGGCCAAUUAAUAUUCUCCUUGGAAGGAAUAAUAUUGUCGAGAGAAACAAAGUUACCAUUUUCCUCAUUAUCCUCGUAACAAACAUCAUCAUGAACAACUUCAUUAAAUCCAUAUGCCUGCUUUAUGUGUAAUGAUUUUCUAUCUUGAAGUUUCUCUAAAUCUUUAGAAAUCAAAUGCAAAAUCCUCAACAUCUUAACUAAAACAUCUCUCAAGAUGAAAUCUUCACGUCGAUGUUGUGAUUUCAUGAUAUAAUUUUUUUUCUUUUUUUCUUUUCUCUCUACUUUCUCUUUUUUUUUCUGGUGGUUGUUUGGGUUUUUUUGUGUGCUAAGAUCAGAAAAAAGGCAAUAAUGGUAUAAAUGAAAGAAUUGGGUCAAAAUUGUGAAUAAGUAAAAGUUUUAGAUUUCCGGUGACGGUGGUUGGAAAUCGAGUAAGGAUGGGUGGAUCUAAAAGAUUUUGGGUUGGUGAGUAUGAUGGUGGUGGUGGUUUGUCCAAAAAGUUGGUGUUUUGGCCAAAAUUUGGAGAUAAAGGCGGCGAUUUUGUUGUUGGCUUGAUUUCCGGCGAUCAGUGCGUCGAUCGGUGGUGUUAACCGACUAGGAAGGUUGAGCUCGAGGAGAGGAGUUGAUUGGUGGUGGUUGUGCUGGCCAAAACGAGGCAGAAAUCGAUGAAUGACGGCACGGUUGGCACGGCUGUUUUGGUUUUUUUUCCGACGAUCUGUGGCUAAUUGACGGUGUCUGAUGCUUGGGGUUUGAUGGCCGGCUUGCUUUGUCUCCGAUGAUGGUGGCUAAUCGUCUUAACGGCCAAGGAAAACCAAUGACGGCAGGUGUGGAAAGGUGGCUAACGCGGCUGUCGUUUCUGCUGACUCUGAUACCAAGCUGAUGCAGCGGAAGCUUAAAGUUCAAAUAUUCCGUUAAUUCCAGAGAAUGCCGGAAUAAAAGAACAACUAAAUUCACGUUGAUUCAAAAGAAUGCCGUGAAUUUAGGGGUUAAGACUCGUUGAUUCCGUAGAAUACUAAGAAUUAACUGAACUCAAAUACUCACAAAGAGAUUUGAAAAUUGAAAAUAUUAUUGAAAUUCAAACAUAUGCUUGUAAAAGUUACAAAAGACACUUAUUUAUACUAACUAAAAUUUAUCCUAAUAUAAUUAGAAAACUUAUUUUAAUAAAAUUUAUAACUAAAUUAGGAAUAUUACCCAAAUAAGCAAUGACUAAACAAUAAGACCCUAAAUAAGAAACCAAAUUAAAUUAGAAUUCAAAUUAAUUAAAAUAUUCUUAAAUAUUAUACAUUUAAAUCUAAUUAGAAUUUCUUCAAUUUCUUGCUUUGCAUCAGUGCGGUUGUGUUGGGUGUAGUCGAUCAGGAGGUUGAACGCCGUCAGCCACUGGUGGAUCAUCACCCCCGGUGACUACUAAAGCCAUGGGUGGUUUGUAGUGCUCUUGGGGCCUCAAAGUGCAAAAUUAUGAAUUUGCCCUUAUCGGUCAAAGGCGGCCGGUAGUCAAGCUCAAUGGCCGGCAAGCUCACGUUAGAUCCUUCAGGUCACGCUGAUUCCAAUGAUGAUGGCGGUGAGCUUUCUUGCGCGGUUGUGGCCUCUGAUCGAGCUCCUGAACCCGUGAGUCUCCAACAGUUGGUCGGCAACGAGAACGGCCAAUUUUGUACGUAAGGUUGACCGAAAAAUGAAGAGAGAAUCUUGAAGAACCAAACCCAGAUGGUAGCGUGGCCGGAAACUAACGAAAUCAGGCGAAAAUGAAGCAGCGUUUGCCGUGGUUUCGUGAGCUCGAUCAACCGUCCUCUGGUUGUUUUACAGCGGCGUUUACGCCCCGGAAACGACCGGCAUAGUUCCAGCUUCCGAUCGGUACCUCCCUUGGCCGAUGAGGUGGUCGGAGAAGGGAGUCUGUCCGGGUCAGGUCGUUGUUGUCCGGGUUCGGUUUAAUCUAAUAAGUUUUCUAUAAAUGGAAAGCAGAGCAUACCGAUAGUAUGUAACUCACAGCAGUUGAUCAGCUCAAUAUACUUGCAGACGCAGCAGAGUUAGUUAGUUAGUUAGUUUAAAGAAUAUUUCAAGCUCAGCUCACGUGCGCAGUAUGAAUUAACAAAGAGCAAUUGUUUCUAUAUAAAUAUGUAAUCUGUAUUCAUUUCUAAGAAUUAAUGAGAACAUUCUACAAGUUUCCAUUUUGUUUCUUCUCUUAAUUUUCUCACAUUUUCUCUUUUGCCAAACACUAUUGAUCAAGUUUAUUUCAUAACAAAUCUAAUAGGCUUGGUACCUAAAGAAGCAGCUACUGCUCGGAUGAUUUUAAUUUGUUGAAAAGAAUCUGUAAAGCAAAUUUAUACCUUCACAUACUCCCUACUUCACGAAUGAGUACGACGGCGUUGAAACGUCUAAUAAAUGUUAUUGUUCAUAAAUAACAGGAAACUAAGGCAACCUUGGCUGGUUGCGGUGACAGAUUAUACCACGAAGUCAUCUCCAACAAUACCUAGCUUCUCAUCUAGGGGACCUAAAAAGAUUGACGCAGUUAUCCUCAAGGUUGACUGGAUGCAUUAGUUAAAUGAUCAGUAUAUCAUAUUCAAAAUAUAUUAAUCAUUUUCAUAUAACUUUCAUAUUCAUUUCAGUCUAAUGUCACUGCACCUAGAGCGGAUAUCCCGAAUAGCAAGAUAAUAAAUUUGAACUUAACAAAUUAAUCAUGGAGCCUCCUUUGAAUGCGGUGGCCGGCACCUCCGUGGCAUAUGUCGUCAUGUAUUUGGUAUUGUUGGCCUUCUCAAAGUCACUAUACUGAGUAAUCCGGUCUGCAGUCAUGAUACCACGGGUAUGAAAUUACUCUUUUCAACAUAAAUCAAUGUGACCCUACUUGUAUUGGACUAUGCACAUAUCCAUUUCUUUUGCAGCUGAAGCAACUGAUACAACAAAAACAAGGCAGUCGUCGUUUGCUUAUGGUGCAGGACAUGCGAAUCCAUAACAUUCAGUGCUGGCACUGCGUUUGUACCUUAGCAUGUUAGCAUGAUACAUACAGUGGGGCGCAAGAAUAAUGUUAGCAUGAAGCAGUGGUGCGCCAGAAUAAUCACGACAUGCCAUUUGUCAGUUUCUAAUGUGUCCCUCUGUGGGACCAUCCAUACAAUCCACUACAUUUAAAAAAAAAAAAGAAUAUGUGGGUCUUUUUAAGGGAUCUACUAAUCCUGCUAAAUUGGGUGCUGAAUGGAUCCCAUCAUCCCGAAGAAGGUAAAUAUGUUUACUUAAUUCAGUCUUUUUUUUUUUCGAAGAAAUGAAAAAAAAAAAAAAGUUAUGAUUUAACCUUUUUGGUGCCCAGUUCGGUGUCCCCUUUCAGGGUGUAUAUAACUACUCUUAGGUUGGAUUGAAGAAAUGUGAGAAAAUGAGAGGAGAGAAAAGUAGAGGAAAGAAAGAAAAGGAGAAGAUAAGAGAGUAAAAUAUUUUUCUAAUAUUUGGUUGAUUACAAAAUUAUACAAAGAAAGGAAAUUUUCAAUUUUUUAUUCAGACAAUUUUAGCCUUAAGUGUUAAACUUUCAAUAUUUAUCAUAAAUAUAAUUCAAAAAAUUAAAAAGUAAAUUUAUUUAAUAUAUUUACAUAAAUAAAUAAUAAAAAAUAUUUUAAAUAACAUACUUUUAUUUAGAAUUUAAUUUAAUUUAAAAAAAUUUAUUAACAUAAUAUUAUUUUAUUAUUAAUUUAAGUAAUUGUAAUGAAUUUAAUUUGUUUCUAAAUAAAUCAUAAUACAAUAUAAAUAAUUUCUUAAUCAAUAUAUAUUAUAAUUUUGGAAUUUCAUUUAAAAACAAAAACAAAAAAAAGAAACAAAUCCACUGGCUACCGUCUACGAAGUCACCACCAGCAGAUGCCACACCAUCAAAUGAAAGCUCGUGAAUGAUAUGAAAAUGAUCAGAGAUUGACAAUCUCAAUAAUGGAUCAACUCAUUUAACUGAAAAUUUUGAUUCUUUUUUCGGGAUCUGUGGAGGUUAAAAAGUUUCUAAACAUUUUUAACCAGAUUUGAACAACAUAUAUCUGGUUUUUGAUCUCAACGAUAAUGUAGUAAUGUUGAUAAUUAGCUAGCGAGUCGAAUGGCAGUGGCAGUGAGAUAGUACACGUAAAUGACAACAGCGACGAUGGCGGUGGUCUAACGAUCCGAUGACUAUUAAAUUAAUAUUUCUAUAUUCUUAGAUGAAUUAAUUAAAUAAACUUAUUUUUAAAAUAUUACUCAAAUUUAAUUAAUAUAAAAUUAUCUAUAACAUUAAAUUGAUAAAAUAAAAUUAUAAAUAAUAAUUAUUUGAUUACAUUAAAUAAGUUAAAAAGUUGAACGGGUAUUUUUGGAAGCUUUGAUUUCCAACACAGGGGGAUUUCAAAUUCUUCACUUCUUAGCAUAGAAUUCAAAUUCUAGAUUAUAAUGGAUAUUAAGUUCUAAUAGAAAUUAAAAUUCUUACAUAUUAUGUCAAACCAAACAACGGAAAUAAAAAAAGAAUUCAAAUCAUUUUCCUCUCCUCCAUCCUCUCCUUCUAAACAAGCACAACCUUAAUUUAAUUCUGGUUGGACUUUUUUCUUUAGUUUAGACAUCAUGUUCCUCCUUAAAGCAUCUAAAAAAGCCUCUACAAAUUUUACUCUUUAAAUAUCUAUUUACUUGUCUAUGUGACAAAUAGAAGAGUGAAAAAAAUAUGAUAUUCUCCAAAACAUUAAUAUUAUUUUAAUUAAAUAAUUAUUUUUUUAAAGGAAAAGUCAAUAGCAAUUAACGCACUGCUCUUUCUUUUUCCAAUGAAAAGUAAUAAAAUACAAUAACAGAGCCCCUAUUGAAUAAAAAAUAUAUAUAUAUUGAAGAGGGAGAAAUCAACUCUCAAAAUUUGAAGAGAGAGAAUCAUUUUUUAUUUGAAAAAUCUUAAUUGGGGUGUCUUUUGGAGUCUUAAAUAUUGAUGUCACUCUUCAAAUAAGUAAUAAAAUCUUAUUUGAAGAGCCUUUUAGUGAUGCUCUUAUUAUAAUUUCCUUUUAUUAUCUUCUCAAAAAUAAAAAUAAUAACGACAUUAUAAUUUUUUCAAUAUACUCUUUGUAAAUUGUAUGAUUGUAAGGAAGAAAGUUACUAGGAAACGAAAUCAAAUUGUACAUUAUUCGAAAGACUACAUAGUUUCAUUAUGUUUGUUAAUCAAAACAACAUGUAUCUUUUCAUAACUCUCUUUUUAGAGGAUUAAUUGUCUUUAGUUGGUGAAGUAAGUGCACUUUUAUAUUUCUCAUGCUUAUAGAGAGGUUAAUGGUGAUGCUGAUUGUAUACCUAAUCUUGGAUUGUCUUGUGUUUCUUAAAAUACUCUUAAAUUGACACACAUCAUUAUUUUUCAUAAACAGAAUUAUAAGGAAUAGGAAUUAAAAACAGAUCACCUUUCCUUCUGACAGUAACACCGAAAGCCUCAGUCGUAGAAGAUUUUCCAUCAUGGAGUUUCCAAUCGAAGUGGUAGAGCAUUUGAGACUAUAAACAUUAGCCAUAUGGAAAGAUAAACCUGAGCACAUCCUCCUUCCAGCUCCAAAUAGGAUUCAAUUCAAAAUGAUUUCACUUGUAGCCAUGACCCUGGAAUCAUAUCCCCGAAUUUUGCAAGCCUCGCUACACUCUCGUGUAAAAGCAAUGUAGCAGGAGGAUAUAAUCUAGAGUUUAUAUCCUAUAACAGAUGGGAUUUUUCUGCCAUCAUGGCUACAUGAGCAAGUCGUGUACGUGUUUUGUUUUUUUUUUUUUUUGGUUUGGUCUCUCUUGCCCAGCAUGAUUUGAGAACAUCUUAUUCUAUUUUAUUAAAGUAAUAGAUAAAUUAAAUGAAUAAAGAUACAUACACCUUCAAGGUUUGGAGAAACGAUCAUAAAGUAAUAGAUAAAUUAAAUGAAUAAAGAUACAUACACCUUCAAGGUUUGGAGAAACGAUCAUAAAGUAAUAGAUAAAUUAAAUGAAUACAGAUACAUACACCUUCAAGGUUUGGAGAAACGAUCAUAAAGACUCUUAAGUUUUUAAUAAGAGACACUAAUACAAUUUUUUUUAUUGUAAUACUCUUUAAUUCUACGAACUCAAAAAAAAAUGACCUCAAAAUUUUCUAAUAAAUAUACAUUUUAGAAUAAUUUUAAUAUUUUAAAAUUUUUAAAAUUUUUAAAAUAAUUUACAAUAUAUUAUAUCUAUUUUAUUAUAAUAAAGCAAUUUUAAUAAUAAAUAGAAACAUGAUAUUAAAGAAAAUAAAUUUAAAAUUAAAAUUAUUUUGAAUAUUACGGAAAAAUAAUUUUAAUAUUAUUAAUAGGGAGAUAUUUUGUUAACUAUAAAGUCUAUUUAACUCAAAGAUUUAUUUAAAAUUUUUAUAAUAAAUACAAUUAUAUUAUUAAAAUAAAUAUAAUUAUUUAAAAUUUUAAUUUUUAAAUGUUAAAAAUAAUUUAAUAUUAUUAGUUUACUAGAUAGAUUAUAUUAUUUAUAUUAAAUUUGUAUAAAUUAAAAACUUUAAAGUCAAUUUUCUAAUUACUAUAUUGGAAGGGUAUUAUCAUCAAAGAAAAGAUGUUAGUGUACCUUUUUGAAAAUUGGGGGGUCUUUGUGACCAUUUUCCCAAUUAUUGUGGGUGUGAGUGUAUUUUUUUUCUAAAUUAAAAGAUUAAAAAAUAUAAAGUAAAAGAUCAUUUCAUAUUUUAUUAAAGUAAUAGAUUAAAAGAUAAAAAAUAUAAAUUUUAAUAAAGUAAAUGACAAAAUACACUACAUUGAAGUGUAUUUUUAUCAUUUUUAGUUUGUCUUUUAUUUUAUUAAAAUAAGAGAUUUUCUUAUUAUAAAUUACUAUAUACAUAGAGUGAGCUACAAGUUAAAAGAUAUAGGACCAAGCACACUGCAUUAAAAUUUAUAUUUUUUUAAACUUAUUUCUGACUAUGAUAUAAUCACAUUUUCUAAUUAAAAAAAUUAUUCCACGCACAUAUAUAAAUAUUUAAUCAUUAUUUUUGGAUGCGCAAGUACACAAAUUUUUAAAAUGAGUACAAAUUUUCACAAAUAUCUCUUAGAUAAUGUGAAAACUAUGCCCACAACAAUUUUUCUUAAUUUUCAAAGGUAGUUGGUUAGAAUGAAGAGGCUGCUCGACUUGGUACUUUGGUAGAACCGUUGUAAAGUUUAUGCCGCCUAUUAUUUACGAGCUUUGAUCUUUCUAAAAUUAUCCUCCCCAUUGAUUCAGUUCAAAUUAAUUAAUUAAGUUCUAUUUGAUUUCUCUGUAAGGAAGCUGUCUAUUCUAAUUCCAUUCGAAGAAACUAUUCGUCACAUUGCAGUUUUCAAUCCUACUGGUGGAAAACCAUUUGCUAAAAUCUGCUUAAUCGUAGUCCCUGAACUUGAAGGCAACUCAUUACUCUUUUGAUAUUAAACUUAUAAAAAAAAUAGAGCAUAAGAAUAAUAGAGCAUUAUGAAAACUGUAAAAUAAUAAAUUAUAAACGUUAAAAGCUACUGGGAGAAAAUUAAAUCAAAUUGAAUGGUAAAUACCGACAGAAUAGUAGAUCCGACACAAAUAAUUGAAUAUCAAAUUGAAUGAUCGAAAACAAAAGUAAUAAGAUAAAACGCUGAUAUAAGGAGAGAGAUUGAAGUGAUAAGACAGGUGUUUCAAUUUCAGUAUCAUACAUACGUAAACGUGAGAGGGAGAUAUUCACUGCAGCUUACGUUCAAUGCGCUACCUCAUACAGACGGAGCCCACCCAUUUUAAGGAGCAUUGGCCACUAUUUACAAGGUUUUGGUCCCACUUUUUUUGCCUAUACAGUAAUUAGUUUUUGGAGUUUUUCACUAGCUAUAAUCAUGUUUUUUUUUUAUAUAAAAAGGGCAAUAAAAAAAAAAAUCAUGUUUUGUAGAACAGAAUUUGCAUGUGUCAGCAUGUUUAAUAAGUUCAUACGUCAUUUCAGUCACUUCAGUAGUGUUUUAUUACGUGAUUCAUUAUAUUGUAAGGUCACACGUCAGUUUCGUCACUAAUUUCUCUCCUUUUUUAUGCUAAACUUAAUUCAGUGAGUACGACUUUUGUUUUAUUUUCGGACCCACUAUUCUACAAAUGACAAACCAUCGGUGGACCAACCUGCUACCGGUCUCACACAAGUCCUCCUUAUACAGCAACAAACUUUUUCUUUGGUUGCUGGAGGAUCUCAAGAUCAUGUAUACUCAAAACUUUUUCUUUCUUAUUCCUUUUUCAUUAAUUUUCUGCACAAAGCACAAUUAAUUGGAUAUAUGUUCAAAAUAAUUCUUCCAUAUUCCAUCUUUUUCGUCGAGCCAGCAUCUUCAACAUUUUUCUUCUUCGUCGCCUUAUACACUUUAAAGCUAAUGACCACAUAAAUUAACAUAUUAACAAAAUUAAAAAUAACAAAAAAGGAUUAAUAGAAACAUCUUAAUAUAUUUUUGGAACUUGCCCACAAAUCUUUUAUGAUCUCUAAGUACAAUAUAAAUUCAAUUCGGCACCGAAUAAAAGAGAUGAAGUUAAGGUUAGCACAAAUAAUUGUAUGAUUAAUGGAUGUGUUAGAUGGGUGUCCAAAGUUGUUAUAGUUUAAACUAUUUUUCUAAAUUAUUCUUAGUAUUAAAUUAUAUGAAGGUUAUUUUAGUAUCCUAAUUUUUUAGUCAAUAUGGUGUUCAAAGUACAUUUUAAAGUACAAAUGAUCUCACUCGUAAAUAAAAUACACCAAAGUUUAAUAGUAAACUAACCAACGGAACUCCUUAAUUAAGUUAUUUGGCAACUCUUCUCUCCCUUAUUCAUUAGGGGAAGGAUUCAAAUCUUCCAAUCUCCCAAAAUUAUAAAAGUACAAUUAAAAAAAAUAGUAAAAUGAUUAUUUUUAUUAAAAAAAAAUUGCUUGUUAUUGUUGAUAGCUACUGCCACUCCUUAUCAUCGGCAGACCCACGAAGGGAACACUAGCGAUUAGAAAUAUAAUAUAUUACUAUUAUUAAUUGAUAAAAGCUAAAAAUGUGGUUCACAUAUUAUUUUUCUAAGAUCCCUGGUGGUCCAAGUAUUUUAAGGAUUAGAAUCAUGAAAUUUAUUAAAUGCACUUAUAAUGAUGUUAAUUUAUUUGAAAUAGAAUUUUUGAAAAAUUGGUUAAUAGAAGAAAUUCUGAUAAAAAUCAUAUUCCCUUAAAAUAUCAGUGGAACUCUUAAGUAAAAUAUUUUAAGUGAGCCCCCAAUGAUCUUUUUUUUAAAAAAAAAAAUUCAUCUUCAAAAUGAAUUAGAGAAUUUAUUUGAGAUAAGUCCUGCAGAAAGCAAAUUUUUAUUUUUGUGAUAUCAUUGGAGUUACUAGAAAAAGCCCCCAAUAAAAUGUUUGGAUCAUUUAGUAACCAGAAAUAGACUUUGGCUUUAAGAAUAAUAUAUAUUUAUUUAGUUAAAAUAAUUGAAAUAUUUUGCUUGGUAGGGGUAAUUAAAAUAAAUGUAAGUUAAAUAAUUAUGGCCUUCUUGGAAUAUUAUUAUUGUGAAAUUAAAAGAUAGAUAGGUUUUCAAAAUAAUUUACGGUCGUUACGCUGAGUAGUUAGUUAAUGUACGCACAAUAUCACACUGUGCAAGUUGCAUAAGAAAGCUGAAAAUGAUAUGUAUCCCAUCAUCAAUGAACCCCACCUCAAUCUUAUCAAGAUAAAUUUUUGUGGCCAGUUUGUGAUUAAAAUAAAAUUUAAAACAACUUUAUUACUAUUUCAACUUUUAUAUAUUUAUUUUUUAUAGAGUUAGAGAUAGGAUUAGAGUGAACUCUCUAUCAUUACCUAAAAAAAAAUCCUAAAUUUAAAAAUUUAUGUAAAAUGAUCGCAGCUUCUUAAUAUGUUGAGAUAACGGUCCAAGAGUAUUUUAUCAUAUGAUUUAAUAAUGGAUCCCGCAAUCAGAUCCAUUGAUUUUUUUAAUAUUAAGUUUAAUGAUCCCAACGUAGGAUCACUACUGAGCACAUGACAAAGUACCAACGAAAGUGUUCCACUGCCUCAUCGUUUCUCUAUAAAUAUAGAGCAUUUGUGUCAUGAGGUUUUUGCAACUCCUACUCUUAAAAACAAACUAUAAAGUUGUAUUUGGUUUGUCUGAAACGGAAUGAAAGAUAUGUCUAUUCCACUUCUAGCAGCAGUUUCCAGUUCAACUGAAGAAACUGUUCGUCCCAUUGCAGAUUUUCAUCCUACUUUAUGGGGAAACCAUUUCCUGAAAUCCGCUGCCGAUGUCGAGGUAAUUAAACCAUUGCAAUAUCAAAAUAUCUCAUUAAUUAUCAGAGAAGUGAGCCCAAUCGAUCUACAAUCAUAUGUCAUAUAUAAUCGUUUGUUAGACACACGUAAUGCAUUAAUAUUAAGUAAUUUCUUGCGUUUGCAGACAAUUGACGCUGCAACUCAAGAACAGCACGCAGCACUGAAGCAGGAGCUCAGGAGGAUGAUAACCACUACUGCCAAUAAGCUUGCCCAUAAACUACACAUGAUUGAUUCAGUACAACGAUUAGGUGUCGCUUAUCAUUUUGAAAAACAGAUUGAAGAUGAAUUGGGAAAGUUAUCUCAUGAUCUAGACAGUGAUGAUCUAUACGUUGUUUCUCUUCGUUUUCGACUUUUUAGACAGCAAGGAGUUAAGAUUUCAUGUGGUAUGUCAUAGUUUUUCAUUUUGUUAAUUAAAUUAUUUAUGUUAAUUACAAGAUUAUUGCUAAUUAUCAAAUUAAAUUCAAGCAUGCACACUAAUCAAGACUAGCUCGCCUUUAAUUCUUUUGAAUAUGGUCAUCAGAUGUGUUUGAGAAGUUCAAAGACGAUGAAGGUAAAUUCAAGGAAUCAUUGAUCAACGAUAUACGAGGCAUGUUGAGUUUGUACGAGGCAGCAUACCUAGCAAUUCGGGGAGAAGAUAUUUUAGAUGAAGCCAUUGUUUUCACUACCACUCACCUUAAGUCAGUAAUAUCUAUAUCUGAUCAUUCUCAUGUAAACUCUAAUCUUGCUGAACAAAUACGUCAUUCUCUGCAAAUUCCUCUCCGUAAAGCAGCAGCAAGGUUAGAGGCAAGGUAUUUUUUGGAUAUCUAUUCAAGAGAUGAUU
rnacentral:lncRNA from 1 species